rnacentral:lncRNA from 1 species
UUUAGUUUUAUGUUUAUGUUUAGAUUUAAUUUAUUUUAGGUUCAGUUUAGGUUUUUUUCCUGUUUUUUUAGGUUUAGGUUUAGAUUUAGUUUAGCUUAGGUUUAGUUUAGGUUAAGAAGAAAGAUGAAAAAAAUAAGAACAAGAAGAGGAAGAAAAGGAAGAAGAAGAGAAGAAGAUGAAAAAAGAAGUAUAAAAAGUAGAAAAAGAAAGAAAAUAAGGAAAAGAAGAUCGAGGGUCGAGGGUCGCUGAGGGGUUGAGGGUCGAGGGUUGCCGAGGGGUCGAGGGGUCGCCGAGGGGUCGAGGAUCGAGGGUCGAGGGGUCAAGGAUCGAGGGUUGCCGGGGGGUCGCCAAGGGUUCGAGGGGUCGAGGGUUGAGAGGUCAAGGCAUCCUGUUGUAAAUAUUUAGUUAGGUUGAUGGCAAAAACAAUAAUGCUAUGUUACUCAUCUUUCGAUUUCAAUGUGCAGUUGUUUCGUCGCUGCAAGGGUCUGGUGUUCGAUGAGCUCCACCCCUGCAUUCAUGGGUGAGCACAAAUGACAUCUCCUCCUCCCCCCUUAAUUAUUUGCUCUGUUCUGGCCUUCGUGCCGAUGACACUAGCUAGGUAAGUACAGUCGUGUAACCAGUAUGUGUCUCCCGUCUGAAAGGGUUGCAUCGAUAAAUAUGCAUUCAAUUGCAUAUUUAUCACCGUAACUCAUUCGGAUUGUCUAGCGAUUUCCACGGACAGCUCGAGUAUGUGUAGAUUGGGUACGUUCUCCAUGCUCUACCCCAUUCCGACACAAAAUUUCAUCAGUGCCUCCCUGUUGUUCUCCGGAUGCACAUUCUCUCGGCUUUUUGCCGAGACGUGUAUCAGGAGAACAGCGGGGAGGUGCUGCUGAAAUUUUGUCUCGGAAUGGGGUAGAGCAUGGAGAAUGUACUCAAUCUACACAUACUCCGGUGGGAUUAGGACCUAUCUUUACCUAUUAGAUUGUAUGUUGCAUGGACGUAAUAAAAUUGACAAACUAGAUUAACUAUUGAAUACACAUGCUGAAUUAUAUAUAUUUCUUCUCUGUCCAGUAGCUAAGCAGGAUGAGUGAUCGUGCGUGGAUGUACACCAGUCACACUAGUCAGAAGGAGAUUACCAAUGAAUGGUUAACAAAAACCAAGGGGUUUGUGAAAGCCACAUUUGCAAAUGGCCAGAGGAAAAACUGGUGCCCCUGUGUCCGGUGCAAAAAUUUGGGAAAAGAGGACAGAGGAUGAAAUGGGUAAACACCUGCAGAAGAGUGGUUUUACGCCCGGUUAUACGGUGUGGACAUUUCACGGUGAGUCUGCCCAACGUGCCAGAGCUGAGGUGGUUCGUCGUUGCACCGACGAGCAUGGUACCGGGAUGGAAGACAUGGUGCAAAACUUUGAUGAUGCUCGGGAUACGGACAAUGAGAUGGAGGAAUCUGCAAAGGCCUUCAAUUAAAUGUUGGAGUCUUCAAAACAUCCUCUCCACGAGCACACUGAGCUUUGUCAGCUGGAUGCCAUCUCACAAAUAAUGGCUCUAAAGGAUCAAUUCAACUUGGGCAGAGAAUGCUACGACGCGAUGAUGGCAGUAUUUGGACGCUUUCUACUCAAAGGCCAUGUAAUGCUUGCAAACCUGUACCAGUCAGACAAAAUCCUCCGUGUUCUUAAGACACCCUAUGAGAAGAUACAUGCCUGUGAGAAAGGAUGUGCCUUAUUUAGGCUUGAGUAUGUGGACUUGAACUAUUGUCCCAUUUGCAAGUCUUCCAGGUAUAUUGUGGUAGACAACAGUAUGGGUGAGAAGACACAUACCAAAAUCCCGGUUAAUGUUCUUCGGUAUAUGCCAAUCGUACCAAGACUUCAAUGUCUUUUCAUGGUCGAAGAGACGGCUAGACAGAUGAUAUGGCACAAAAGGGCAAAAGAACUGGAGUAGAUGCAUAUGGGAAUCUGAUGAUGGUACACACAUCGGAUGGUGAAGCGUGGAAGCGCUUCGAUGCAUUACAUGAGGAAAAAGCGGCAGAUCCAAGGCAUCCUCGAGUCACCAUCAGCAUAGAUGGGUUCACUGUGUUUGGUCUGAGGGCAACCCAAUACAUUUGUUGGCCCGUAUUUGUCUUUUUGCUCAAUCUCCCCCUGGAUAGAUUAUGCAAAGAAAGAACAUUUUCCUGACAUUGAUAAUUCCAGGGCCGAACUAUCGGGGAAGAAUAUGAAUGUGUACAUGCAGCCACAUAAGGACGAAUUGCAAGAAGCUUGGGAUAAUGGGUUCAAGACAUACGAAGCCUUUAGCAAACAGAACUUCAUAAUGUGUGUCUGGUACAUGUACUCGACGCAUGACUUGCCAGCGUAUGCGCUAUUCGUUGGCUGGUGUGUGCAUGGAAGGUUCCCGUGCCCCACAUGCAAGGCAGCUCUUGAGUUUCGUUGGCUGCAGGCGGGUCGCAAGUUUUAUUACUUCGACUUGCAUAGACAGUUCAUGAAUCCUCGCCAUAAGUUCAGGAAAGACAAGAAGAACUUCAUGAAAGGUAGAGUUGUCAAAAACUCUGCACCACCUCCGUUGAUAGGCCAAGAGACCCUGGAUCAGUUAAACGCUCUCGAGCCAAAUCUAGAGCGUCCAGGUUAUUUUAAGGGGUAUAAUUCUAAACACGCCUGGACUCACAAGACAUGCUUGUGGGAUCUACCUUACUUCAAAGACCUCCUUUGCCAACACAACAUCGACGUGAUGCACACUAAAAAGAAUAUCACCAAGGCACUUUUUGGUACAUUGUUUGGCAUAGAGGGGAAGUCAAAGGAUAAUACUAAGGCUAGAGUAGAUCAAGAGGUGCUAUGUGAUAGAACAUUACAAAACAUGAAAGAACCGAAAGGAAAGCAGAACUGGACGAAGCCAAAGGCAUGGUUCAGUCUUGGAAGGCCAGCUAUGAGGGAAAUUAUCUUGUGGGUGAAAAUGCAGUUGAUGUCCCCCGAUGGGUAUGCAGCGAAUCUAAAGAGGGGAGCGAAUCUUGAAAAGUUGAAAAUAUUUGGUCUCAAGAGUCAUGAUUGGCACAUAUGGGUUGAGCGGGUAAUGCCAGUGAUGUUGCGUGGCUUUAUCCCUGAGGAUGAAUGGCUAGUACUGGCCGAGCUGAGCUAUUUCUUCCGUGUUCUUUGUGCGAAAGAACUAUCGCUUGCCGUGGUACAAGAAAUGGAAGAGUUGGCACCGGAGUUGAUCUGCAAGUUAGAGAAGAUCUUUCCGUCGGGCUUCUUUAAUCCAAUGCAACACUUGAUUUUGCAUCUCCUGACCGAGGCAAGAUUGGGGGGGGGGCGUGCAAAAUCAUUGGUGCUACGCAACUGAGAGGAUGCAGAAGAUGCUCCGAGCAAAAUGUAAAAAUAAACAUAGAAUUGAAGCAUCGAUGGCUGAGGCAUUCAUUACUGACGAGGCGGCAAACUUCGUGACAGCACACUACGAAGCCAAAAAUCAUCAUUUGAAUAAUCCGACGCCUCAAUACAAUGCUGGUGACCCUAAAAAAGGUGGAUCCAACCUCAGCCUAUUCAAAGGGAAUCUCGAACCAGCCGGUGUUUCUAAACCAUUAUCUUUGGAUUUCGAAGAAUGGCGGACCAUUUCAUUGUAUAUCUUCAACAACCUAAUAGAAGUGCGGCCGUACAUCGAGUAAGUUAUCGCGGUACAUUGUUUCACAACUUCUAAUUCCUUUGAAAGUCUCUUAUACCCGGAUAUUUGAUACAGUCGAGACGUCGCCAAAUUCUCGGAUGGAGCGGAGAUCGAAAAGGAAUCCAUCAAAGAGUAGAGCUUCUAGUAAAGCAAGGAGGCAGCUUUCCCGGUUUCAUCUCUUGGUUCAAACAAAUUGUAAUUUCCAUUAGACCAUUCUCAUUUUCUUCGUCUAAUUUGCCGCUAAUUCAGAGUCUAUGGACGCCGAAUUGAGACAAGUCGCUAAUGGUUUUGACUACAAGGCCCGUUCAUUUGACAAAUACGACAUCAACGGGUAUCGCUUUCGUACCUACGACAAAGAGCUAUCUAUGGCCGACCGAAAGUCUACGAAUUGUUGUGUCUCCGCUAUCGGCGAUGGAGGUAUCGAGUAUUAUGGGAGAGUUGAAGCAAUUUAUGAACUUCUAUUCUAUGGUCAAAACCCACCGAACUUCAUAGUCUUGAAAUGUUAUUGGUUCCAGCCGAAGGAGACUAGAAGGACUCGUGAACAUAUAGGGCUAGUCGAAAUCAAACAAAGAACCCAUUUAGAUGUUCCCGAUGUCUAUAUUACGGCUCAACAGGUGACCCAUGUUUUCUAUCUACCGUGGGCCUGCCAAACUAAUCCAAAUCUGAAUGGUUGGGAUGUCAUUUAUAAAGUGCCUCCACGUGUUAGACCACCUCCCCACAAUGAAGAGGAUUAUGAACCUCACAUUAACCCAGACACAUAUGAAGGUGGAUUCUUCCAAGAAACACGUCUUUCCAAAAAACGCUUCAAGAAACACUCUACUUCACCCCAGAACAUUGAAGUAGACAGCGAUAGUGAAGCCGACUUCACCCCUGAUCUGGAACAAUAAGAGCCUGAAUAAGAAGAGGUCACUGCCGCGGAUGGUUUGUCAAUGCUUGACCGAUUACAUAAAGGUGGCCUUCCACAUGUUGAUACCGCUGAACCUGAUGAGCACUUCAUUCAUGAUAGUGAUGAUGAUGAUGCAUUUAUUGAACCCGACGAUCAAGAUUAUUAUUAGGUAUUCAAUUUUUUAAUGUUUUACUUGAUUUAUAUAGUUACUUGUAUGAAUGUAUGAUUUAUAUAGUUACUUGUAUAAUUUUGUUACUUUUUUUGACUAUAAACAGUAGGGUAAAAACCCCACUGCAAUUUUUAUAUAAAUAAAAAGGAGCAAGGUCUCAAAUAUUCCUGAAACAUUAAAGAAGGUCUUGAGCAAAGCCCUAAAAAACUAACUAAACUAGCUAAAACUAGAAAAAGACUAGAAGAUUACAACAAUAGGCAUGGGAGCUGCCUAUGAGACUAUCCUUGGUGCUGAAGCCAAGCCAAGAAAUGAUCAGCAUACUUUGGCUUGAUCCUGUGAGUGAGUAACUUCAUCUCCAGCAUAUAGAUGUGCUUCCAUCCUUGGAAGGUAGGCUGAAUAUGUUGAAAGAUCUUGUUAUUUCUAGAAAUCCAAAUUGCCCGUGAGCUUAGAAUUAUUAUUUCCAUGAAGAAAGGUAGACUCAACUUGUCCUUGAUGUCUUGAAAAGCUUCCAUAACAGACAAAUUUUGUGCUCUGGUAGGACAGAUAUAGUCCCAACAUCUCUUGGCAAAUGGGCAUCCCCAGAACAGGUGAUGCAGAGUUUCCUCCUGUUGACAUUCUCUGGUUGCACAGUUAUAUUCCUCUAGUAUAAAGUUCUUCCUUCUCAGAAGAUUUCUUGUGUUGAGUCUAUCAUGCAACAGCAUCCAGAAGAACAUUUUGUGUUUUGGCUGACAUGAAAUAUUCCAAAUCCAGUUGAAAUGUGGAGGUACUUGUUUGAUUCCAAUCAUAACAUUGUAUGCCUUUGCACAAGAGAAUUGUUCAUUACCCCAGAUGUAACUCCAUGUAUCUGUCAUGUCCUGAAAGUGGGAUUGCCUCAGUGAGUGACAUAUGUCUUCCAGCUGCAAAAAUUGCUCAUGUGCUUGGAUUGAUAGUGGCAGAUGGAAAAGAUCUUCCAAAUAAUCUGUAUUUGUGACUUGUUGCACUGUGAGUCUAUGGUUUAUUACAAAGGAAAAAAGGUGUGGAAACUUAUGCUGCAUAAGUUGCUCCCCCCAUAAGUCACUCCAGAAAUAAGCAGAUCUGCCAUCCCCCAGAUUCAACCUAGCUAAAGCUUUAUAAUUUUGAAUUAAUUGUUGGUUUGCUUUCCACCAAAAUGAUCCCAGUAGUUCUUCUCCUGGAAGUUUGUUGUCAGAAUAAUGUGUUUCCCAAAUCAAAUUUACCCAUGGAAUAUCAUGCUUGUUGUAGAAUUUGUGCAGAUUCUUCAUCAGUAGUGCCUUGUUCUCUGUGAAGAUGUCCAUAACUCCUAGACCUCCUUGAUUUUUUGGCCUGCAAACAGUGGUCCAUUUUACUAGAGCAGGUCUAUGAUCUUCCAUAUCUGGCCCUCUCCAUAAACAAUGUCCGAAAUAUUUUAGAACCUAGUGCUUUAUAGUUACUGGGACAUCCAGACAGCUGAUAAAAAAAUAUAGUGAGUGAAGUCAAAAUAGUUUUACCAUUAACAACCUUCCUGCAUAUGUCAUAAAAGUUGCAAUUCCAGCCAGUCUUCUAGCCACUUUAUUAACCAUUGGUAGGCAUUUCUCAACAGUUGGUUUAUAAAGCCCUAAAGGUAACCCAAGAUAUGUGAAUGGAAAUUGUCCCAGCUGGCAGUUAAGUGUGCCAGCAAACAAGUGGGCCCUCUCCUCUUGCAUAUUGAUUGGAACCAUAACAGACUUUUGGUAAUUGACUUUUAAACCAGUGUCAGAAGCAAAUGUAUUAAGCAGUGCUUUAAGGCAGACCAGUUGUCUUGUGUCAGCUUGCAUUAUCAAUGUAUCAUCUGCAUACUGAACAAUUGGGAAAUCAGGGUAUGAAUUAACCUGCAGUGGUGCAUGUAGGAGACCCAUACUCAUUGCAUUGUUAAUCACUGAUUGUAAAAGAUCUGCUGCCAACACAAACAAGAGGGGGGAGAGAGGAUCUCCUUGUUUGACACCCCUUCUGCAAUAUUUUUUUACCUAGCACUCCAUUGAGCAUAAGAGAAGCUGAAGCAGUACUGAAAAUCAUUUGGAUCCAAGAAUUCCAUUUUUCACCAAAACCUUUAGCUCUGAUGAUGUCUAUAAUUGCUUGGUGUUCAAUAGUGUCAAAUGCUUUUUCAAAAUCCAACUUUAUAACAAGCAUUUCCUCUCUAGAUUUGAGAUAUUGAUGUAUGUACUCAUAAGACCAACCUAAGCAGUCUUAAAUCACCCUGUUCUUCAGAAAUCCAUACUAAUUGAUGUGAAUCAUUUUCAGGAUUACUUUCUGCAACCUAUUAGCCAGAAGUUUAGUGAUUAUCUUAAGCACUCCAUUAAGCAGAGAAAUUGGCCUAAAAUCAUUAGGGGGUAAUUUUGUUACUUUGCAUCAUUGUUUGUUUUACAUAGUGUCAUGGUCUUGAUAUCCGUCCCCGUCGGCCCUCUCCCGGUUUAUGGUUUGGAUGUGGUAUAUUCUCUUUUAUAACUAUUUGUUGCAUUUAGCAUUUACGACAAUUAUGGCCACCAUGUUGACAUAGGAAUAUUUUUAUCUAGGAGGUAUGUGAACAAGAAAUUGCAACCGACCCUCUUGUCGAGAAGUUAAAUUUUGUAGAAAAAGAAAACGAGUAUUUAAAGAAAAAAUGAAAAUAAUUGAAGAAGAGAAGAUGAAAUUGGAGUUGUAUGUUGCCGAUGUCUGAUAUGUCUCCAACGUAUCUAUAAUUUUUGAUUGUUCCAUGCAAUUAUAUUAUCUGUUUUGGAUGUUUUAUACGCAUUAAUAUGCUAUUUUAUAUUAUUUUUGGGACUAACCUAUUAACCUAGGGCCCAGUGCCAGUUCCUGUUUUUUCCUUGUUUUUAAGUUUUGCAGAAAAGGAAUACCAAACAGAUUCCAAACGGAAUGAAACCUUCGCGAUGAUUUUUCUUGGACCAGAAGACAACCAGGAGAUUUGGAGAUGAAGUCGAAGGAGCCACGAGGCGGCCACAAGGACGGAGGGCGCACCCAGGGCGUAGGGCGCGCCCCUGUCUUGUUGGCCCCUCGUGCCUCUCCUGACCUAAUUCUUUCACCUAUAUAUUCCCAAAUAUCCCCAAAUAUCCCCAAACCACCAGAGGCAUCCACAAAAACAAUUUUCCACCGCCGCAACCUUCUGUACCCGUGAGAUCCCAUCUAGGCACCUUUUCCGGCACCCUGCCGGAGAGGGAUUCGAUCAUGGAGGGCUUCUACAUCAACUCUAUUGCCCUUCCGAUGAAGCGUGAGUUGUUUACCACAGACCUACGAGUCCAUAGCUAGUAGCUAGAUGGUUUCUUCUCUCUCUUUGAUUCUCAAUAAGUCACCAUGUUCUCCUCGAUGUUCUUGGAGAUCUUUCGAUGUAAUACUUUUUUGCGGUGUGUUUGCCGAGAUCUGAUGAAUUGUGGAUUUAUGAUUAGCUUAUCUAUGAAUAUUAUUUGAAUCUUCUCUGAAUUCUUUUAUGCAUGAUUUGAUAUCUUUGUAAUUCUCUUCGAACUAUCGGCUUGGUUUGGCCAACUAGAUUGGUUUUUCUUGCAAUGGGAGAAGUGCUUAGCUUUGGGUUCAGUCUUGUGGUGUCCUUUCCCAAUGACACCAGGGGCAGCAAGGCACAUAUUGUAUUGCUGCCAUCGAGGAUAAAAAGAUGGGGUUUUCAUCAUACUGCUUGAGUUAAUUCCUCUACAUCAUGUCAUCUUACUUAAUGCGUUACUCCGUUCUUUAUGAACUUAAUACUCUAGAUGCAUGCUGGAUAGCGGUCGAUGUGUGGAGUAAUUGUAGUAGAUGCAGAAUCGUUUCGGUCUACUUGACACGGACGUGAUGCCUAUAUUCAUGAUCAUUGCCUUAGAUAUCGUCAUAACUUUGUGCUUUUCUAUCAAUUGCUCGGCAGUAAUUUGUUCACCCACCAUAAUAUUUUCUAUCUUGAGAGAAGCCUCUAGUGAAACCUAUGGCCCCUGGGUCUAUUUUCCAUCAUAUAAGUUUCUGAUCUACUAUUUUGCAAUCUUUUACUUUCCGAUCUAUAAACCAAAAAUACCAAAAAUAUUUACUUUACCGUUUGUUUACUUCAUCUAUCUCUAUCAGAUCUCACUUUUGCAAGUAACCGUGAAGGGAUUGACAACCCCUUUAUCGCGUUGGGUGCAAGUUGCUUGAUUGUUUGUGCAGGUAUUCGGUGAUUUGUGCCUUGUCUCCUACUGGAUUGAUACCUUGGUUCUCAAACUGAGGGAAAUACCUAUCUCUACUUUGCUGCAUCACCCUUUCCUCUUCAAGGGAAAAACCAAUGCAAGCUCAAGAAGUAGCACAUCCCCAAGCUUAGGCUCUUGCCACUCCUUUUUCCAUAGUCCAUCAAAUCUUUACCCAAAACUUGAAAACUUCACAACACAAAACUUAACAGAAGACUCGUAAGCUCCGUUAGUAUAAUAAAGCAAAUCACCACAUAGGUACUGUUGUGAACUCAUUCUAAAUUUAUAUUGGUGUUAUAUCUACUGUAUUCCAACUUCUCCAUGGUUCAUACCCUCCGAUACUACCCAUAGAUUCAUCAAAAUAAGCAAACAACACAAUGGAAACAAAAUCUCUCAAAAACAGAACAGUCUGUAGUAAUCUAGAAACUUCAUAUACUUCUGUAACUCGAAAAAUUCUGAACAUUACGACAACCUGGGAACUUUUUAUAUCUAUCUUGUGUAAAAACUUCAGAUCAAAAGCACGCUUCUGUGAAUUUCUAAAAUUCUGGCAAUGAGCGCAAAAGUUUCAGUUUUUCAGCAAGAUCAAAUCAACUAUCACCAUAGACCAUCCCAAAGGUCUUACUUGGCACUUCAUUGAAACAAAAACUAUAAAACAUGAUUAAUACGAUAGCAUAAUCAUGAGAACACACAAAAAUAGUAGGGGUAAAUGUUGGGUUGUCUCCCAACAAGCGCUUUUCUUUAAUGCCUUUCUAGCUAGGCAUGAUGAUUUCAAUGAUGCUCACAUAAAAAGAUAAGAAUUGAAACAUAAUGGGAGCAUCAUGAAGCCUAUGACUAGCACAUUUAAGUCUAACCCACUUCCUAUGCAUAGGGAUUUUGUGAGAAAAUAAUUCAUGGGAACAAGAAUCAACUAGCAUAGGAAGUGAAAACAAGCAUAACUUCAAGAUUUUUUCAACACAUAGAGAGGAAACUUGAUAUUAUUGCAAUAUGUAAAAGCAUAUGUUCCUCUCCCAUAAUAAUUUCCCAUGGCAUCAUGAAUGGAUCCAACAAUAUAACCAUCACAUAAAGCAUUCUUUUCAUGAUCCACAAGCAUAGAAAAUUUAUUACUCUCCACAUAAGCAAAUUCCUUCUCAUUCAUAAUAGUGGGAGCAAACUCAACAAAGUAACUAUCAUGGGAUUGAAAAUUAAAAUCAAGAUGACAAGUUUCAUAGUUAUCAUUAUUCUUUAGAGCAUACAUGUCAUCACAAUAAUCAUCAUAGAUAGGAGGCAUGCUUUCAUCAUAGUAAAUUUGCUCAACAAAAAUUGGGGGACAAAAAAAUAUCAUCUUGAUCAAACAUAGCAUCCCCAAGCUUAUGGCUUUGCAUAUCAUUAGCAUCAUGGAUAUUCAAGGAAUUCAUACUAACAACAUUGCAAUCAUGCUCAUCAUACAAAGAUUUAGUGCCAAACAUUUUAUUAACUUCCUCUUCUAGCACUUGAGCACAAUUUUCCUUUCCAUCAUUUUCACAAAAGACAUUAAACAGAUGAAGCAUAUGAGGCAACCUCAAUUCCAUUUUGUAAUUUUCUUUUGUAAACUAAACUAGUGAUAAAACAAGAAACUAAAAGAUUCAAUUGCAAGAUCUAAAGAUGUACCUUCAAGCACUCACCUCCCCGGCAACGGCGCCAGAAAAGACCUUGAUGUCUGCUACGCAACCUUCUUCUUGUAGACUCGUGUUGGGCCUCCAAGCGCAGAUUUUGUAGGACAGUAGCAAAUUUCCCUCAAGUGGAUGACCUAAGGUUUAUCAAUCCGUGGGAGGCGUAGGAUGAAGAUGAUCUCUCUCAAACAACCCUGCAACCAAAUAACAAAGAGUCUCUUGUGUCCCCAACACAUCCAGUACAAUGGUAAAUUGUAUAGGUGCACUAGUUCGGUGAAGAGAUGGUGAUACAAGUGUAAUAUGGAUGGUAGAUAUAGGUUUUUGUAAUCUGAAAAUAUAAAAACAGCAAGGUAACUAGUAACAAAAGUGAGCAAAAACAGUAUUUCAAUGCUUGAAAACAAGGCCUAGGGUUCAUACUUGCACUAGUGCAAGUUCUCUCAACAAUGAUAACAUAAUUAGAUCAUAUGGCAAUCCCUCAAUGUGAGACAAAAGUCACUCCAAAGUUUCUAUCCCGGAGAACAUAAGAUGAAAUUGCCUGUAGGGUACGAAACCACCUCAAAGUUAUUCUUUCCUAUCAAUCCAUUGAGCUAUUCCUAUAAGUGUCACAAACAGCCCUAGAAUUCGUAGUAAAAUUAAAUAAGACCAUAUGAUACACAUAAAUCAACCCUAAUGUCACCUAGAUACUCCAAUGUCACCACAUGUAUCCGUGGUCAAUUAUACGAUAUGCGUCAAACAACUUCAGAUUCAUAAUAUUCAAUCCAACACAAAGAACCUCAAAGAGUGCCCCAAGAUUCCUACCAGAGAAACAAGGACGAAAACAUGCAUCAACCCCUAUGCAUAGAUUACCCCAAUGUCACCUCGGGAAUGCGCGAGUUGAGUGCCAAAACAUACAUCAAGUGAAUCAAUAGAACAUCCCAUUGUCACCACAGAUAUCCCAUCGCAAGACGUACAUCAAGUGUUCUCAAAUCCAUAAUAGUAUUCGAUCCGAUAAUAGUGAAACCUGAAAGGUAAAACUCAGUUCAUCACAAGAAGAUAGAGGGGGAGAAACACCAUAUGAUCCAACUAUAGUAGCAAAGCUCACGGUACAUCAAGAUCGUUCCAUAUCAAGAACGAGAGAGAGAGAGAGAGAGAGAUCAAACACAUAGCUACUGGUACAUACCCUCAGCCCCGAGGGUGAACUACUCCCUCCUCGUCAUGGAGACCAUCGGGAUGAUGAAGAUGGCCUCCGAUGAUGGUUUCCCCCUCUGGUAGGGUGCCGGAACGGGCUCCCGAUUGGUUUUCCGUGGCUACAGAGGCUUGCAGCAGCGGAACUCUUGAUCUAGGUUUCUUUCCGGGGGUUUUGGUAUUUAUAGGAAUUUUUGGUGUUGGUCUCACGUCAAGGGGGUCCACGAGGUAGCGGUAAGACAGGGGGUGCGCCCUAGGGGGGCGCACUCCACCCUUGUGGUUGCCUUGGGACUCUUCCAGCCCAACUCUUAUGCUUCGGGGGCUUCUUUUGGUCCAGAAAAAUCAACUUAAAUUUCAACUCAUUUGGACUCUGUUUGGUAUUCCUUUUCUGUAAAACUCAAAAACAAGGAAAAAGCAAAAACUGGCACUAUGCUCUAGGAUAAAAUAGCAUAUUAAUGCAUAUAAAACAUCCAAAACAGAUAAUAUAAUAGCAUGUAACAAUAAAAAAUUAUAGAUACGUUGGAGACGUAUCACCCCUCCCCAUGUAUAUAUAGGUGGGAGGGGAGGGGAGGCACCCAGACGCGCCCUAGGGCUGGCCGCCGGCCCCUAGGGCCCCUGCCUUGCCCUGCGCCCCCCUGCCAUAUUCCCCCAAGGGGGAAAGGAAGGAGGAGGAGGGGGAAGGAAAGGGGAGACCUAGUCUCCACUUUCCUUCUCCCCUAGGUCCAACCAGCUAUGGGGGGCGCACUAGCCCCUUAUGGGCUGGUGUGUUCCCUCACUUGGCCCAUAAGGCCCAUAGCUUUGCUGGGGGGGGGCGGUGCCCGGAACACCUUCCGGUGACCCGUUAAGUACCCGGUACCCUCCGAAACACUUCCGUGUCUGGAUACACUUGUCCUAUAUAUCAAUAUUUACCUCUCGAACAUUCCGAGACUCCUCGUCAUGUCCAUGAUCUCAUCCGGGACUCCGAAUAACAUUCGGUCACCAAAUCACAUAACUCAUAUAACACUAUAUCGUCAACGAACGUUAAGCGUGCAGACCCUAUGGGUUCGAGAACUAUGUAGACAUUACCAAGACACCUCUCUGAUCAAUAACCAAUAGCGGAACCUGGACGCCCAUAUUGGCACCUACAUAUUCUACAAAGAUUUUAUCGAUUGAACCGUUAUGACAACAUACGUAAUUCCCUUUGUCCGUCGGUAUGUUACUUGCCCGAGAUUCGAUUGUCGUCAUCUUCAUACCUAGUUCAAUCUCGUUACCAGAAAGUCUCUUUACUCGUUCCGUAAUACAUCACCUCAUGACUAACUCCUUAGUCAUUUGCUUGCAAGCUUAUGAUGUGUAUUACCGAGAGGGCCCAGAGAUACCUUUCCGAUACUAGGAGUGAAAAAUCCUAAUCUCGAUCUAUGCCAACUCAACAAACAUCUUCAGAGAUACCUGUAGAGCAUCUUUAUGAUCACCCAGUUACGUUGUGACGUUUGAUAGAACACAAGGUAUUCCUCUGGUAUUCGGGAUUUGCAUAAUCUCAUAGUCAAAGGAAUAUGUAUUUGACAUGAAGAGAGCAAUAGCAAUAAAACUGAAUGAUCAUUAUGUUAAGCUAACAGAUGGGUCUUGUCCACCACAUCACUCCUAAUGAUGUGAUCCCGUUAUCAAAUGACAACACAUGUCCAUGGUUAGGAAACUUUAACCAUCUUUAAUCAAUGAGCUAGUCUAGUAGAGGCAUACUAGGGACACGGUAGUUGUUUAUGUAUUCAUACAUGUAUUUAAGUUUCCGAUCAAUACAAUUCUAGCAUGGAUAAUAAACCUUUAUCAUGAAUAAUAAACCUUUUCAGGUACUUCGGGAUGUUCUUGACCGCUGUCUAGUGAUCCACUCCUGGAUUACUUUGGUACCUCCCUGCCAGACUUAUGGCAAGGCACACAUCAGGUCUGGUACACAACAUAGCAUACAUGAUAGAACCAAUGGCUGAGGCAUAGGGAAUGACUUUCAUUUUCUCUCUACCUUCUGCAGUGGUCGUGCUUUGAGUCUGACUCAACUUCAAACCUUGUAACACAUGCAAGAACCCUUUCUUUGACUGAUCCAUUUCGAACUUCUUCAAAACUUUAUCAAGGUAUGUGCUUUGUGAAAGUCCUAUCAAGCAUCUUGAUCUAUCCCUAUAGAUUUUGAUGCCCAAUAUAUAAGCAGCUUCACCGAGGUUUUUCAUUGAAAAAAUCUUAUUCAGGUAUCCUUUUAUGCUAUCAAAAAAUUCUAUAUCAUUUCCAAUCAACAAUAUGUCAUCCACAUAUAAUAUUAGAAAUGCUACAGAGCUCCCACUCACUUUCUUGUAAAUACAGGCUUCACCAAAAGUAUGUGUAAAACCAUAUGCUUUGAUCACCUCAUCAAAGCAUAUAUUCCAACUCCGAGAUGCUUGCACCAGUCCAUAGAUGGAUCGCCGGAGCUUGCACACUUUGUUAACACCUUUAAGAUCGACAAAACCUUCUGGUUGCAUCAUAUACAACAAUUCUUUAAGAAAUCCAUUAGGGAAUGCAGUUUUGACGUCCAUUUGCCAAAUUUCAUGAUUAUAAAAUGCGGCAAUUGCUAACAUGAUUCGGACUGACUUAAGCAUCGCUAUGGGUGAGAAGGUCUCAUCAUAGUCAACCCCUUGAACUUGUCGAAAACCUUUCACAACAAGUCGAGCUUUGUAGAUGGUGACAUUACCAUCAGCGUUAUGUCUUCUUCUUAGAAUCCAUUUAUUCUCAAUGGCUUUCCGAUCAUCGGGCAAUUCCACCAAAGUCCACACUUUGUUCUUGUACAUGGAUCCUAUCUCAGAUUUCAUGGCCUCAAGCCAUUUAUCGGAAUCUGGGCUCAUCAUAGCUUCUUCAUAGUUCGUUCUUUCACCAUGGUCUAGUAACAUGACUUCCAGGACAUGAUUACCGUACCACUCUAGUGUGGAACGUGCUCUGUUCGACCUACAAGGUCCAGUAGUAACUUGAUCUGAAGUUUCAUGAUCAUCAUCAUUAGCUUCCUCUCUAGUUGGUGUAGGCAUCACAGGAACGGAUUUCUCUGAUGUGCUAGUUUCCAAAUUGAGAGAAGGUACAAUUACCUCAUCAAGUUCUAGUUUCAUCCCAUUCACUUCGUUCGAGAGAAACUCCUUCUCUAGAAAUGUUCCAUUCUUGGCAACAAAAAUCUUGCCUUCGGAUCUGUGGUAGAAGGUGUACCCAAUUUUUUCCUUAGGGUAUCCUAUGAAGACACACUUCUCCGAUUUGGGUUUGAGCUUAUUAGGAUGAAGCCUUUUGACAUAAGUGUCACAACCCCAAACUUUAAGAAAUGACAACUUAGGUUUCUUGCCAAACCAUAGUUCAUACGGUGUCAUCUCAACGGAUUUAGAUGGUGCCCUAUUUAACAUGAUUGCGGUUGUCUCUAAUGCAUAACCCCAAAAUGAUAGUGGUAAAUCGGUAAGAGACAUCAUAGAAUGCACCAUAUCCAAUAAAGUACGGUUAUGAUGUUCAGGCACACCAUUACGCCAUGGUGUUCCAGGUGGCGUGAGUUGUGAAACAAUUCCACAUUGUUUUAAAUGAAGGCCAAACUCGUAACUCAAAUAUUCGCCUCCGCGAUCAGAUAGUAGAAACUUUAUUUUCUUGUUACGGUGAUUCUCUACUUCACUCUCAAAUUCUUUGAACUUUUCAAAUGUUUCAGACUUGUGUUUCAUUAAGUAAAUAGACCCAUAUCUACUUAAAUCAUUUGUGAAGGUCAGAAAAUAGCAAUACCCGCCACGUGCCUCAACACUCAUUGGACCGCACACUCAGUAUGUAUUAUUUCCAAUAAGUCAUUGGCGCGUUCCAUUGUUUCAGAGAACGGAGUUUUAGUCAUCUUUCCCAUGAGGCAUGGUUCACAAGUAUCAAAUGAUUCAUAAUCAAGUUAUUCCAAAAUUCCAUCAGCAUGGAGUUUCUUCAUGCACUUUACACCAAUAUGACCUAAACGGCAGUGCCACAAGUAUGUUGCACUAUCAUUAUCAAGUUUGCGUCUUUUGGCAUCAAUAUUAUGAAUAUGUGUAUCACUACUAUCGACAUUCAACCAGAAUAGACCACUCUUCAAGGGUGCAUGACCAUAAAAGAUAUUACUCAUAUAAAUAGAACAACCAUUAUUCUCUGGUUUAAAUGAAUAACCGUCUCGCACUAAACAAGAUCUAGAUAUAAUGUUCAUGCUCAACGCUGGCACCAAAUAACAAUUACUCAGGUCUAAAACUAAUCCCGAAGGUUGAUGUAGAGGUAGCGUGCCGACGGCGAUCACAUCGACCUUGGAACCAUUCCCGACGCGCACUGUCAUCUCAUCCUUAGCCAAUCUUCAUUUAAUCCGUAGCUCCUGUUUCGAGUUACAAAUAUGAGCAACCGAACCAGUAUCAAAUGCCCAUGCGCUACUACGAGCAUUAGUAAGGUACACAUCAAUAACAUGUAUAUCAAGUAUACCUUUGUUCAAUUUGUCAUCCUUCUUAUCCGCCAAGUAUUUGGGGCAGUUCCGCUUCCAGUGACCAGUCCCUUUGCAGUAGAAGCACUCAGUUUCAGGCUUGGGUCCAGCUUUGGGCUUCUUCCCGGGAGUGACAACUUGCUUGCCAUUCUUCUUGAAGUUUCCUGUCUUUCCCUUGCCCUUUUUCUUGAAACUAGUGGUCUUGUUAACCAUCAACACUUGAUGCUCCUUCUUGAUUUCUACCUUCGCGCCCUUAAGCAUUGCGAAGAGCUCGGGAAUUGUUUUGUUCACCCCUUGCAUAUUAUAGUUCAUCACGAAUCCUUUGUAGCUUGGUGGCAGUGAUUGAAGAACUCCGUCAAUAACACAAUCAACCGGAAGAUCAACUCCCAGCUGAGUCAAGUGAUUAUAAUACCCAGACAUUUUGAGUAUGUGUUCACUGACACAACUGUUCUCCUCCAUCUUGCAGCUAUAGAACUUGUUGGAGACUUCAUAACUCUCAACCUGGGCAUUUGCUUGAAAUAUUAACUUCAACUCUUGGAACAUCUCAUAUGCUCCAUGACGUUCAAAACGUCUUUGAAGUCGCAGUUCUAAGUCGUAAAGCAUGGCACACUGAAAUAUAGAGUAGUCAUCAGAUCGAGCUUGCUAGACGUUCAUAACAUCAGCUUCAGCUCCUGCAGCAGGCCUUUCACCUAGUGGUGCAUCAAGGACAUAAUUCUACUAUGCAGCAAUGAGGAUAAUCCUCAAGUGAUGGACCCAGUCCGUGUAGUUGCUACCAUCAUCCUUCAACUUAGCUUUCUCUAAAAAUGCAUUAAAAUUCAGUGGAACGGUAGCUCGGGCCUUUGAUCUACAACAUAGAUAUGCAAAACUAUAAGACUAAGUUCAUGAUAAAUUAAGUUCAAUUAAUCAUAUUACUAAAGAACUCCCACUUAAAUAGACAUCCCUCAAGUCAUCUAAGUGAUACGCGAUCCAAAUCAACUAACCUAUGUUCGAUCAUCACGUGAGAUGGGGUAGUCAUCAAUGGUGAACAUCUCUAUGUUGAUCAUAUCUACUAUAUGAUUCAUGUUCGACCUUUCGGUCUCCAGCGUUCCGAGACCAUGUCUGUACAUGCUAGGCUCGUCAAGUUUAACCCAAGUAUUCUACAUGUGCAAAACUGUCUUACACCCGUUGUAUGUGAACGUAGAGUCUAUCACACCCGAUCAUCACGUGGUGUCUCGAAACGACGAACUGUAGCAACGGUGCAUACUCAGGGAGAACACUUAUCUCCACAUUAAGUGAAGGGAUCAUCUUACAAUGCUACCGCCGUUCUAAGAAAAAUAAGAUGCAUGAAAGAUAAACAUCACAUGCAAUCAAAAUAUGUGACAUGAUAUGGCUAUCAUCAUCUUGUGCUUUUGAUCUCCAUCUCCAAAGCAUCGUCAUGAUCUCCAUCGUCACCGGCUUGACACCUUGAUCUCCAUUGUAGCGUCAUUGCGUCGAGGUCGUCACGCCAACUAUUGCUAACGCAUAGUGAUAAAGUAAAGCAAUUACAUGGCGUUUGCACUUCAUACAAUAAAGAGACAACCCUAAGGCACCUUCCGGUUUUCGAUAUUAAAAAACAUGAUCAUCUCAUAUAUCAACAUAUAUCACAUCAUAUCUUGACCAUAUCACAUCACAACAUGCCCUGCAAAAACAAGUUAGACGUCCUCUACUUUGUUGUUGCAAGUUUUACGUGGCUGCUACGGGCUUCUAGCAAGAACUGAUCUUACCUACGCAAAAAACCACAAUGGCGUUUCAUCAAGUUUGCUGUUUUAACCUUCUUCAAGGACCGGCUGUAGUCAAAUUCGAUUCAACUAAAGUUGGAAAAACAGACACCCGCCAGCCACCUUUAUGCAAAACUAGUUGCAUGUCUGUCGGUGGAACCGGUCUCAUGUGCGUGGACAUGUAAGGUUGGUCCGGGCCGCUUCAUCCCACAAUACCGCCGAAUCAAAAUAAGACAUUGGUGGUAAGCAGUAUGACUAUCACCACCCACAACUCUUUGUGUUCUACUCAUGCAUAUCAUCUACGCAUAAACCUGGCUCUGAUACCACAGUUGGGAAACGUUGCAUGGAAAACAAAAAAAAUUCUACGCACACGCAUUGAUCUAUCCAUGGAGAUGCAUAGCAACGAGGGGGGAGUGUGUCUACGUACCCUCACAGAUUGUAAGAGGAAGCGUUUCACAACACGGUUGAUGUAGUCGAACUUUCUUCGCGCUCCAACCGAUCUAGUACCGAACGCAUGGCACAUCCGCGUUCUGCACACGUUCAGCUCCGUGGCAUCCUCCGCCUUCUUGAUCCAACAAGCGGCGAGGUAGUAGAUGAGUUCCGGCAGCACAACGGCAUGGUGACGGUGAUGGUGAUGUGAUCUCCGAAGGGCUUCGCCUAAGCACUACGAAAAUAUGAUCAAGGGAGUAAACAGUGGACGGGGACGCCGCACAUGGCUAAGACAAUGUUCUGUCCUUGUGUGGCGCCCCCUCCCCAUGUAUAUAUAGGUGGGAGGGGAGGGGAGGCAGCCGGGUGCGCCCUAGGGCUGACCGCCGGCCCCUAGGGCCCCUCCCUUGCACUGCGCCCCCCUGCCAUAUUCCCCCAAGGGGGAAAGGAAGGAGGAGGGGGGGAGGAAAGGGGAGACCUAGUCUCCACUUUCCUUCUCCCCUAGGGCCGGCCAGCUAUGGCGGGCGCACCAGCCCCUUGUGGGCUGGUGUGUUCCCUCACUUGGCCCGUAAGGCCCAUAGCUUUGCCGGUGGGGUGCCCGGAACACCUUCCGGUGACCCGAGAAGUACCCGGUACCCUUCAAAAUACUUCCCGUGUCCGAAUACCCUCGUCCUAAAUAUCAAUCUUUACCUCUCGACCAUUUCGAGACUCCUCGUCAUGUCCAUGAUCUCAUCCGGGAUUCCGAACAACAUUCCGUCACCAAAUCAUAUAACUCAUAUAACACUAUAUCGUCAACGAACGUUAAGCGUGCAGACCCUACGGUUUCAAGAACUAUGUAGACAUGACCGAGACACCUCUUCGGUCAAUAACCAAUAGCGGAACCUGGAUGCCCAUAUUGGCUCCUACAUAUUCUACGAAUAUCUUUACCGGUCGAACCAUUAUGACAACAUACGUAAUUCCUUUUGUCCGUCGGUAUGUUACUUGCCCGAGAUUCGAUCGUCGAUAUCUUCAUACCUAGUUCAAUCUCGUUACCGGCAAGUUUCUUUACUCGUUCCAUAAUACAUCACCUCGUGACUAAAUCCUUAGUCAUUUGCUUGCAAGCUUAUGAUGUGUAUUACCGAGAGGGCCCAGAGAUACAUUUCCGAUACUCGGAGUGAAAAAUCCCAAUCUUGAUCUCAACAAACACCUUCGGAGAUACCCGUAGAGCAUCUUUAUGAUCACCCAGUUACGUUGUGACGUUUCAUAGAACACAAGGUAUUCCUCCUGUAUCUGGGAGUUGCAUAAUCUCAUAGUCAAAGGAAUAUGUAUUUGAAAUGAAGAAAGCAAUAUCAAUAAAACUGAACGAUUAUUAUGCUAAGCUAAUGGAUGGGUCUUGUCCAUCACAUUAUUCUCCUAAUGAUAUGAUCCCGUUAUCAAAUGACAACACAUGUCCAUGGUUAGGAAACUUUAACCAUCUUUGAUCAACGAGCUGGUCUAGUAGAGGCAUAGUAGGGACACGGUAUUUGUUUAUGUAUUCACACAUGCAUUUAAGUUUUCGAUCAAUACAAUUUUAGCAUGAAUAAUAAACCUUUAUCAUGGAUAAGAAAAUAUAAAAUAACAACUUUAUUAUUGCCUCUAGGGCAUAUUUCCUUCACUAUUAUGUUAAACUACAUCAUGGCUAUAUCACCAAAGACUACUAUAAAAAUAAGGGGUUGAGUCCAACAUCCAAGGGGUUUUCUAAAACUUAAUGUGGAUGCCUCUUCUGAUCAUGAGCCGCUUAGUGGCACGAUUGGUGCUGGUUUGAGGGACGAUAAAGGAAAAUUCAUUACAAGGGGAUUCGGGAAUUGAUUGGUGCACAGAUGUCCUGACGGCUGAAGCUUUGGCGCUUAGAUAUGGUCUAUCCAUUGCUCAAAAGGCAGGUUACAACCGCCUCGUUAUUAACUCAAAUAAUUUGAAGGUCAUUGAAAUCAUGAACAAUGGAGGACGGACGACGAGUACGGCAGCGGAUGUGUUUGACAAUUGUUAUAUUUUUGGCUUGUGAUUUUUUUUCAUUACUAGAUUUGAGCAUUUUUUUCGAAUACGCGCGAGUGUGUGUAUCAUAUUUUAUAGAAGAAAGGGGGAAAGAAUCCCAACCACCGGUGAUGUUACAGGGAGUAAAACACUACAACAUCAAGAACGCUUACAACGCAAUGCUCCACCCUCAGUGUACAAAAUGGGAUAUACUCGCUACGCGCCCACCCCGACAACAACUCAAACAGACUAUCCACUUCGCCCUUCAAUUGGCUCGCCUACUGCCAAGCUCUUUCCUCAACGACGACUCGCCUGACCAUGGCCUCCAGAGACGGAGAAGCACCGUCGAAAACAAUCGCGUUCCUGUGCUUCCAAAGCUCCCAAAACACGAGUGUGAGGAGAGCCCUCAACUCCUUUGGCUUGCGCACGUCUGUUGUUCUCGCAACGCACCAACCCUGGAGGGUGUCUUGGGCCGUGGGUGACCACUCCGGUUUUCCUAAGGCCAAACACACUGUUCUCCACACUAUUCUCGUGAAUACUAGAUUUGAGCAUUGUAAUAGGCAAGCAAAUAAGGUUGUCCAUGAACCUGCUAAGUUAGCUAGAUUUUCUUCGACUUUUGACUGAUUUGAGAAGCCUUUGAGUGACAUCGUAUCCCUCCUCAUAAACGAUGUACUUGUUAUUUCAAAUGAAUAAAGUUCUGUGUUUUUUCUUAGAAAAAGAGGUAUAGAUAUAGGUUCUACGUACCUUGACCAUAUGAAGCUUGACGGAGCACUUUUUUUUUAAACACUCAUGGAGCACUUUGGUGGUCCAGCCUUUCUUAACCCUAGCCGGAACUUUAAACGAGAACGCAGCAUGGUUGACCAUAGUGUCAUCAACGAUCCAUGGUACCUUCAAUGAUGAUAUUCGAACGGAAACUGUAAAGAUGGGAUGAGACCAAAGGUUAGCAUUAGCUAGCGUGAUGCGGUUGACUGCUGGUCGUGGGGCUCAGAGGAAAGGAGAAUGAAAACGGUGCGCGCGUGUGUGGUCUUGCUUUCAUUCCUUGGACUGAGACUUGACAAUCUGCAAAUGGUCCACCGCCACGAGAUCCACGACGCCGUGUCUCCUGCUCAUUUUCUUAUCUACUCUAUGCAAAUAUUAUGCUGAGAACAGGGCAUUGCACGCUUGUGCUACAACACUGCUUGGGAGCUGCAACUCGUGCUCGGCGCUCUAGACAUUAUGAUUGUGUCGUCAAGAGUUUCUGCUUAUCGCUCCAGAAUUCAGAUCAAUCAGAUGCUCUUCCCGCAAAAAAGAGAUGCCUUUUGCUAUUGCUUUUCUGAUUGCCCGAUCUGGCCGGCUCGAAGCACCUAUCGGACAGAAAAACUAAAAAUAGCCGUUUCACUAGAAUCAUGCUAAAAACAGCUUCGUCAAACUCAAGAUCUGUUGAUACAAUUUUUUUAGAGGUGUGUGCGUGCGUGUGUGAAAUGAGUAUGCAUUUGUGUAUAUUAACGUCUGUGUGUUUGUAAAAAAAAAGUCAUGCCAAGAAGGAUGGAAUAUAAGUGGUCCAGGUUGCCAACGAAUUUGCCUCAAUUUUGAACCAAGCACAUCUUCCCUGAACGUCAAUGCUAGCGCGUUUCCUAUUUGGCGCUUGACAUGCUGGUUAAAGCUUUACUCGUAGGAAGGCACCCACGUUAGUCACACUAGUUCCUCUAUGGGCUGGCCCACGUUUCUUUUCUCACCGGUUUUUCCUGGGGCAGGUUUGCGGGUUUUCUCUGCGUUUUCCAUAGCAAGUUUUCUUUGUUUUUUUAUUUCUUUUCUUUUCAAUUUUCCUUUUUCUUAUUUUUCAAAUUCAUGUUUUUUUUAAUUUUGUAAAAACAAUCACAUUUGUGAACAUUUUUAAAAUUUUCCGAACAUUUUCAGAUCAGCGAAUUUGUUUCAAAUUUGUGAACAUUUUGAAAAUCUAUGAACAUUUUAAAAAUUUACAAAAAAAAUUCAAAUUUGAGAACAUUUUCCAGUCACAAACUUUCAAAAUCUAUGUACUUUUUCAAAUAUGUAUACUUUUCAUGAAUGUUUUUCCAAUUUGUGAGCUUUUUUCAAUUUCGUGAACAUUUUCCAAAUUCAUGAUUUUUCUUCAAAGUUUUGAACUUUUCGAAUUCAUUAAUUUUUCAAGUUUUCUUAACAUUUUUUGGAAUUUGUGAACUUGUUUCAAAUUCAUGGUUUUUUUUCAAAUUGCUAAACUUUUUUUUCAAAUCCGUGAGCAUUUUUCGAAUAUACAAAUGAUUUUUUCGAAUUUCCGAAUAUUUUCAAGCUCGCGGACAUUUUUUGAAAUCCCUAAAUAGUUCUUAAAAUCUUGUGAACGCUUUUUUGCUUUCAUAAUCUUUUAAAAAAUUGUUUUUCCAUCAACCAACAGGAGAGGAACAAGCGGGGGUGCCAGCCGAUUGAACGAACCAUCCAGCGAGCAAGCCUACGUAGCGAACCACCGAACGAACCUACCUAGCAAACCAACUCGCGAGCAGAUAGCGAGCAAAGCCUAUUUGGCUCACGACCCACUAAGGAUGCGUGAGAGCAUUGUUUGCACCAAUCGACGCUUAUAGCGUUGAAUAGGAGGUGUCCAACGCCAUACAACUUCUUUUAUCUCCAAAAAGGCAUAAUGCCAACUUGGCCGCAACGACCACUAUUGAACCGCGAUAGCUUCGGCUUAUCAAGGGCAAGGACCCACGCAUCGUGUUGCACGAGACCUCCUAUUGGAUGCCCGUUGGCGUCAAAUAGGAGAGGCUCCGCCUAAAAGCCAGGGCAAAUGGGCUGGCCCACUCUACCGCAAGCGGGGUUUUUUGGUUUUCUUAUUCGCUGUUUUCUUAAAAAUGUGUGUUGUUUUUUUGGAGCAAAAGGAAUAGCACAUGGUAAACUACAAGUUCACUUGAAUAUCAUUUGUGUGGGUAUGGUGGUCAAUAUGGAUGUCCACGGUUUCGCUAUUUAUCAUUGAUCGGAGCAAGAUCCUGUCAUGUCUAUAAUUCAUCGAACCUGCAGGUCACAUGCUUAAGGGUCACUGAUCUGCUGAGUACUAGGUGAUUAAGAGACGUAGAAAUGCUUUGGAGAAAAAAAAUCGGAAAAGCUGGGUAGCCGAAAAAAUUCCAGGAAGCAUCCGGAAAUUUUGGGAGAGUUCCAGAAUGGUUCUGGGCCUCCCGAAAUUUUCCCAAAGGUGCCAAGGGGCUGCCACUUGGCUUGGCCCAAGUGGGGUAGCCGCACAUAUGUGGCGGCCAAUGAGAGAAAGGGGGGCCCACGGUGUGGCGCCCAAGAGGAAGGAGGCCCCCUUGGGAAGUGGCGCCUAGAGGGGGGGGCUUUCGGGGUAGCCCCGCCUUUUUGUGUGGCAAUUUUUGUUGACGGAGUGGGGCUUUGGGGGCAACUUUUGGUGAGUGCGGCCCCCUUUGGGGCUACCUCCUUCCACCCCUUCCCCUCCCUUCAACUCUAAACAGAGGAGGAGGGCAGCCAUCCAAAGCACAACAAAGCUCUCAUUCAUUUGGCAUGCUAUGAUCAGCCUCUCUCUCUCUCUCUAGUUUCUCCAUGAAAUAGUUCCAUUGGGUCGCAAGGCUGCUCCACCACUCACUAGUCUCCGGUGACAAUUAGUUAUGGACAUCAGAGAGCCAUCGGAUUGGUGACAUCGUAUGUUUGCAACCCGUUGGAGAGAUCGUGCUUUCAAUCUUUGUUCCAGGGAGAAAAUUCUCGCGGUUGGGAGGCUGUAAAUCCUAGCUGUGGGAAUUUGCACCAACAAUAGUCACCAACUCUUCUUCCGCUGCAACUCUGAGUUGGUAACGAUUAGAUCUAACCUUGUAUGCACCUUCAUGGUGGUUCUGGGCUGGUAAUAGGAUGGAAAUGUAUAUUUUUCUACUGCGUUCCCCAACAUAUAGUAGAGUGGAAAUACCUCAAGGGUGUCUUGCUGAAAUUGGGUUUAGUGCUAGAUGGGUGGAGAUGGUAUGGAGAUGCAUAACUUCUAUGAAAUAUGUAACCAAAGUCAAGGGUGAUUUGACCGAACCCUUUAAACCUACUAGAGGUAUUAGGCAAGGGGAUCUAGUUAGCCCCUACCUAUUUCCGUUAUGUGUUGAAGGCUUACCUUGUUUAUUGCAGCAAAAAUAAGCAUUGGAGGACUUGAAAGGAAUUCACAAUGGUAGGUUUGGUCCUCCUAUCUCCUACCUCCUUUUUGCUGACGAUAGUGUGUUCUUUGUUAAUGGAGAUGACAAGAGUGUACAGACCCUAAAAUAAGAUCUAGAUACGUAUUGAGAUGGGUCUAGAUAGAAAAUCAACUUUCAGAAAUCGUCUAUAUUUUUGGUACACAUUUUGAUGAACAAAUAAAGGAAAGAAUGAAAAGGAAAAUUGGAGUCCAAGAUGACACAUUACAAGCUACUUAUCUCAGCAUGUCGGCCUGGGUGGGACUUUCACCAACUAUUUGCUUCAAUUUUCUCACUAGUCGGAUAUGGAAGACUUAAUGGUUAGAAUGAUAGGCCCUUAUCAAGAGUAGAGAAAGAAGUUCUGUUAAAAUUGGUCGCACAGGCAAUUCCAACAUAUGUAGCGAGUUGUUUUCUCCUUCCCAUUGGCGUUUGUGAAAAUAUAAGAAGAUCAAUUUCAAACUUCUAGUGGGGCAUAGAAGAUGGGAGAAGGAAACUACAUUGGAUAUCAAGGAAGUGGUUGUCCUCACGAAAGUUCCUAGGAGGCAUGGGAAUUAGUGAUAUCUCAAUUUUCAAUCAAGUCAUGUUGGGUAAACAAUGUUGGCGCCUUUUGAUCAAAGCCAACUAUUUGUGCGCCCGAGUAUUAUAUGGUAGGUACUAUCCCGAUGGGGAUUUUAUGACUGCGAUGCUCGAGGUCUUCAUCCUACACAUGUCGUAGUCUGAUGUAUGGGACGCAACUAAUGCAAAAGGGCCUCCAUUGGAGAGUAGGAGAUGGAAAAAACUCUGCAAUCAAUGAGUGCAAACCAAUUAGUGAGCUCCUUGAUUAUCGAGGGGGGAACAACAAUGGAAUGAGGUAGUCAUCAAAAAUAAAUUCUUAGAGGAAACAUGGAGCAUUCCUUUAAGUUGAGAAAGUGGUAUGCAUUUUGCCUCAUGGCCCCACACAAAGAAUGGCAUCUACACUAUCAAAUCAGCCUAUAGUCUAGCUAGAAAGGAUUUUUGGAGAGAGCAGACUGUAGAUGGAAAAUGUUUGACAUCAAACAUAAACCAUUGGAGAAAAUGUGGAAGAAUUUGUGGGCAUUUCCGUGUUCUAAUAAAGUGAAAGUAGUAUUAUGGAGGCUGGCUCAUGGUUAUCUCCCUACAGAUGCAAGUCCUUGAAGUCAAAACCAAAAUUGGUUUCACCAUGAGGAUGGUCAAUGCUUGUCAACGUGGAUGCAACAAUCUUUUCUCGGUCUACAAGAGCGGGAUUAGGUGUGGUGAUUCGUGAUCAUCGGGGGAUGGUGUAGCCGGCAAGCAGAUGCUACUUUGCUCAAAUUCAAAAUCCUCAAAUUGCAGAAGCCGCGAUAGUACAUCAAGCCUUAUUUCUUGCUUGGGAGAAAGGCAUGUAGAAAUCUGUGGUGGCUUCUAAUUGUUUGUUGCUGAUCAACAAGAUCAAAGAAACAAAAUUUGAAUACAUCGCCUACAGGAGCAAUAGUCCAUGGUAUCAAGAACUGGGCUACAAAGUUUAUAUCUCAUAACUUCAUCCAUGUUAAUCGGCCAUGUAAUUUUGUAGCUAACACUCUUGCUAAGUCAGCAGAGUAUGAUGGUUGAUCAUGUUGGUUUAAUUAAAGUACUAGAUUUAUUAGGACAAUUAUAUGUAAUGAACAAGCUUAUGUGAUUAAAAGGCUACUGCCAGUUACCUAAAAAAUGUUGAUGUGUUAAAGGAAAGAUGGUCCUGCCAGUCCUAUUAACCACUGAUGCACGUGUAGCUCAUGUGCCAAAGCAGAUGGAUGAGGGUCCUCGUCGGACACACCCACCAACUGGCUGGGAAAAACUCAACACCGAUAGCUCUUUUGUCGCGGGGAUGUCGGUGGAGGUAUGGUUCUCCGAGAUGAAGAUGAUGUCAUCAUAUUCAUGGCUUAUUGGCAAAUCCUCACUUGUGAUAGCACACUGGGGCAGAGUUGGUUGCCUGCCUAGAAGGGAUCACACUUGUGCUCCAUCAAACGUUGAAGCCCAUCAUCAUCGAGCUAGACAGUGUAGAAGCUGCCAAUAUAAUCCAAGAUACUGCUUGUAAUAGGUCCAAGUUUAUGCCCAUCAUUAGAUAAAUUCAGUCGCUCCUUGUAGAUGAAAGGAAGAUUGUAGUUACUCAUAUUAGACAUAAGCAAAAUAGAGUCAACCAUGACCUUCUCUCUAUGGUCACGCCACCCCCUGUACUAUGGUCUAGAUAGGGGCCAGUGCGGAGGGAAUUACUCCACCCGUUUCUUUUUCAUUUACAUAUAAGAUUUGGUCAAAGUCAAACUUUAUAAAGUUUGACUAGCUUUGUAGGAAAUGAUAUCAACAUUCAUACUAUGAAAUCAAUAUUAUUAGAUGCCUAAUCAAAUUAAUUUUCAUAAAUAUGACUUCAGUAUUGUAGAUGUUGAUAUUUUUUCUAUAAAUUUACUCAAACUUUAUAAAGUUUGACUUUGACCAAAUUUUAUAUGCAGACUAAAAAGAAAUGAAGGGAGUAUGAAUUUGUGUAAGAAUGAUGUUCUACCUGCUUGAGUAAUACAAUCUCACUUUUCCUGCGAAACAACAACCAAAGUAGCUUUCUUCAAAAAAUGGAAAAACAAAAGAGAACCCCAGAAAUUAGACAAAACCAAACAUUAUGAAUGAUUGUAAGACCGGCUAUAGUGGUUGUAUCUUAGCUAGUAUCAUGCACUCUAGCUUGGAAAAAACGCUAAUGUGACAGAUAAUGAAAGAAGAUAGAGAGCAUUAGAGUAACAUAGGUAGAUACAAUAACAAAGCGUAAAUUAUAAAUAGAAAUGCAAACCGAUCUCGUGUGCUUCGUCCCUACUACUCCUUACCCACCUCUUCCUCCUCCACAGCGCCUGCAUCUCCCGCCUAGCGCAUCCAUCUCCCGCUCGAGUAGUCUACCCAGCCGACUCCAUCUCUCACUCUUUUCUCCAUCCUCCUCUCAGGGGCCUCGCCGUGCGGCGGCAUCGAGUUGUGGCGCCACUCGAAUCAUGGCGAGAUCUGGCGCCCGCAACGAGCGACACAUGUCCGGCCAUCGGCCACCUUGCUACAACAACUGUUUGUCGACACCCCGAUGAGCUCCUGCGUCGAUCCCUCUCGACCAUCGCACUUCUACCUCGGCACCAUGGCGAGCUCCUCUGCCAACACCACGACACCGCCGCACUUCUAACCCGUCACCCAUCGAGCUCCAUGGAGAACCCCUCUUUGAAUCAAUGGUAAGUUCUUCUUGUUUUUGCUAGAUAAUUAUUAUGUGAGUUCUUCAUCUAUAUGUGAGUUUACCACUGAUGUGAGUUCUUCCUGCUGCAUGACGAGUUCUUCCUAUAUAUGUGAGGUUAUUAUGCUUCUUCAUUGGUGAACAAAUACUUUAGUACACAAUAUGACAAGCAUUCAAGCAGAACUAUAAUUGGAAGAGUCAGUACAUAAGCUAACUAGGUGCAUUCUCAUCAGCAGACAGAGUGCAUACCGAGUUCUACUUAACUAAAUGUUUUUCAGGCAAGUCAUAAAACACAUAGACCCUCAUUCUCAGAUUUAUCUAUUUUAGGUUCUGCAAAUGAUAUAGUAGUUUUAAGGGAAAGUUAAGUUAUCGGUAGCAUCAAUUUUCAAAGAAGAUGCUUACUGGGUUACUAAAGAUGGUCAUGUCAGAUUUCUCACAAAACAAGAGAUGACCAUGUUGGCCUCAAAUGCGCAAUGAUUUAUCAUAGAAAUCAGUUACAAUUUGAGGCUAGUAAAUAGAUUUUGCAAAGGUGCUUAGCAUGGGAAAAAAUUGGUUGCAGUUUCCAUGAUAUUCCUACCUUGUACCUUUUCUCCACAUUGUCAUGAUAUGCCUACCUUGUAAUUUUGCUUCAGAUUGUCAUGAUCUUCCAAGGUUGUUAUUGUUUCACUUUACAUGCUAUCUCCGAUGUCCGAUGAUUCAGUCAUGAAUUAUCAUACUUAUAAUAGGAGUCCAUUUUAUAACCCUGCUCCCGAAAUUUUGCUUAGUUUUGGACAAUUGCUGCCAAUGCAUCCGUAUAAUUUCCAGCAACUGCCAAUGCACCAUCACAAACAAGGGAACCAAAGGAUGAACAAUCUGCCUUAUUUAGUACUUCCGCACAUGACUCCUUCUCAACACUACCACCACCACCACCGCACCCUAAAGUUGCAUCUCGGUCUGGUCCUGCCAAAGUGAAUUCAACUUCUUCCAAAAGGAAAACGAACGCUACCAAUGUUGGUGAUGAUAAACCAAGUGGAAUGACCGCACACCAUAUGUCCUAAGGUAAUAUAGAUGUUCCUUGCUCAACUCCUUUCUAUAUGAGUUUAAAUUCUUUUAGCUUGUUAGGCUCGACUAAAUUAAAUGUUCACAAUGUAGCAAGUGCUUUGUUGGAUGUUCAACUGAUUCCAUUGAUGGGAAUGGUAAGAAGGGUGAGAAAUUCCAGGAUGACAUUGCUGCUCUGUAUAACAGUACGCCACCAAAUAACUAGAAGAGGGAUCAAAAUCAGUUGAAGCAAGAGUGGCAAACGACCAAGAAAAGGAUUGGUGCUUUCCAUGAUGAGUGGACUCUUGCAGCCUUCUUACCACUAUUGUUUCAACUGAUUCCGAUAUCUCUUCCAGUUACUUGGUGUUGAACUAUUAUAUAGAGCAGCAAUGUCAUCUCGGAACUACUCACGCUUCUUACCAUUCCAUCGAUGGGAUCAAUUGAACACUCCAACCAAGUGCUUUCCCACAUUUUGAACAUUUAAUUUAGUUCCAACAAGCUACAAGAAUUUAAAUUCAUACAGAAAGGAUUUGAGCAAGUAAUAUUGAUAUUGCCAAUUGUUCAUGUUUCUCAAGUGCUUAGGACAGACGGUGUGCGAUACUUUCAUGUGGUUUGUCAUCAUCAACAUUGAUAACCUUCUUUUUCCUUUUCAAACAAGUUGAAUUCACUUUAGUAGGAGCCGACCGAGAUGCAACUUUACGGUGCGGCGGUGACGGUGGUGGUGUUGGGUGAGAAUGAUGUGGCAAAUUAACAACAAACUGCAAAUUCUCCAUCAUUUGGUUCCCUUUUUCAUGAUGGUGCAUUGGCGGUCCUUGAAAAUUAUACACAUGCAUUGGUGGCAAUUGUCCAAAACUAAGCAAACCUUCGGACACAACGGUAUACAAUUGCAUCCUUGAAAGUGCAUGUAGUCCCCAUGUGUGGUUUUGGUAAUUGAUGACAAUCCUAAUGGACUAAUGUUUGCAUUGAGUUAUCCAUUUGAAGGAAAGUUCCAUUUGUAUUCAUUUGAAGGAAAGUUCCAUUUGCAAUACAUGAAUAAUAUUGGAUGAAUUGAAGGAUAUUUGUUCCAUGGUGAUGCAAGGAGGAGAUCGAGUGGAUUCGGAAUGGAUGCCAUAUACAUAUAGUUGUGCAUCAAGAUUGAGAUCAAUGAUUGAAUCAAAUAUGAUCAAGAUGAAUUUUGUGCGAGAAACAAGACGUGAUCUAUAUGGAGUUCAUUAAAGAUCUCAGAGGUUCUCAUGAUUAGGACUAUGGACUAAACCAUGAUGGAUCAAGAUCUUGAGAGAAUGAUUAAAGAGAAGAAUUCUACAUACGCUUGAAUAUAGGAUCAUGAUGAGCUCAUAUGUUGAGUCAUGUAUGAUUAUGUCUUGAAGCAAAUAAUUCAUGUGAAGAAUUCAUUGUGCCUCUCAAGAUACUAUGUUGGAACAUGAAAACGAGAAAAUGAUGUCCAAUAUGAUACUCAUGGAGAAACUUGAUAUGGACAUGGUGAAUUGAGAUAUUGGUGACCAUGUCUUGAAGCAAUGAAGCAUAGUGAAGAGAUCAAUAGGGCCUUCAAGACAUUAAGAUUAAUCAUGGAGCAAAUAUAAAUGUUGACCAAGAUGAAGAUAAAAAAUUGAACUCAAAGAUGGUCAACACACAAGCGCAAAUCAUUGCCACAUGAUAUCUUGUGGUACGGUAAGAACUUAUCAAUUGCGCUCUUGUACUAACCCAUUCUAUGUGUUUUCUAUACCCAUGUGGGUUAGGUGGUUCUUAUGGACUAACAACAAAAGAAAGAUUUCAAGUGCCCUUGAGAGGAUGAAAUCAAGUGUUGAUGUUCAUGGCUGACAAGGGCAAGUUCAAGAUAGCCACCCCGAAGGAUUACAUGCUUGAAGCUUGUGGAUGAUCACAUGGUGAACAUAUGAAGAUGAAUACAAUUUGAAGCCUUCACCUAGUGUCUUGAUCAAUAUCAUCAUUCCAAAUUGAGCCAAGCAUAAACAUUAACAUCAAGCUUAAUUGAAAUGCUUUAGUCAAAGGUAUUAGUUCCUUUGGCUUUAGAUGUGAGGUUCGAUGACCAUCGAAAAGGAUGUAUUCUCAAGAAUGAGUUUCCAGAAGCUAUCCAGUAUAAUUCUUUUACGAUUCUUGAGUUAUAGGGAUCCCACACUAUUAAGAGGGGAUCAAAGGGGUUAGUGAUGGAUUUUCUCAAGUCCACAUCAUCUAUUUAUAUUCUUCCUCACAUCAUAUUCCAACAUAGGCAUAUUUCACACAUAUCUAAUGCAAAUACAAAAUACCUACACAUCUACAAAAGAAAAUCCAAAGCCGACUAGGUUCCCCAAAGUAUGUGUCUAACCUUUGCAUACUUUUAACCAUUCAUUUCGGCUUAUCUUGGGUGGUUCUAUAUGUGAGGACCUGGAGUUUUUCCAUAGCCUCAAAACAAGCCCAAGAUCGUCAAAAUCGGAGUCUGGGUGUAAAAGUUAUGUAUGUUUCAGCUUUGUGGUUCCUGCUGUUUUUUUAUGGGCCAGAUAUCCGGGACUUGGCCGGAUGUCCGGGAUCCUCCAGGAAAUCCGGCCGCCGAUGUCCAAAUACCAUGUUGGAAUGUUGGUCAUGUCCUCCGAAUGUUCGGAGCCCCAACUUUGGCCAGAUGCCCGGCCCCUGUACAUUGCCUCUGUUUUUCUAUGUACGUGUGCACAUUUAUCAGCCACUGGAUGUUUGGCCUGACACAUCCACUUACUCACAAACGGCUAGUUUUCUACGCUUGCUAUAUAUACCCCUCUACCAAUCCGGUAGAGGGUUGACCACUCAAUCCAAAAGAACCCUAGAACACCAACUGGCUCCCUCUCACUUCUCCUACACAAAAUCUUAGAUCUCGGAGAGAUUCGUGAGAGUUCUUGAGAGAUUUUCCAAUCAAGUGAUAGAUCAACUCCCUCUCCCACUUGUAACCAAAGGAAUUUGUGAUUUGAGCAAGUCUUGAGCAUUUCCCCCUUGAUCUUGUUACUCUUGGAGGUUGGAGACUCCUAGGCGGUAGGACCGCUCCGGUGAGGAAUCAACUUGUGAAGGUUUGGAGGCCGCGUCAAGGUCUACCACUAGUGGUUGAGAAACACCUUCAUGGUGUUAUCUCGAAGUGAGAAUAGGGUGAUCCUUUGUGGUGUUGGUGUGCCUUCAUGGUAACAUCCACCUCUCUAACAGUGACUAGCUUCCCUCCAAGGAAGUGAACAUCGGGAUACAUCCUCAUCUUCUUGUCUUCGGUUAUCUCUAACCCUAGCCACUACUUGUGGUUUACUUUGGUCUCUUGACCUUGCAUUCACUAUAUAUUGUUGUCCUCAUUAUAUUGUGUUGGCUAUCUCCUUGUAGAGAUUAUUUAGGACUACACUUUAUAUCCCGCGAUUCAUACUUGUUACUAUUGAUAUAUCUUGUCAUUAGUAUGAAUUGCUAACUUGUGUCAUACUCUUACAUAUCUUGUGAUAUUGCUCAACUAAGUUUGUGUAACUUACUUGUGCUUGUUAGUAUCCUUGUUGUGCUCAUCUUUUUUAGAUCAAGUUGUUGGUGCACUUGGUUGAGCACAGUAUAUUUAGGAUUUGUGCUUAAAAAUUACACUCUUAGUUUAUUUCCGCAUUAGCGCGAAGCCAAAUCCGUAGAAGUUUUUAAAACACCUAUUCACCCCCUCUAGGCGACAUCGUGGUACUUUCAAUUGGUAUUAGGGCUAGGUCUUUCCUUAUUAGGCUUUACCGCCUAGAGAGUAUUGAUGUCAACUAGUGAUUAGUGCAUAGUGAUACCUUUGCUUUUGCUGGCACAAAUUAUCACUUGUGGAGAAUUCACAUACUUUGCCACUUUCGGGCCAUGGGUCCAAAUACUUUGUGAUGCGGCUUGAAGCUAUGUCGGUAUUUCCCCAAAGAGGAAGGGAUGAUGCAGCAUAGCAGAGGUAGGUAUUUCCCUCAGUGAUGAGACCAAGGUUAUCGAACCAGUAGGACAACCAAGAAACACAACGUAAACAACCCCUGCACACAAAUAACAAAUACUCGCAACCCGACGUGUAAAAGGGGUUGUCAAUCCCUUUCGGGUAGCGGCGCCCAAAGAUAGGCAAACAGAUGUGAAUAAAUUGUAGUAGAUGGAUAGAUCGAACGCCAAAUAAAAUAAAGUGCAACAAGGUAUUUUUGUAUUUUUGGUUUAAUAGAUCUGAAAAUAAAAGCAAAGGAAAAGUAUAUCGCAAAGGCAAAUAAUAUGAGAAAGAGACCCGGGGGCCGUAGGUUUCACUAGUGGCUUCUCUCGAGGAAAAUAGAAAAUGGUGGGUAAACAAAUUACUGUUGGGCAAUUGAUAGAACUUCAAAUAAUCAUGAUGAUAUCCAGGCAAUGAUCAUUAUAUAGGCAUCACGUCCAAGAUUAGGAGACCGACUCCUGCCUGCAUCUACUACUAUUAGUCCACACAUCGACCGCUAUCCAGCAUGCAUCUAGUAUAUUACGUACAUGGAGAAAUGGAGUAAUGCAAUAAGAACGAUGACAUGAUGUAGACAAGAUCUAUUUAUGUAGAAAUAGACCCCAUCGUUUUAUCCUUAGUAGCAACGAUACAUACGUGUCGGUUCCCCUUCUGUCACUAGAAUCAAGCACCGUAAGAUCAAACCCACUACAAAGCACUUCUUCCCAUUGCAAGAUAAAAAGAUCAAGUUGGCCAAAAAAACCCAAAUAUCAGAGAAGAAAUAUGAGGCUAUAAGCAAUCAUGCAUAUAAGAGAUCAAAGAAACUCAAAUAACUUUCAUGGAUAUAAAAAGAUAGAUCUGAUCAUAAACUCAAAGUUCAUCCGAUCCCAACAAACACACCGCAAAAAGAGUUACAAGAUAUGGAUCUCCAAGAGACCAUUGUAUUGAGAAUCAAACGAGAGAGAGGAAGCCAUCUAGCUACUUACUACGGACCCGAAGGUCUACAAAGAACUACUCAUGCAUCAUUGGAGAGGCACCAAUGGAAGUGGUGAACCCCUCCGUGAUGGUGUCUAGAUUGGAUCUAGUCGUUCUGGACUCUGCGGUGGCUAGAAUUGAUUUUCGUCCACUCCCCUAGGGUUUCUGGAAUAUUAGGGUAUUUAUAGAGCAAAGAGUCAGUUCAGGGGGCACCUGAGGUGGGCACAACCCACCAGGGCGCGCCUGGGCCUCUUGGCGCGCCCUGGUGGGUUGUGCUCCCCUCGGAGCACCCCCAGGCGCUUCUUCGGCCCACUGGAUGUCUUCUGGUCCAAAAAAAUCUCCAAAAAGUUUUGUUGCGUUUGGACUCCGUUUGUUAUUGAUUUCCUGCGAUGUAAAAAACAUGCAGAAAACAGCAACUGGCACUUGGCACUAUGUUAAUAGGUUAGUAGCAAAAAAUGAUAUAAAAUGACUAUAAAAUGAUUAUAAAACAUCCAAGAUUGAUAAUGUAACAGCAUGGAACAAUCAAAAAUUAUAGAUACGUUGGAGACCUAUCAGCAUCCCCAAGCUUAACUCCUGCUCGUCCUCGAGUAGGUAAGUGAUAAAAACAGAAUUUUUGAUGUGGAAUGCUGCCUAACAUGUCAUCUCAUAUUCUUUUCUUUAUAGCAUGGACAUUUGGACUUUUAUAUUGUUCAAAGCAAUAGUCUAGUUUUGACAUGAUAACUUAAAUACUCAAGCAUACCAACAAGCAACCAUGUCUUUCAAAUUAUCAACGCUAAAAUAAGUUAUCCCUUGCCCAUCAUGCUCAAUCAUUGAUCCAUUCAUGAAACACACUCGCAGAUUAGCUACACCCAAUACUCAACUACGAUCAUAGUUCCUCCUAGUUUAUGCUUUUAUAAGAGAAGAUGGAGACUCAAAUUCAAAAGUAAAAAUUGCAUAAAGUAAAAGAAAGGCCCUUCGCGGAGGGAAGUAGGGAUUUGUGGAGGUGCCAGAGCUCAAAGCGAAAAACUUAGAGAUAAAAACAUUUUGGGAGGUGUGUCUUUCCCACCAAGGACAACGGCUUAGAGUUCCCAACACUUUCCAUGCUAGAUAUAUCAUAGGCGGUUCCCAAACAGAAAAUAAAGUUUAUUCCUUUUUCCACCAUACUUUCACUUUCCAUGUCUAGCUGUAUCCACGGUUGCCUUCUGUACCAACACUUUCUAAGGAAUUUAUUAUUUGACAACAUAAAGUAAAUUCAUUUUUCAUUUCGGGACUAGGCAUCCCUAAUUCCUUUGCCUUACUCUCGUGCAAUGACAAGUGAAUAAACACUCAUCAUGAGAAUAACACAUCUAGCAUGGAAAAUAUUAGCCACCCCACACCGCUCCGCGGGCGGUACGUACACACAAAAGAGAAGUUUAUUUUGAAAAUUAGAGAUGGCACAUACAAAUUUUCUUAGAACGGCAAAAGAAUACCGCAUAUAGGUAGAUAUAGUGGACUUGUAACAUCCCAAAAUUCUAAAUUUUGGAUUAUUAUAUUAAAUAGAUAGAUUUGAUUGAGUGCUUGAUUGAUUGAGUGAAAUUUGAAACUUUUCGAAAGUUAAAUGAGAGGGAAUAAAAGGACUUUCCCAAACUUUCAUUUUUGCUUUUAUGAUCUCCAUGAAUUCAAAUUCUUUUCACCACAAAACCCUGGAGAGAAGAUGACAUGACUUCUUCCAUUUAUUGAAAUGACAAGGGUGUUGAAAAUAUUUGAAUUUCAUUUGAAAAUAUUUCCAAUUCUGAAACUUUACGCAACUCAAUGAUUUUCAAGAGCGAAGCUAAAAUGACUUCUUCAAAACAUAUGAAAUAUGAGUUGGAAGUUUCAAAGAAACCAAAUUUAACGCCCCUUUGAAAUCAUUUUCAAUUUGGAGUUAUUUUAGUUUUUAUUUCAAAUUAUUUUUCUCAAAAAAUAAAAUAUAUGGAAAAUAGGGUAACAUGAUUCCCUACAUCGGAAAAUUGGAGGGAAAUACAUUUGAAAUUAUUUUGGUAUUUUUAAAAUGAUUUUUAUUGGAUUUUAGUAGGGGAGUAGCACUCUUUGAAUUAUUUGAAUUUUUCUCGAAUUUAUUUGACUUGACAAAAAUGUUCAUGCUGUAGGAAAUCUUUUUCUGAAAAUUUUGAUAUAUUAUAUGCCUAUAUAAUAUUUUUUAUUUUGUUUUUAUUUGUCUAAGAAAAUGUUUUAUAAAAUAAAUCUUCUCCGCCGCCGAACUGGGCUGGCCCAACAGGCCGCGGCCCAGCCCAGCCGCUCGUCCCCGAGCUCGGGACGGAGUUCCGAGCCACCACGCCAUCGCCGCCGCCUCCAUGUCUCCGCCGGCCUCCUCUUGCCCCUCCUCCAUGCAAGCCAUUGCCCCCUCCUUAUAUACUUCGCCCGGCCCCGCCUCCUUUUCUCUCUCUCUCCCGCAACGCGNNNNNNNNNNNNNNNNNNNNNNNNNNNNNNNNNNNNNNNNNNNNNNNNNNNNNNNNNNNNNNNNNNNNNNNNNNNNNNNNNNNNNNNNNNNNNNNNNNNNNNNNNNNNNNNNNNNNNNNNNNNNNNNNNNNNNNNNNNNNNNNNNNNNNNNNNNNNNNNNNNNNNNNNNNNNNNNNNNNNNNNNNNNNNNNNNNNNNNNNNNNNNNNNNNNNNNNNNNNNNNNNNNNNNNNNNNNNNNNNNNNNNNNNNNNNNNNNNNNNNNNNNNNNNNNNNNNNNNNNNNNNNNNNNNNNNNNNNNNNNNNNNNNNNNNNNNNNNNNNNNNNNNNNNNNNNNNNNNNNNNNNNNNNNNNNNNNNNNNNNNNNNNNNNNNNNNNNNNNNNNNNNNNNNNNNNNNNNNNNNCCUCCCGCCGCCGCAGCAACCGCCGUCGAACGCCGCAGCCCCGCGCCGCUCGCUGCUGCCGCGCUCCGCCGCCCGCGGCCACCGCCGCCGCGCAGCCGCCUCGCCGGAGCUCGCCGAUCGAAACCGCUACCGCCGGUUUAUUUGCCCCGAGCCGGUAAAGCCGAUAAAACUGCCCGGUUUAUUUUUAUUUUUUUUGCCGGUUUAUCCCCCAGAUCGGUUUUUCGUAAGUAAACCGUUUCGUUCUUGUUAGUUAGGGAACGUCUUCCGUUUAGUUAGUUUCAGUGAACAGUUUUCGUUCAUUAGCAAUCGGUAACGAAUGUUUGCUAUUUAUCUUUUUCUUUUAUUUUUGUUUUCUGCCAGGGACCUAGUUGUAGUUGUUUCAUUUUACAGUUUAGUCCCUGUUUUUCAAACGAUCAUUACUCUUUACUCGUUAGUCCAAAUCCAACGAAACCAACGCCCACUUCUUUGUUAUGAUCCCCUCUAUCCAGUAAUCCAACUAAAACAUGUUUUUGAAAGUUUAAAAAUUUGAUUUAGACCAGAUUUUAAUUCAAACUUCGUUUGAUCGUAAUUUGAGUUCCGUAGCUCCGUUUGAGUUGAUUCUUUUUGCAAAUUAAAGCUCUUGACCUAAACGUUCUGAUAAGGCCAAAUUCACAUAAUUUUGGUACUGUUAGAAAUUUUCUUAUGUUGCAAGAGUUAUUUGCUUGGUUUUGAUGUUUUCUGAAUCGUGUUCUUCGUUCUUUCUGAUCUUUUGAGUGAUUGCUUAUGUGUGGUUACUAUUGCUUGCUUACGAUAGAUUGACCGGAGUGUGACGAGUAGAUCUAUCAAGAGUUUUGAAUGCGAAUCAUCUUCAGCAACAGUACAAGCAAGUUCACACUUUGAUCAUACCUCUUUACCACCCAGUUUUAUUGCAUUAGAUCAAUCCUCAAACUAUUGCAUGAUUAGGAUCUGAUUAAAAUGUGGGUUUUGGGAAUUAGAUGAGGUAGUACCUAUUGCCCUGUUUAUAUCAAACCAUUGGGAGUUACUUCUACGUUUGCUUAUAUUGCUAUGCUAUGCUCGUAGACAUGGAUUGGGUUUGAGAGUUUUCCAUAACAGAUGUGAGAUUGUUAAUUAAUCGUUCAACUUAAGGUGGCUACUUUAAUUUACAUCUGGGUGGAUUGAGGCACCUGGAGAAACCAGUGUUGCCUGUAUUUUUGGAUAUCCCGGAGUACCCGUGUGAUCAUCCUAUGGACCGCCACCCAGACUCAAAGGGAUCAUGAGAUUUUUCAUGCUAGAAACUUCCGUGUGCAGCCACAAGCUAUUAUGGGCUCUAGCAUAGUUGAGUAGGUUACAUGACCUCUUGAAGAGGUGGGCUAGCAGAUGUAGGGGAAAGUAGGUAUAACUGUCCACCCGGAGUAAAGAGUAUUGUUUCUGAAAGACGGUGUCUCGGUCAUCCGUUUCUCAAACACCAUGUAGUGCGAGAAAUCAAGCGGAGGUGAUCGAGUCUUGUGGGAAAAGUGCGCAAACCUCUGCAGAGUGUACAAACUAAUCAUGGUUAGCCGUGUCCCCGGUUAUGGACAUCUUGAGUAUCUGGUUCUUGGAUUAUCAUGUUGAUCUCAUCACGCUACUUAAAUAAUUUGUUGGGUUAAUGAUUAUUAUUUUGGGAUUGAGUUGGAGGAACCUUCUCAAUGUUUAUCAACCAACUUUGUAGUUAAAUAAAAUAUAUUCCUUUGAAGUAGGGAAAAUUGGCUUUUCGCAAAAACAUGUUAACCAUUUUCUAGAGCUUUUCCACCAGCCAAAUAUGCAUAUAGUGAUAGUUAUUAUUCAUCAUUAUCCUAUGGUAUGAAUUUGCCAGUACAUUCAAUGUACUGACCCUUUGUGGUUGCAACGUCUCAUGUUGCAGGAAUCUUAUGACAAGUAAGUGAUACGUUAGGGUUACGAUUUCUACACUCAACUUUGCCGUUGGUGUUGAUGGGAAUCCACAACCUUGUUGUUACUUCCGCUAUUUGGAUUGAUGUAAUGGUGUUUACGUUAUUUAUACAUGUGAUUUACCUCUGUUAUAAAUCCUCGAGUACUGUGUGUGUCAGCAUACCGAUCCAGGGAUGACACUUAAGCACAGGGACUUGACCGUUUGAGGUCAGGUCGCUACAAGAUGGUAUCAGAGCACAUGUUGACUGUAGGACGUGACCCUAGAAACUGGCAAGCCCAUAGGAAAAGAUUUUCUCUACAACUUUCUUUUCAAAAAGGAUAUUUUACCUCCCUUCUCUUCUGAGCUUAUUCAAAUAUUCCUUUUUAGUGAGGCUAUACCCCUUUCCCCUUUGACCACAAAGAUUCGACUGAUGAGACCACUCCAAGAAGAACAAGAUAUCGGACAACCAAGACUACUUCGGAAUGAAGAUCAUUUUUACCAAGCAUUUGUUAUAAUUGGAACUACAACGGUUGAAGACUCUGAAGACUAGGAGAAUUUGAAGGCUCUGAAGAAUUUCCAGAUUGGUAUAGGAAGGCUACCCUUAUGGAACUUGGCAGACUAUGGAAGCCGUCAAUACCCGAGAUCAAGAUGUAUCAGAGAAAGACAGGAACAUGGAGCAUUAGAACUCAAAGUUUUUGUCAAGAAAACCCGAAGACAGGAGAUAUCAAUUAUGGAAUGAAAGCUCAUGGCAGUAACAUGGGCAUAGACACGGCUGACCAUGGUGUUAUUACCCGUUUAUGCUAUUGUCACCGUGUGGAGUUAAGCAUGCAGAUGCAUGGAAAGAUUGGAUGGUAGAAGGCUGAUGGAGCAUCUAUCAGCAAAGGAUGCAGUUUUAACCUUAGCCGGUGUAUCGCCAGGAUCUGGAGUAUUACAUCAGGAAGUUUAAGAUGAACCUUCAAGAAGCUGUAUUUGACAAAGAAGCAUUUCGUGAAGAACUCAGGACCCAGAAUCUGAAAGUAGCCACGCUGGAGGAGCAAAACCUCGAGAUACAGGAGAUUCGUCAGGAACUGAAGGACAGUAGGACCAUGGUUCAUGCCAAGGAUGUUGAAACCCAGAAGUUUGGAACGCAACUCCAGAAAUAUUAAAGGAUGUCACGAGAGACUUCGCUUCAACAGAGAUGGACUGGCAGUAAUACUUGAGAAGGAUAAGCACGAUCGGAAGGAGCCAUCGGAGACAUGAACAAGACCUGAAGAGUUUGACGACAUUGAUGAAUUAUUAACCUUUAGAAGACCAAACCCCUGUUUUAUACCUACGUUAGAUGCGACGUUUGCGAGCUGUCAUUUGUUUGAUGUUUUUCCUGACAGCCACAAAUAAAAUCUGCCUCUUCAAAACUUUUGUUUGUAUUGUGUGCAUCCCUCUCUAUCUCUCUUAUUCCACCCCAAAACCCUUGGACCCAAUAGAGGAUGAAUGGAGAUGAACCCAUAUUUUCUGGACGGAUGAGUCAAUUGGAGACAGACCGAUGGAUUUAGAACAUGGAGGAUCACGCGAAGAAUAACCCUAUAGUCGGAAAGGAUAUGACCCAUUAGGCUCUUCAGUGCUUUGAAAGAGGUGCUGCUACUUGGUGGAGGAUGUACCAAACCAUCAAUGAUGGCAAGGAGUAACCACUUGGAAGGAAUUUAAGAUGACUAUGCUAAAGUCUCGUCUUGUGUCCCAGAAAUUGAAGCCUUAUGGAAAGGAUAUGAAGAAACCUUGUGCAUACAAGCUUUGUGGAGAAAUAGGGCACAACCAUAAAGAAAACAAGGAUGAAUACCUGUGACACCCAAGUUUUUAUUUGGUUUUUUUCAAAAGAUUUUAUUUGACUUGAGGGAGGUGAUUUAAAAUUUUUACUCAAAAGAACUCUCCCUUUCAAAUAUUUUUUUAUGGCAAAAGUUUUAUUUGGAUUCACCCAAGAUCUGUUUUUGGUCUUGGAGGUUCUUGCUUUUUAUUUUGACUCAAGACAAAAUACUUUUCACUUGGGAAAAUGCCUUUUGAAAGUCUCUUUGAAAUUUGCACUAUGGCUUUUGGAAUAAUCCUUUGCCACUUUCAACAAUUCUCUCUUGCCAUGGCCUUAGUGCAAAUGCUCUCUCCUAAACCUUCCCUCAUCUUUGGAUCAUGAGUUGCAUCAAAUCCAGCAAGUUGAACCUCCCCAUAUGAUUAUUUUCCAUUUAAAUCUUAUUCAAACAAAUUUCUGUCUUCUAUUCUAGCCAUUGGUGAUUUACAAAGGAGCUACACUUUCUGUUUUGAUCUUUGCCCCCAAACCUUUUUCCCUUCCUAGUCCUCUGAACCCUCAACCAAGAUCCAGGAAGAACCACUGGUCUUCAGUUCAAAUUUUUCAAACUACACUUGCUGCAAGUUUGGACCAGAUUUGACAAAUUGGGUGAAAUUCAUUCAAAUCCUUCUCCAAAAAUUCCAUGUAAAAUCAGGCAGCCUCUGGGUGCAUUGAGUGGUCACCUCACCAAGUCCCAGCCCCAGGAAAAUUUUUCUCAUUGCCAAAUCAUUCUGUCGAACACCUGUAGUGCAUUGUCAAAAUCAGGUUCAGUAAAGUUCAGAGAACAUUUCAGUGCACUGUCGUUUUCUUCAGAACUUGUUGUCGAUCUCGACAGUGCCUCGAUGUCGCCUUGCUCCCCGUCCCCUCCCCCUUGUUCCUGCACCGCACGAGCGUCUGGCACCUUGCGGACGUCGGUGAUGAGCAGCAGAAGGUGCGCCGCCCCGUGACCGACGCCAGCGGCGGCUUUGCGGCCGCCAGAUAGAGGCGCGGCGCUGACGGCGCCACCCAGCGCCGCCCAAGCCACCGGAGCUCGCCGCAUGGCCUUCCACUCCCCCGAACGCGCUGCCACCCUCGUCGUGAACCGCAGGGCGCGGAGCACGCUCUCUGCCGCCGACGUGCCCGUGCGGCCACCUCACCAUGGACCGACGCCAUUACGCCAAGACCAACUCCGUUUAGCAGUGAAAUGGCACCAGUAACUUCCACUGAUGCUGCCUGGCCACUCAAACCUCCUGCCAAUCCACUGCAUCACCGUAAUUGCUCGCCGGAGAUUCUCCGUUCACGGCCACCCCGUCGAUCCGCCUAUAAAUAGAGGCCCCGAGCUUCAACUCGAGCACACACCAUCCCUACACUCCACCUAGAGCACGCCUAGCCACUGGAAGGGCCCCGAGGAGGUCUCCUUCCUCGACUCCGGCCGCCGCGACCCACCACGGGAUCCAGCUCGAUUCGCUCCCGUGCGUGCACCUCCGCCUCCCAUCUCUUGCCACUAGCUUCACUAUGCAUCUCUCCUUCUGACCCGCGCUUCAAUUCGAAGUUUGCAGCCCUCCAUCGGAGUUCUCCGCCCUCACCCGAGCCGCCGUCCUCCGGAGAAAGUGUCGCCGUUGACGUGGUGCUCCCCGUUGAUCGAGUCCACCACCCACCGACGCGGAAGAACACGCUGAAGCUCUUGGUACCCUCCGAUCCUCCUGACUCGCCGUGGUUCGACGCCGGCGUCCACCGCAGUCUUCGGGCGCCGGCGAGCUUUCUAAACCUGACAUGUGGACCCCCCAUGUCAGCCUCUGUUAUAUUCUCCCUCGAACCGUUUUCUGUUGGCGCCUUCGGGCAAAAUACGCUUUCCCUCUUUAGCUAGUGCAUUUCUUUCCGAAGCGUUUUCUGGUUUCUCAGUUUAAACCCUGGAACUUUUCUGUUUCAUUACAGAUAAGUCCCUGGACAGAAACCUUUAUAACUUUUUAAUAAAAAGGAAUUUUUGAGUGAUUCUUUUUCUGACAGUCUUAAAAUUUUGUCUACUUUUUUAUGAGAUUUAUUUGGAAAUUUUUUGGAGAAGUUUCUGUGCACACAUUGGUUUUCACGUUAGUGCCCGUUUUCGUGAUUGCCGUAGGUUCCGGAAGGGGUGACGGAGCCGCGAACUUCGCCGAGCUAGACUCCGACUUCUCCGAACCAGGCAAGCAUGUUUGAACAUUUGAUAUGAUAGGUGUUUUGCAUGUUUGCUUGACAGUUUGUGCGUGGCAUAUGAGUGUCAGUGAGUACCUCGUUGCUUGUGAGGCAACUACCCGUUUUGUUCCAAAGUUGUGAUGAUCUCUGAUGAGAGAUGGCCUGAUCAUGUGGUGACAUGAAGGGCAGCAAGGUGGUACUGUUGUAGCAUACCAGCCUUGCGUCAUCCGACGAAUUCCGACGUUAACGUGGACGGAGUCACGUUAUCGUUCUUUUCCCCUCCGUGCUGCCACAUGUUUCAUUUGCCAGGAUGCGGUUUAGUAAGUUGGUAACCUCUUUCCGUGUACACACCAAACAGAGAGGCCGGGAUGAUGGUACCUUGGCCCAGGAUUAAAGCCAGUCAUCCGGUCAGGGGGCAUGGGUGUUUCCGGUUGGGACCGAGAGGGGGGGGGGCACCCCCUUAGAGCGCGCGUAUAGAAAUUUGAUCCCAUGCUACGCGAGGUUGUAGCCUCCCCGUCUCAAGGUUUUUCUUGAACGUUGCCGAGGGUGAUCCCUGGCUUCGGAAUGUUGAAUGGGUGUGUACUGGUUAGACGUGUUUCUUCUAAAACACCGUAAACGGAACUAGUCCCUGUGACUACUGAAAUCCGUUGGCUGUGGUUAAGUACAAACUCUGCAGAGUCAAAUUCUUCCAAGUCAUCGUAUCCAUGAUCAAGUAGUGUAAUCAGUAUAUCCAUAUCUAUCCGCGUGGAAGACUUGUCCCCGGUGAACAAGCUCAAGUGGUAAAUCCAGUUUAAUUAUUAUUCCUGUGGAUGGACUAACGUUAUAUUUGUCUCGUACUUGUGAUAAUUUAUGUUCCCGAACUAUUGUAUUAUUGAGCUACAAUAUAAGCCCUUUAUGUGAUGUCACUCAGACGUCCGACUGUGGCGUGUUUUUGUUUCUUACAUUAAAUAUAAGCCCUUUAUGCGAUGUCGCUCAGACGUCCGACUGUGGCACGCACUGCCUUUAUUUUCUGUUAUAAGCCCUUUAUGUGGUGUCGCCCCGACGCCCGACUAUGGCAGUAUUAUUCUUGCAGUUUCCUCUCGAGGAGUCAUUCAGACCCUCAUUUGGCACCAGUAUUAUUAUUCUUGCAGUUUCCGCUCGAGGAGUCAUUCAGACCCUCGUUUGGCACCAGUAUUAUUAUUGUUGCAGUUUCCUCUCAAGGAGUCAUUCAGACCCUCGUUUGGCACCCCAGUAUUUACUAUCUCUAUGUCUGAACGCACUGGUUUAUUUGUUCAUAUGCUUCAUGUUUACAUUUGUUAUAUCUUAUGUCCGAACUGUCUUGCGAGUACUUUCAUAGUACUUACCUGGCUUGUUGAUUUGGCCAGAUGUUGACGAAGGCGAUCUCUUGGAUGAAGAGUUUGAUAGCGCGUCCGACGCCUAGAGGAGUCCCAGUCAGUCCAGCGCGAUCCCGGAUAUUGGUCACUUGUAUUACAUACGCUUCCGCCACCCGCAUAAGUCUCCUCGAGCCUCACUCCGAUGCUCGAAGAGCUGUAGUCUUCAGGAGUCAUAUCACUCGCUUCGCGGUGAUAUUUCCACCACCGUUAUUAUCGUGAGUUAAUAGUUAUGCAACCCUAUCCGCCGUCUUGUUUUAUCGGCGUACAUGUAAUAAAUUGUUGGGCUGUCUCCGCUCAACCUUGUAUUAUAUUCAGUACUCCUGGUAUUUUUCUUCUGUGACCAAGAUAUUGUCUACCAGUGAGAAGGAAUUCUUCCUUACUGGUCCGUAAAAGGGAUCGGUCUCUCAAUAAUUGUUUUAUUGAAAAACUGGUCGUGAAAAUACCCGCAAAAGCGGAGGAUUACCAAAGGAGUUAGCCGAGGAUCUCAGGGAACUUCGAUUGGAGAUUGUUCCCAAAGGUUUUGUUGCAGCAAUGGAAGUUCAGUCUACAUUGUUGGGAAAGAUCCGUGAAGCUUAGAAGGAUGACAAAGAGAUUGCUGAGGUAAAAGAGAGGAUGAGCAAAGGAAAGGCCAAAGAUUUUCGUAAGGAUGAGCACGGCACCUUAUGGUUCGAGGACCGUGUAUAUGUGCCCAAUAAUGCAAAGAUCAGGAAGUUAAUACUUCAGGAGGCUCAUGACUCACCAUACUCGAUUCGCCCUGGAAACACCAAGAUGUAUUUGGAUUUGAAGGAGCAUUUCUGGUGGACUGGUAUGAAGAAGGAUAUUGCGGAGUAUGUAGUCGUAGGUGAUGUAUGCCAGAGAGUAAAGGCGGAGCAUCAGAAGCCAGCCGGAUUACUACAGCCUAUGCCGACACCCGAAUGGAAGUGGGAUAAGCUUGGCAUGGAUUUCAUUACCGGAUUUCCCAGAACCCGAUCGGGAUAUGAUUCUAUCUGGGUAGUAGUUGAUUCGCUUGACCAAAGUGGCUCACUUUAUCCCAGUGAAAACCACCUAUACAAGUGCGAAGUUGGCCAAGAUAUAUAUGACCAGGAUCGUAUGUCUGCAUGGAGUUCCGAGGACCAUCGUAUCAGAUAGAGGAACACAGUUUACCUCAAAGUUUUGGAAUCAGCUGCACCAGACUUUGGGUACUAGGCUAGAGUUCAUUACAGCCUUUCAUCCGCAGACAGAUGGAUAGACCGAGAGAGUUAAUCAGAUUCUGGAGGACAUGUUGAGAGCGUGGAUCUAGUAGGGAUGAUAAUCUACCUUACGCGGAGUUCUCAUACAACAACAGUUACCAAGCCAGUUUGAAGAUGGACCCUUUUGAAGCUUUGUAUGGGAGAAGUGUUGGAAAUAUGCCCUAGAGGCAAUAAUAAAUAGGUUAUUAUUAUAUUUCCUUGUUCAUGAUAAUCGUUUAUUAUCCAUGCUAGAAUUGUAUUGAUAGGAAACUCAGAUGCAUGUGUGGAUACAUAGACAACACCAUGUCCCUAGUAAGCCUCUAGGAGACUAGCUCGUUGAUCAAUAGAUGGUUACGGUUUCCUGACCAUGGACAUUGGAUGUCGUUGAUAACGGGAUCACAUCAUUAGGAGAAUGAUGUGAUGGACAAGACCCAAUACUAAGCCUAGCACAAGAUCGUGUAGUUCGUUUGCUCAGAGCUUUUCUAAUGUCAAGUAUCACUUCCUUAGACCAUGAGAUUGUGCAACUCCCGGAUACCGUAGGAAUGCUUUGGGUGUACCAAACGUCACAACGUAACUGGGUGGCUAUAAAGGUGCACUACAGGUAUCUCCGAAAGUGUCUGUUGGGUUGGCACGAAUCGAGACUGGGAUUUGUCACUCCAUAUAAACGGAGAGGUAUCUCUGGGCCCACUCGGUAGGACAUCAUCAUAAUGUGCACAGUGUGACCAAGGAGUUGAUCACGGGAUGAUGUGAGUUAUGGAACGAGUAAAGAGACUUGCCGGUAACGAGAUUGAACAAGGUAUAGGGAUACCGACGAUCGAAUCUCGGGCAAGUAACAUACCGAUGGACAAAGGGAAUUGCAUACGGGAUUGAUUGAAUCCCCGACAUCGUGGUUCAUCCGAUGAGAUCAUCAUGGAACAUGUGGGAGCCAACAUGGGUAUCCAGAUCCCGCUGUUGGUUAUUGACCGGAGAACGUCUCGGUCAUGUCUGCAUGGUUCCAGAACCCGUAGGGUCUACACGCUUAAGGUUCGAUGACGCUAGGGUUAUAGGGAAAGUAUGUAUGUGGUUACCGAAUGUUGUUAGGAGUCCCGGAUGAGAUCCCGGACGUCACGAGGAGUUCCGGAAUGGUCCGGAGGUAAAGAUUUAUAUAUGGGAAGUCCUAUUUUGGUCACCGGAAAAGUUUCGGGUGAAAUCGGUAAUGUACCGGGACCACCGGGAGGGUCCCGGGGGUCCACCAAGUGGGGCCACCAGCCCCAGAAGGCUGCGUGGGCCAAGUGUGGGAGGGGACCAGCCCCAGGUGGGCUGGUGCGCCCCCCCCACCAAGGCCCAAGGCGCAUGGGAGAGUGGGAGGGGGCAAACCCUAGGUCCAGAUGGGCCUUAGGGCCCAUCUAGUGGGGCGCCCCCCCUCUCUUCCCCUUGGCCGCCCCCCUUGAUGGGAUCUAGGGCUGGCCGCCUCCUCUUGGGGGUGGAAACCCUAAGGGGGGCGCAGCCCCCUCCCCCCCUAUAUAUAGUUGAGGUUUGGGCUGCCCAAGACACACGAGAACCUCUCUCUUUCGGCGCAACCCUACCCCUCUCCCUCCUCCUCCUCUCCCGCGGUGCUUGGCGAAGCCCUGCGGGAUUGCCACGCUCCUCCAUCACCACCACGCCGUCGUGCUGCUGCUGGAUGGAGUCUUCCCCAACCUCUCCCUCUCUCCUUGCUGGAUCAAGGCGUGGGAGACGUCACCGGGCUGCACGGGUGUUGAACGCGGAGGCACCGUUCUUCGGUGCUUAGAUCGGAAUCAACCGCGAUCUGAAUCGCUACGAGUACGACUCCCUCAUCCGCGUUCUCGCAACGCUUCCGCAUCGCGAUCUACAAGGGUAUGUAGAUUCACUCCCCUUCCCCUCGUUGCUAGAUUACUCCAUAGAUUGAUCUUGGUGAUGCGUAGAAAUUUUUGAAUUUCUGCUACGUUCCCCAACAGUGGUAUCAGAGCUAGGUCUAUGCGUAGUUUCUAUGCACGAGUAGAACACAAAGCAGUUGUGGGCGUAGAUGUUGCCAAUUCUUCUUGCCGCUACUAGUCUUAUCUUGUUUCGGCGGCAUUGUGGGAUGAAGCGGCCCGGACCGACCUUACAUGUACGCAUACGUGAGACAGGUUCCACCGACUGACAUGCACUAGUUGCAUAAGGUGGCUAGCGGGUGUCUGUCUCUCCCACUUUAGUCGGAACGGAUUCGAUGAAAAGGGUCCUUAUGAAGGGUAAAUAGCAAUUGGCAUAUCAUCGUUGUGGCUUUUGCGUAGGUAAGAAACGUUCUUGCUAGAAACCUAUACAAGCCACGUAAAACAUGCAACAACAAUUAGAGGACGUCUAACUUCUUUUUGUAGGGUAUGCUAUGUGAUGUGAUAUGGCCAAAAGGAUGUGAUGAAUGAUAUAUGUGAUGUAUGAGAUUGAUCAUCUUCUUGUAAUAGGAAUCACGACUUGCAUGUCGAUGAGUAUGACAACCGGCAGGAGCCAUAGGAGUUGUCUUAAUUUAUUGUAUGACCUGCGUGUCAAUGAAAACGCCAUGUAAUUACUUUACUUUAUUGCUAACCGUUAGCCAUAGUAGUAGAAGUAAUAGUUGGCGAGACAACUUCAUGAAGACACGAUGAUGGAGAUCAUGAUGAUGGAGAUCAUGGUGUCAUGCCGGUGACGAAGGUGAUCAUGCCGCGCCUCGAAGAUGGAGAUCUAAGGCCCAAGAUGAUAUUGGCCAUAUCACGUCACUUUAUGAUUUGCAUGUGAUGUUUAUCACGUUUACAUCUUAUUUGCUUAGAACGACGGUAGCAUAAAUAAGAUGAUCCCUCACUAAAAUUUCAAGAGACGUGUUCCCCCUAACUAUGCACCGUUGCGGAGGUUCGUUGUUUCGAAGCACCACGUGAUGAUCGGGUGUGAUAGAUUCUAACAUUUGAAUACAACGGGUGUUGACGAGCCUAGCAUGUACAGACAUGGCCUCGGAACACAUGCGAAACACUUAGGUUGACUUGACGAGCCUAGCAUGUACAGACAUGGCCUCGGAACACAAGAGACCGAAAGGUCGAACAUGAGUCGUAUAGUAGAUACGAUCAACAUGGAGAUGUUCACCGAUGAUGACUAGUCCGUCUCACGUGAUGAUCGGACACGGCCUAGUUUGACUCGGAUCAUGUAUCACUUAGAUGACUAGAGGGAUGUCUAUCUGAGUGGGAGUUCAUUAAAUCAGAUGAACUUCAUUAUCAUAAACAUAGUCAAAAGGUCUUUGCAAAUUAUGUCAUGCGCUUUAGUUCUACUGUUUAAGAUAUGUUCCUAGAGAAAAUUUAGUUGAAAGUUGGUAGUAGCAAUUAUGCGGACUAGGUCCGUAAACUGAGGAUUGUCCUCAUUGCUGCACAAAAGGCUUAUGUCCUUAAUGCACCGCUCGGUGUGCUGAACCUCAGCGUCGUCUGUAGAUGUAUAUGAGGGCAAUGAGGGCAAACUGCGUUGCAUUCACAUCGUGCAGCCUCUUUUCCCGGACCUCCUCCCAUUACUUCCCUCAUGCAUUAAUUGCUGGAGGAUGCAUUGGCCGUUCAACAUAUCGGGAACCGCUACUCCCUCCCUCGUCAGCAUUAAAGCCGUAUCGGGAACUGCACCGCCCGCUGUCAAAUCGAAUACUCCCUCCGUCUAGGUGAGUAUUAAGUCAUCUUACGAAAACCAAAUAGUAAACAGAUAGGCGUGAUGCAUUAACUCUCACGUUGUUUCUUAUUUUUUGACAUAAAUAGAGGAAUCAACCAAGAAGAGAUGUGGGGCUUGUAUGCUUUUAAUGACUUGAGACUAUCAAACAUGACAUGCAGUGGUCAGUUCGUUGCACAAGAACAAAUACAACCCACGUCAGCACACACGCAUCUUAUAUAGCAUCACAUCCAAUGGCUAUAAAAGAUGAAUGAGACCAAAUUAUAUCCCAUCUAGAUGAGUUCUAGCAAAACUGUAUUAAUAAUACUUAGUACUCCUGCGCCAUGUAUCAUAUAUUAGUAUCAUGUAGUACUUUAUUUAUUGCCAUGUAUGACACAUAGUACUCAACUCUCUCUCUUUCUUCAUUUAAUUCUAUGACACCUCAUCAAAAUUGCUAAGGCUAGUACCAUUACAACCAGCCUUAGCAAAUACUAAACAUUAAGUUCUCUCGUUUUCCUCUCCACCUUGGUCACCUAGACGGAUGGAGUAUACUGCGCGGGCUUUUCCUACGCGGUAGGCGGGGCCGUUCCGCCUAGUCGGUUCGACAGAGACGUGAGAAGACGAGGGAGUAGGCUGCUGCAAACGUAGGGCUGUGUGAUUUGACAGCGAGUUUCUGCUGGACAGGUGGGGCCCCGUGAUUUGACUUGCCAUUAUCAUUUUAACUGCGGCGCUACGACCGGCGUGAGUCUCCCGAUUUCUGACCACCUCCAUACAGGUGCCUCUCCCAAUGCUCCACCAUGUAGUAGAGGCUGGCUCUUGCAUGAGAGCCCACUUCUCCACUUUUUCCUUGCCUCUCUUUCUUCCACAUAUGCAAAAAUGCCAUGUAAAGCGCACUAUUGUACUUACUUGCUCCUACAGGUGCUUAAGCUUGCCACAUAGGCAUAAAGUCUAAUGUGGCAAGUUAAUCAAGAAGAGAGAGACUAGUUUGGUGACCCUAGGUGAAAAGACAAUUUUGAGUCUAUAGCUAAUUAAAUGAAGCAAACUUAGCAACACCAUUUCAUUGGAAGAGGUCACUCCUUGGCAAUGCAAUAAAUACUAGUACUCCCUGUGUCCCAUAAUAUAAGAACGUUUUUGGCACUACACUAGUGUCAAAAACGUUCUUAUAUUAUGGGACGGAGGGAGUACGAAGAAAGAGAUAGAGAGAAGUAAAAAAAAUACACUUAUAGCCAACCUUAUAGCCAAAACCUUGUUGUAGUAUGAGUGACUAAGUGAUAACUAUGUAUGACAUGCCAACAUCAGAUAGCCUAACGCACCGUGUUAAAUCUCCAAGGGCGUGACCGCAUGAGCGACGCGACGGUCGUGGUAGGCGCGACCAUGAUACGGGCUGCUGGCAGCCCUUGGAUCUGAGAUCAAACGGUCACAUGCUAAGUUGCUGAAAAUUUGCAGAAUAACCCUCCAGGAUAGGAUAUUCACCCAUAGGUCUAGAAUCACGCCAUGCAACCGUUCGAUCUCAGAUCCAAGGGCUCUCGAAAGCCUGUAUCAUGGGAGAAUGGAAAGCCACUACCCUGCCAUUCGCACACUGGCAGUUCGCUCCUACUCGUCCCCGCACGUCCUUCAAUACUACGACGGUUCGCUCUUAGUCAUCCCGUCCAUUCACAUUACGGCAGUUCCACUAAUCCUAACCCUCCUCCCAAAUCCAUGGCAUCCCAAAUCUCCCCGAUCGGCGGUGAGUACAAGGUUAGAACCAUCACCGGCGAUGAGUUCGACGUCAUCUACACCCGUUCUUCCGCGACGGUGAAAGGAUGCCUUUCUCGCUUCAGACGCAUGUUCGAAGACUCAGAUGAUGAGUGGGUCGCUGGGCUAGAUGUUGAGUACACCACAGUCCUGGGACGAGAGAAGGAUCUAAAGGACGAAGAGAGGAAGAAGCCCGCCGUGAUCCAGGUUUGCGUGCAUGACUUAUGCUUGGUCUACCACAUAUGCCAUGCCGACGUUGAGUUCCAGGAUUUUAAGGACUUCCUCGAGAGCAACCUAGUCAAAUUCGUUACAGUAGACUUUGGUAACGAUAAAUAAGUCCUGCGUUGGAUAGGCCUCGUUGUAGGCAACACCUUCGACCGCCAGAAGAAUCGGCUGGUGUCCUCUUGUCAGCCUUCAAUGCUGACCCUGGCAGGAGCCAUGGUUCAUCCUUCGUACGGUAAACUGGAGAAACCUCCAUACACAUUUCAUCGUCAUGCAUGGCAGCGGAAUGUACUAGAUAUAGACCACAUCCACUACGCUGCAAUGGAUGGCUACCUUUGCUUCAAUAUCUACAAGGGUUGGAUGAAGAGCAACAGCCAAGUGUGCGGUUCAAGCAAAGAAGUAUCGGCUAAGAGGAAGAGGGACAAGGACGAAGUCGAGGACGUGGACGAGGACUCCGAGUAAGGUGGCUGUGUCGUUGCUCAUGGUGGUUCUAAUGCAGUGUCUACCGGAAUAGUUGCAAAGUUUAAUUUCAGGUGUGCUUAAUUUAAUUUGAGGGGUGUGUUGUGCUGAGCCCCCAGCAGAACUAUGUUAUGUUUCUUCUUGUUACUUUAACCCUUCAGUACGUACAUACUAGUAUUUCUUACAUUUCAUAUUUUAGUUGGUAUAGUACCACCACUCGUUUCUUCACAUUAUAUACGUACAAUAUAUAUGACCAACAUCAUAUAGCCAGCAGUUUAGUUGUCAAAGAAUUUCAGGGUGCUUAGUUUUGUCAAAGAAUUCCAGGGUGCUUAGUUUUAUUUGAGGGGUGGGUUGUGCACUUGUGCUGGACACCAUUAUUGUGACAAGCCUUUUUAAUAGUACUAUAUGCAUAAUUUGGCGACGAGCGCUCUUUAUAUGUACCACCUUUUUUUUAAUUUCAAGUUUUGCUCCAUGGCGCAAUCCAUCGAUACUACUACUGUACAAAAGUGGAGUAUAUACAUUUUUUUAAAGGCUAGAGGGCGGGGCAGUCUAGCUCGGUCGGUUUCACGAGAGGCGAUUGCCUUUGUGAUUUGACAGCUCAUUACUGCUGUCAAAUCGAAUAGUACUGCGCCGCCCGCUGCACGUCCGACGCCUCCAUUAAACCCCUCCGUUAAACCCGCAUGCAAACUGAGAAUCCUACUCCUGCCACACGUCCGUUCAUGAGCGGGCCGGAAUUAAACGCAACACCGGCCGAGCUCCUCCCGUCCGCCCUCAGUUUAAACGAGGCCAGACGCCGGCCAAGCUCCUACCGUCCGCCCUCUAUUUACACGAGGCCAGACAGACAGCGGGCAAGAAUCGCACCCCUUCGCCGCUCCCCCAUCUCCUCCUUCACCAUUUUCUCCAAUCUUCCGAUGGCUUCCGAUGAGCCGUUCUCCGGCAUAUUACCCGGCUGGGUGGCCCGCCAAGCCCUCCGGAUACGGGCGAGGCCGCUCGGUGCUUCACCAACCUCGCUUGGCCCGACGGAGCCAGUUGCCGCCCCAAGCAGGCGCGUGGUUCAGGAACUCGCCGCUCCAGUUUAGCUCGAUGAGGAGUGGCAGUUGCUCCACGCCGGUACGGGUGCCGUCGCUGCCGCGUCGUACCGCGCCACCAGUGUCUGCGAUGGCCGCGCCUCCCGUGUCUGUGGGCGCGCCUCCCGUGCCUGCGGCAGCGCCAUGCAAGCAGAGACAUAAGCUGGGUGCGUGGAGAGCGACGAGUCGGUGGCCAGCUUCUCCGUGUCCGCCGCCAUCAUCGAGGAGAAGUAGAACAAGGGAGGCCGCCGCCACUUGGGACCCAUGAAGGCCACCGCCGAGGCGACUACCGCGGAUUCAGGUGGUUUCUUUGCUGCUUCAUCUCUUCCAAGGACCUUCGUCGACCCCGCAAGUGUUUGACGGACAUGAGGAAGACAAAGGGAUCCGCGGGCGGCCAUUUAGAACUAAAAUAAGUCUAGAUACAUCCAUUUCUAGGACAAGUAUUUCCGGACGGAGGGAGUAUUAAUUAUACAAGAGAGCCGGAUUGGCACCUCUUAGUUCAUGUAAAUGUAAUGAAAUCCAUCAUGUUUAUAUGAAGAUCCGGCUUUUUUAUACGAAAUCCUUCAUGCUUAUAUGAAAUCAGUCCGUGUUUGCACGAAUUUCAUCUGGUUGGUUAGAGUUGUAAAAAUGUAUGCCGCUGGCGUUUGAUGUUGUCCUCCGCUUAAGGAAGCGGGAGGAAAUUUGCCGGCUGCUGUUGGAGAUGCUCUUUAUGCUGGAAAUAAUAGAGUGACAUCCAAUCCAUUUGAGUUAAUUGCCUGUAUGAUUGUCCCUCUAUAAAAAGUUAAUUGCAUGUACAGUGUACACGUGACUUGCAGGGUGCCUACAGCUUCGUACAGAAAGUUAAACAGAAACAAGUCCAUCCUUAAUCUUGUAUUCUAAGUACUCUGUGGGUUCCACUGUCAGUACAGUAGCGAAAGAAGUAUAUAUUAAAUAAGUAGAGUAAUAUAUAAUAUAAAAAUAUAAAGUUAAAAGACAGAAUUCGAACUCAUGUCACCGCGUUGCGAGCAUCCGGCGCUAACCAGCCCAGCACAUUUUUGUUGUAGACCAUGCUGGAGAUAUAUCUCCAUGUCUACUCUUAUAUAUACUCCAUUCGUUCCUAAAUAUUUGUCUUUUUCAGAUUUCAAAUGGACUACCACAUACAGAUGUGUAUGUAGACAUAUUUUAGAGUGUAGAUUCACUCAUUUUGCUCUGUAUGUCUUUUCAGGAAGGGGUCAGAUUUGUCCUUGAUUUAUUUAUGAGGUAUCCAGAUGGCACUGCACCGCCAAGGAAAGAGGGUAACAUCAAAAUUAUGGACUACUUUUUUGAGUAUGUUGGUAAGGUCCGGUCAUAGUCACUUGUUGAAUCUCUAAAAAGACAAAUACUCCCUCUGUCCGGAAAUACUUGUCAUCAAAAUGGAUAAAAGGAAAUGUAUCUAGACGUAUUUUAGUUUUAGAUACAUCUCUUUUUAUCCAUUUUGAUGACAAGUAUUUUCGGACGGAGGGAGUAGAAAACAGAGUUGGUGAUGAUGGUGUGCGUGCCAUCCUGCAAUAUAGGCCGUCGGAUUUAUAUCUAACGGAUAGGAAAGAAACUAUGGCAAUUUUGCAAAAAUAUACCCACACAUCUCUCCACGUUCGCAAAUAAGGCCUUCCCUCGUUCAACCUUUUCUCUCACAAGAUGAACUACUCAUACAAAUGCAUCUUGAUGUUCCGUGCAACGCAUGGGCAGCUAGCUAAUUUCUUUUAAAAUAGUUGCUGCGAUAAUUGGGUUGAAGUGAUAUAUUUUAUGUCUGCCCCGAAUGAUUUCAGAUUCACUUGUAGUAACAAAGAAAAGGUUGCCUUGUUAAUUAACGGAAAACAGGGUGAAAACUAUGACAUGAGGCCAGUAAAAACAAGGCACACUGGGUUCAGCGUCAUCGUCACUACAGCUGUGCGCGCGCGAGAAGUCUACAUAUCGAGGGGGCUACCGAGCGAGGCACCGAGACACAAUGUUUGAGAGAGAAACCAAUUGACAGAUUAUGAUAAGAUCGAGUUGUCACCCUUCUGCUGUCAUUGUUGGGGGGGGGAGGGAGAGAAAGACGUAUCGAGAGUGUGCGCGGUAGGCACAGAGGCACAACUAGCGAGUGUGUGUGUGUGUGUGUUUGAAAGAGGAGUAGAUAGAUUAUUAUCAAGAUCGAUGUGCCACCCUACUCCUUCGGUGCCGGGUAGUGUGUGUGUGUGUAUGUUUGAGAGAGAAGCCAGUCGAUAGAUUAGUAUCAAGAUCGAGGUGUCACCCUACUCCUUCGGUGUUGGGAAGUGUGGGUGUGUGUGUGGGUGGGGGCAGUGACACUCACAUAUCUCUACUCUUAUAAAAAAACAGAGUUGGUGAUGAUGGUGUUCCUGCCAUCCUGCAAUAUAGGCCAUCCGAUUUAUAUCCGACGGACAGGAAGGAAACUAUGGCAAUUUUGCAAAAAGAUACCCACACCCCUCUCCGCAUUUGCAAAUAAGGCAUUCCCUCGUUCAUCCUUUUCUCCCACAAGAUAAACUUCUCAUACAAAUGCAUCUUGAUGUUCCGUGCAACGCAUGGGCAUCUUGCUAGUAGGGAGAAGGAGUUUGUGUGACACAUAUCUAGCUAUAUUAAGGGAUAGGUAGAUAGCAUAUGUGUGAGAGACAUUAUUAUACUUUGAGACAUUAGUGGCUGUGGGUGGGUGGAAUUAAAGGGGUGGGCGUGUUAGACAUAGAGAGCGUGUGUGUUUCUGUGUGAGAGACUUGUAGGAUGGGGUAGAAAGACGAAUUUAACCCUGACGGAGGGAGAGAAAUACACGAAGUGCGCGUGUGUGAUUCCGAUGCCCACAGGGAAAUGAGAUAUGUAUGCGUGUGAGAGAGAUUGCACAAUUCAUUCACGUAUCACUAUCUAGCGAUCGUGGACGUGCAUCGCUUGAACAUAAGUCAAUAUCUACUUCGUAUCGUGGCCAAAGGUACAAUAUCGAUUCAACGCUAUAAAGAUUGGACACUCACAUAUCACAUUUUUUUCUAUUUAAAUAAACCUUUUCAGUUGUGCAUGCCAAAGUUACAGUGAUGUUUGUUCAAACAACCAAUGUAGCUAUCAUGUAUAUGCACCAUUGUUACUCUUGCAUUCAAAUUCAUUAGUCUUGGAUGAUUUAAGUUUCUAUUUUGAAGUAAUAUAUGUAAUAUUCAUAUAUGAAUUCAACGAGUACGCAAUUUAUGAAAUGGAGGCUAUGUAAUCAUAUGAGGUAACACUUUUAAGUAGCUGACUACAAUAUCCAUUUCUUUUUGUGCACCUCUACACUAACACGUCAAUGCAUUAUGUUUAAAGUAAAUAACCAAUGGCACUAAAUUAUCUAUUUACACGAGAAAUACAUAGGCUGAGCGUUUGAUCCCUUUUUUGUGAACGCGCCACUACACCCGUACGAUUGGCCGCGCCCGUGUGAACGUCCAAGUUAUCGGCGCAUCAUCCCGAGUUAUUGUCUUUUUUUCUGGGGUGGACUUCACACCAGUUAUUAACUGCUGACGCGUGCCCCGUGUACACAGUCUAGCAUGACCUUCCCGCUAGCACGGUCCAAAAUUAGUUGAAACUGGAUACGAACGAUCCCGCGGGUGGAAAAAUCUCCCGCCUCCUUCUAGAAUUUCCGCCACCUUAGUCUUUAGCAUGCGAAAUCCCCCUUUUGUGCUUGGUGCACGGAGACCAACAGUUACAAUACCGCCCUCAUCUACAUGAUAGGUCGGGGCUGCUUUGGUAACUUCCGGUUCCCCCACUACACGGCACCCCCAUUUCCUCUCCCCCUCCCGCAAAAACGACUAACUCCACAGCACCAGAGCAUCUUACAUCACGCCGUCCGUACUUCAUCGGCCUUUCUCCCCUCCGCUCUCGAAACCCUAGACUGCUCAUCCACCGGCGUACCAUAGCCCAUUCANNNNNNNNNNNNNNNNNNNNNNNNNNNNNNNNNNNNNNNNNNNNNNNNNNNNNNNNNNNNNNNNNNNNNNNNNNNNNNNNNNNNNNNNNNNNNNNNNNNNNNNNNNNNNNNNNNNNNNNNNNNNNNNNNNNNNNNNNNNNNNNNNNNNNNNNCUCCCCUAGAAACAAGUAGACUGCUCAUCCACCACUGUAACACAGCCCAUUCAGUGCCGGCCUUGUCCACGGCGCCGGAUUUGCUUCGCCGGUACUUUCGUCAACCACCGCACAUCUGCAGCGGCUCAUUCGUACUCCCCACCGGAGACGCUUCGUCCACACCCCCCGGAGCCGCCCCACCGAUGCCCCCGUCGACGGCCUCUCAUCCUCUUCGUCGACACCUUCCUCAACCCUACCGGAGCCGCUUCGCCGACACCUUCCUCAACCCUACCGGAGCCGCUUCGCCGACACCUGUUGGAAAUAUGCCCUAGAGGCAAUAAUAAAAUGGUUAUUAUUGUAUUUCCUUGUUCAUGAUAAUUGUCUGUUGUUCGUGCUAUAAUUGUAUUAACUGGAAACCGUAAUACAUGUGUGAAUACAUAGACCACAACAUGUCCCUAGUAAGCCUCUAGUUGACUAGCUCAUUGAUCAAUAGAUGGUUAUGGUUUCCUGACCAUGGACAUUGGAUGUCAUUGAUAACGGGAUCACAUCAUUAGGAGAAUGAUGUGAUGGACAAGACCCAAUCCUAAGCAUAGCACAAGAUCGUGUAGUUCGUUUGCUAGAGCUUUUCUAAUGUCAAGUAUCAUUUCCUUAGACCAUGAGAUUGUGCAACUCCCGGAUACCGUAGGAAUGCUUUGGGUGUACCAAACGUCACAACGUAACUGGGUGGCUAUAAAGGUGCACUACAGGUAUCUCCGAAAGUGUCUGUUGGGUUGGCACGAAUCGAUACUGGGAUUUGUCACUCCGUAUGACGGAGAGGUAUCUCUGGGCCCACUCGGUAAUACAUCAUCAUAAUGAGCUCAAUGUGACCAAGUGUUUGGUCACAGGAUCAUGCAUUACGGUACGAGUAAAGUGACUUGCCGGUAACGAGAUUGAACAAGGUAUUGGGAUACCGACGAUCGAAUCUCGGGCAAGUAACGUACCGAUUGACAAAGGGAAUUGUAUAUGGGAUUGAUUGAAUCCUCGACAUCGUGGUUCAUCCGAUGAGAUCAUCGUGGAACAUGUGGGAGCCAACAUGGGUAUCCGGAUCCCGCUGUUGCUUAUUGACCGAAGAGUCGUCUCGGUCAUGUCUGCAUGUCUCCCGAACCCGUAGGGUCUACACACUUAGGGUUCGGUGACGCUAGGGUUGUAGAGAUAUUAGUAUGCGGAAAUCCGAAAUAUGUUCGGAGUCCCGGAUGAGAUCCCGGACGUCACGAGGAGUUCCGGAAUGGUCCGGAGGUAAAGAUUUAUAUAUAGGAAGUCCUAUUUUGGCCACCGGAAAAUGUUCGGGAUUUUUCGGUAUUGUACCGGGAAGGUUCUAGAAGGUUCCGAAGUGGGGCCCACCUGCAUGGGGGGACCCACAUGAACGUGGGUAGUGGGGGAAGGCCCCACACCCCUGGUCAAGGCGCACCAAGAUCCCACCUUAGAAGGAAUAAGAUCAUAUCCCGAAGGGAUAAGAUCAAGAUCCCUAAAAAAGGGGGAUAACAAUCGGUGGGGAAGGGAAAUGAUGGGAUUUCUUUCCCCCACCUUUGCCAACGCCCCAAUGGACUUGGAGGGCAAGAAACCAGCCCCCUCCACCCCUAUAUAUAGUGGGGAGGCGCAUGGGAGCAGCACCCCAAGCCCUGGCGCCUCCCUCCCUCCCGUGACACCUCUUCCUCCCCGCUUGCGCUUGGCGAAGCCCUGCCGGGAUCCCGCUACUUCCACCACCACGCCGUCGUGCUGCUGGAUCUCCAUCAACUUCUCCUCCCCCCUUGCUAGAUCAAGAAGGAGGAGACGUCCCCGCUCCGUACGUGUGUUGAACGCGGAGGUGCCGUCCGUUCGGCGCUAGGAUCAUCGGUGAUUUGGAUCACGACGAGUACGACUCCAUCAACCCCGUUCUCUUGAACUCUUCCGCUCGCGAUCUACAAGGGUAUGUAGAUGCACUCCUCCCCUCUCAUUGCUAGCAUCUCCUAGAUUGAUCUUGGUGACACGUAGGAAAAUUUUGAAUUUCUGCUACGUUCCCCAACAGUGGCAUCAUGAGCCAGGUCUAUGCGUAGAUUCUAUGCACGAGUAGAACACAAAGUAGUUGUGGGCGAUGAUUUGCUCAAUUUGCUUGCCGUUACUAGUCUUAUCUUGAUUCGGCGGCAUUGUGGGAUGAAGCGGCCCGGACCGACCUUACACGUACUCUUACGUGAGACAGGUUCCACCGACUGACAUGCACUUGAUGCAUAAGGUGGCUAGCGGGUGUCUGUCUCUCCCACUUUAGUCGGAUCGGAUUCGAUGAAGAGGGUCCUUAUGAAGGGUAAAUAGCAAUUGGCAUAUCAUCGUUGUGGCUUUUGCGUAGGUAAGAAACGUUCUUGCUAGAAACCCAUAGCAGCCACGUAAAACAUGCAACAACAAUUAGAGGACGUCUAACUUGUUUUUGCAGGGUAUGCUAUGUGAUGUGAUAUGGCCAAAAGGAUGUGAUGAAUUAUAUAUAUGUGAUGUAUGAGAUUGAUCAUGUUCUUGUAAUAGGAAUCACGACUUGCAUGUCGAUGAGUAUGACAACCGGCAGGAGCCAUAGGAGUUGUCUUAAUUUAUUGUAUGACCUGCGUGUCAAUGAAAAACGCCAUGUAAUUACUUUACUUUAUUGCUAACCGUUAGCCAUAGUAGUAGAAGUAAUAGUUGGCGAGACAACUUCAUGAAGACACGAUGAUGGAGAUCAUGGUGUCAUGCCGGUGACGAAGGUGACCAUGCCACGCCUCGAAGAUGGAGAUCGAAGGCGCAAGAUGAUAUUGGCCAUAUCAUGUCACUUUAUGAUUUGCAUGUGAUGUUUGUCAUGUUUACAUCUUAUUUUCUUAGAACGACAGUAGCAUAAAUAAGAUGAUCCCUCACUAAAAUUUCAAGAGACGUUUUCCCCCUAACUGUGCACCGUUGCGAAGGUUCGUUGUUUCGAAGCACCACGUGAUGAUCGGGUGUGAUAGAUUCUAACGUUCGCAUACAACGGGUGUAAGCCAGAUUUACACAUGCGAAACACUUAGGUUGACUUGACGAGCCUAGCAUGUACAGACAUGGCCUCGGAACACAAGAGACCGAAAGGUCGAACAUGAGUCGUAUAGUAGAUACGAUCAACAUGGAGAUGUUCACCGUUGAUGACUAGUCCGUCUCACGUGAUGAUCGGACACGGCCUAGUCGAUUCGGAUCAUGUAUCACUUAGAUGACUAGAGGGAUGUCUAUCUAAGUGGGAGUUCAUUAAAUAAUCAGAUGAACUUAAUUAUCAUGAACAUAGUCAAAAGGUCUUUGCAAAUUAUGUCGUAGCUUACGCUUUAGUUCUACUGUUUAAGAUAUGUUCCUAGAGAAAAUUUAGUUGAAAGUUGACAGUAGCAAUUAUGCGGACUAGGUCCGUAUACUGAGGAUUGUCCUCAAUGCUGCGCAGAAGGCUUAUGUCCUUAAUGCACCGCUCGGUGUGCUGAACCUCGAGCGUCGUCUGUAGAUGUUGCGAAACAUCUGACAUACACGUUUUGAUGACUACGUGAUAGUUCAGUGCCUAAUGUUGAACGGUUUAGAAUUGAGGCACCAAAGACAUUUUGAAACGUCGCGGAACAUAUGAGAUGUUCCAAGAGCUGAAAUUGGGAUUUUAGGCUCGUUCCCACGUCAAGAGGUAUGAGACCUCUGACAAGUUUCUUAAGCCUGCAAACUAAGGGAGAAAAGCUCAACCGUUGAGCAUGUGCUCAGAUUGUCUGAGUACUACAAUCGCUUGAAUCGAGUGGGAGUUAAUCUUCCAGAUGAGAUAGUGAUGGUUCUCCAUAGUCACUGCCACCAAGCUAUUAGAGCUUCGUGAUGAACUAUAACAUAUCAGGGAUAGACAUGAUGAUCCUUGAGCAAUUCGCGAUGUUUGACACCGCGAAAGUAGAAAUCAAGUAGGAGCAUCAAUUGUUGAUGGUUAGUAAAACCACUAGUUUCAAGAAGGGCAAGGGCAAGAAGGGAUACUUCAUGAAACGGCAAAUCAGUUGCUGCUCCAGUGAAGAAACCCAAGGUUGAACCCAAACCCGAGACUAAGUGCUUCUGUAAUGAGGGGAACGGUCACUGAAGCAGAACUACCCUAGGUACUUGGUAGAUGAGAAGGCAGGCAAGGUCGACAUAAGUAUAUUAAUGUGUACUUUACUAGUACUCCUAGUAGCACCAGGGUAUUAGAUACCGGUUCGGUUGCUAAGUGUUGGUAACUCAAAAUAAAAGGCUACGGAAUAAACGGAGACUAGCUAAAGGUGAGAUGACGAUAUGUGUUGGAAGUGUUUCCAAGGUUGAUGUGAUCAAGCAUCGCAUGCUCCCUCUACCAUCGAGAUUGGUGUUAAACCUAAAUAAUUGUUAUUUGGUGUUUGCGUUGAGCAUAGACAUGAUUGGAUUAUGUUUAUCACAAUACGGUAAUUCAUUUAAGGAGAAUAAUGGUUUCUCUGUUUAUUUGAAUAAUACCUUCAAUGGUCUUGCACCUAAAAUGAAUGGUUUAUUGAAUCUCGAUCGUAGUGAUACACAUGUUCAUGCCAAAAGAUAUAAGAUAAUAAUGAUAGUACCACAUACUUGUGGCACUGCCACUUGAGUCAUAUUGGUAUAAAACGCAUGAAGAAGCUCCAUGUUGAUGGAUCUUUGGACUCACUCAUUUUUGAAAAGAUUGAGACAUGCGAACCAUGUCUAUUAGUAUAUGCAUGAAUAAAGUCCAUACAGAUGGAUCGUUUGGACUCACUUGAUUUUGAAUCACUUGAGACAUGCAAAUCAUACCACAUGGGCAAGAUGACUGAAAGGCCUCGUUUUCAGUAAGAUGGAACAGGAAAGCAACUUGUUGGAAGUAAUACAUUUUGAUGUGUGCAGUCCAAUGAGUGCUGAGGCAUGCAGUGGAUAUCGUUAUGUGCUUGCUUCAUAGAUGAUUUGAGUAGAUGCUAAGAAUAUUUACUUGAUGAAACACAAGUCUGAAUUAUUGAAAGGUUCAAGUAAUUUCAGAGUGAAGUUGAGGAUCGUCAUGACAAGAGGAUAAAAUGUCUAUGAUAUGAUCAUAGAGAUGAAUAUCUGAGUUACGAGUUUGGCACACAAUUAAGACAUUGUGGAAAUUGUUUCACAACUAAUACCGCCUGGAACACCAUAGUGUGAUGGUGUGUCCGCACAUGAUAACUGCACCCUAUUGGAUAUGGUCCAUACCAUGAUGUCUCUUAUCGAAUUACACUAUCAUUUAUGGGUUAGGCAUUAGAGACAACCGCAUUCACUUUAAAUAGGGCACCACGCAAUUCCGUUGAGACGAAACCGUAUGAACUAUGGUUUAGAGAAACCUAAGCUGUUGUUUCUUAAAAGUUUGGGGCUGCGACGCUUAUGUGAAAAAGUUUCAGGCUGAUAAGCUCGAACCCAAAGCGGAUAAAUGCAUCUUCAUAGAAUACCCAAAACAGUUGGGUAUACCUCCUAUUUCAGAUCUGGAAGCAAAAGUGAUUGUUUCUAGAAACGGGUCCUUUCUCGAGGAAAAGUUUCUCUCGAAAGAAUUGAGUGGGAGGAUGGUGGAGACUUGAACCAUCACUUCAACUAAAGUGUAGCAGGGCACAUGAAGUUGUUCCUGUGGCACCUACAUCAAUUGAAGUGGAAGCUUAUGAUAGUGAUCAUGAAACUUCAGAUCAAGUCACUACCAAACCUCAUAGGACGACAAGGAUGCGUACUACUUCAGAGUGGUACGUAAUCCUGUCUUGGAAGUCAUGUUGUUGGGCAACGAUGAACCUAUGAGCUGUGGAGAAGCGAUGGUGGGCCCGGAUUCCGAUGAAUGGCCCGAGGCCAUAAAAUCCGAGAGAGGAUCCAUGUAUAAAAACAAAGUGUAGACUUUGAAGAACUACUUGAUGGUCGUAAGGCUGUUGGGUGAGAUGGAUUUUAAAAGGAAGAUGGACAAUGAUGGUAAAUGUCACCAUUAAGAAAGCUCGACUUGUCGUUAAGAUGUUUUCCGACAAGUUCAAGGAGUUGACUACGACGAGGCUUUCUCACUCGUAGCGAUGCUAAGAGUCUAUUGGAAUUACAUUAGCAUUUACUGCAUUAUUUAUGAAAUCUUGCAGAUAGGAUGUCAAAACAUUGUUUCCUCGACGAUUUUCUUGAGGAAAGGUUGUAUGUGAUACAACUAGAAGGUUUUGUCAAUCCUGAAAUAUGCUAACAAGUAUGCAAAGCUCCAGCAAUCCUUCUAAGGACUGGAGUAAGCAUCUCGGAGUUGGAAUGUACGCUUUGAUGAGAUGAUAAAAGAUUUUGGGUUUAUACAAAGUUUAAGAGAAACUUGUAUUUCCAAAGAAGUGAGUGGGAGCACUAUAGAAUUUUUGAUGAGUAUAUGUUGUUAUCAUAUUGUUGAUCAGAAAUGAUGUAGAAUUUCUGGAAAGCAUCCAGGGUUAUUUGAAAAGUGUUUUUUAAUGGAAAACCUGGAUUAAGCUACUUGAACAUUGAGCAUCAAGAUCUAUAAGGAUAGAUCAAAAACGCUUAAUACUACUUUCAAAUGAAUACAUACCGUGACAAGAUUUUGAAGGAGUUCAAAAUAGAUCAGCAAAGAAGGAGUUCUUGGCUGUGUUACAAGGUGUGAGUAUUGAGUAAGACUCAAGACCUGACCAUGGCAGAAGAGAGAGAAAGGACGAAGGUCGUCCUGUAACAUCCCAAAUUUUCAAUUUGGAAUGUUUUACAAUUAUUAGCUAAGCAUCUAUGCAUUUUGAUUGAAAUUGAGUGGCAUUUGAAAAUUUCAGAGGCAGUUGAGUUUGUGUUGUGAAUUUGAACUUGAUUUGGCAUUGAAAUUUAUUUCAAAUAUCCCUGAAAAAUACUUGAUCAAAAGUAUGAGAGGAGCUAACAUGACACUCCAAAAAUGUCAGAAGAAAUGUAUUGCCAAAAAGUUUGAAUUCAAAUUUGAAUUUUAUUUGGGAUUUCCAGAAAUUGUUUUUUUAGUUUGAGAUUUACCUCUGGAAAAAUGUCCACGUUGUAGGAUUAAUUCCCCUGAGAAUUAUGAUAUAUAUAUGUCCUAUAUAAAAAUAAUAUAUAUGUUUUUUUUCUUUUUUCCUUCCCUCUAUUUCAAAAAAAGAAAAGAAGAGAAAGCCUCAGGCGCCAGCCAGGCCAACCGGCCAAGCCAGCGCCGAGUGCAGCCCACCAGCGGGCCAGGCGCAGCCCACCGACGCCGAGCCGUCCUGCCCCAGCGCCCCCGCACGCCCGAACCCUCUCCCGAUCGGUCGCCCGAUUCCCUCUCCCUCUCUCUCUCUCACUGCCGCGCUGGCCCCACCUCUUUCUUUCCCCUCGCGCACGGCACGCCGCACCGGAGCACGCGCAGAGCGCGCCCGACACCGUGAUCUUCUCGGGAUCACGAUCCCGCGUCGCCCCCUCGUCCAAGUCCAUAUCCUAUAAGUUCCCCUCGCUCUCCUCCCCCGAACCCCCCAAAAACCCUUGCCCGAAACGCACCACAGCUCACGCCCUCCUCCUUUGGAUCUCGCCGCCGCUGCCUUGGUUCGCCGCCGCUGCUGCCACCGGUGAGCAUCCCCCCUUGCUUCCAAGCUACACCACCCGAACCCCCUGUUCGUUCCUCAUCUCCCUGACAUCCUCUCUUCUCCCAGGGAGCCCCGAAGCCGUCGUCCCCGAGCUCGACCGCCGCCCGCCGGAACUGCAGCUCACCAGGGAGUCGUCGCCGUCGCCCCGAUCGCCACCGUCGUCCCCGAGCUCCACCAACUCCACCCCCGCCUCCGCAACUCCUCUCCGGCACCUUCGCCGACCUCCCCGACUACCGGAGCCGCCGCACCGCCAACGCCCGAGCCGCCGCCGUCGUCUCCGUUCGUUGCCGCCGACGCUGUAAGCCCGAGCUCCCCUCCACCAUUGGAUCUCGCAUGAAUGGCCUAGAUUAGAAGCAACGAAGGGGUACGCUUUUAUUUAAUAGAUCGGUUUUACUUACGGUUGUUUUUUUGUUAGAUCGAACCGGUCGACUUUUCUGUUUAGCCGCGGGCGCUUUUUAUUUAGAUUUUGCCUGAGCGGCAUAUAGGCCCAAUAGCGCGGUUUUCUUUUUAGUUUUAUUUCUUCGUUUCUGUUUUAGCAGAAUAGUUCUGUUUUUGUUUUUGCUAUUUCUUUUAGUUGGUUCAAUAUUUUUAGUUGAGUCUUUUUUUGUGAGUUUGCAAAUUUGUUGUAGUUUCUGUAGAAAAUAUGUUUAGCCAUGUUUAAAUUAUUAGAAAUAGUUUUAUAUUAGAUUUAGACAGAUUAGUUUUUCUGCCACAAAUUGAGCUAGGAUUAUUAUUUUUAGUGAUUCUUUUUGCUACUGCUUAGUUUUGACCAUGCCUAGCAGUAGGAACUUGUUUGGGUAUUUUAGAUUUAAUAAAAAAUUAGUUUUAUGUCGAAAUCAAGUUUUUCUUGUUUAUUUAGCUAACUGCUGUUUUCCUACUGUUCUAGUUAGCAAAUUAUUUUAUUUUUAUUAUUUUAUAUUUUAUUUUAGAUUAGUUUCUGUAGCUACAGAGGAUGAACUUUUAUUUACAGUAGAAUAAAACUUUUAUUUUAUUUUCUUUGCUAGGAUUGUUUUAGGCAUAAUAGGAGUUCUAUAAUAGCUUUUGAUGUGAUUCUUUUUGCUCCUAGUUUGUAUGAUGUUUUCCCUUCUGUUAGAUAGCAAAACCAAUGCUUAGGUUCUGUUAAGAAAAGUUUUAGUUGUGUAAAACUAUUUCUUAGUUGUUGCUUGAUAUGAUGAAAACCUUGAUUUGCUUUCUCCGAGUUUUUCUUUGGUUUUGGUUUGAGUACGUGGGUGUUUUACUUCAACUUGCUGUUAUGUUAUAUUGUGCUAUACUUAUUUGUGCUAUUGUUUGACUCGGUAGAAUUUCCGGAGUGCGAAGCCUGCUAUUACGAGUCGCUAGCUUUCGAAGACCGUCAGCCAGGCAAGUCAUUUGAUCAUGUUUUUACAAUACCUAUGAUUUUAUUGCAUUAGAGUUAUACCUCCCCACCAUGCAUGCAGUAGGAGAAUUUUGUUAAGUUAUGUUCUUGAGUAGUAUCAUGAGGUAGGAUGAACCCUUCUCCCUUGUUACCAAUGCCCGGGACGAUGUAGUUUAUUUUGCUAUGCUCGUAGACGGGGUUGGUUGAGUGAUUCAUAAGGGAGAUGCGAGAGUCAAGAUGAUUAAAACCCCAUGACAUCAAGCUCAAGAUGGACUUCAAAAUUCACUACUGGGUGGAGGACGGUUGACGGGCACCAUGGAGAAACCAGCGGAUGGCCGGGAUGCAUGGAGAAGCGCCAUGACGUCUUGCGGAAAGCUUCACCCAGCCACGAAGAGACGGAUGGAUACCCCAUUGACCGGAAGCUUACCUGUGCAGCCGCAAGCCAUUAUGGGCUCUGGCUGGGUUGACCCUAGGUGUGACUCUGGCCGGACGGUGCUACGAGAUGUAGAAGAACGGUAAGAUUGGAUGGGCACCGGCAGUGGCCCAGAGGAACUCUUCGGAAGACCCUGUUUCGUUCGUCCCGUCUUCAAACACCAGGCAGUGCGAAGACUUAAAGGAGGGAACGAUUCUUGCGGGUAAAGUGCACAAACCUCUGCAGAGUAACAACCUAAUCGAUUAGCCGUGUCCCCGGUUACGGACAAAUGAGCCUCUGGAAUUGGAGUAUUUCGGAUAUCUCAACACUGAACUUAAUAAAUUAAUUGAGGGGGUUAUUUAAUAGUUGGGAACGAGACAUUGGUUGGCGGAACCAUCUCAAUAACUACCAACAAUUUUGUAGUAAUUGCAAACAAGUCCUUGUUGUAGGGAAAAACCGGCUUUUUCGCAAAACAAUGAAACUUAGAGCCCCACAGCCAAAUUGCAUAUAGUAUUAGAAACUUUAUUGUUGUUCUCUCUUCAUGACUUGCCGGCAUAUUCAAAAUGCUAACCUACACGGCUGCAACGUCUUAUGUUGCAGAGGAAUUUUCCGAUCAGGAGUGAGGCUACGAUCCACGCUUGGCGAUUGCCCUAUGGAGUCGGAUGGACUCGCUAUUCGUCUACGCUUCCGCAGCUUUAUUUAGUUUAUUUCUCAUGAGUUGGCCUUCGGACGAAUUUAUUAUGAUGUAAUAAAGACUCGAUAUGAGAAUCGUGUAAUAAAUUCAGGUGUGAUUGAACUUUGAAUCUUUGCAUCAAUGUACUGUGUGUGCCAGCAUGAUCUUGGGAUGGUACAGCUACACAGAGACUUGACCAAUUUCAGGUCGGGUCGUUACAGAGAUGGUAUCAGAGCACACGCUGACCAUAGGACGUAACCCCUAGGAUCGGAAAGCCAUAGGAAGAGACUAUUUUAUUUUAUGUCCUUAUCAUUCCGUAAUUCUCCCCUGUUCAUUUCUGACUUCUCUCCGAUUUUCAACAUUCUAGAUGGCCGCCGAGUUCAUCCCAGUUCUACUACCGGAGUUUUGCCAGCCAGAUGAGACGAUGCUUCUCGGCAAGAAGCUGGUUCAGAUCAUGAAAAAGCUGAAGAUUGCCCUGCCCUCAAUCACCGGGAAGCCUAUCAAUGCACUUCCGACGGAUACCCGCUAUAGGAUUAUGGUGCACAUUCCAGGGAGGACCUUCGGAGGACAUUCAGAGUCCAUUGACUUUGAGUUUACCGAUUUCACUUGGAUCCUCGGAAGAGACAUGGCGAUUUAUCGUGCACUUGGACAUCUCUGAGAAGAGUACAGGGCUGAGCUCGACCCAUCAGACCUCGCCAUGAUUUCUCGCAGAGCUAGGAAUGGAGAUAUCAUCCGUACCGUAGAGGACGACUCCAUUCUUUCAUAUGUCCAAGACUUGGAGAGUCUCAUCAGGAACCGGGAAAUCCAGACGCGCCGAAACUCGAAGGUACACAGGAGGUUGUUGUUCCAUGAACUGGAACUGGAGGAGAAAGCACGCGCGGACUUCCUUGAACAUGAAGAAGAAGUCAAGGAUUUUAUGGAGAGAAUCAAGGUCCGGGAUAAAUAUAUUGCCACACUGGAGGAGAAGAUAGACCUGGGAGAAGACCUUUUUCCGAGUGGAGAUUAUGGACCUCUCGUGAGCAAUGACCAGCAUUAUGAAGAGAGCUCCACCGAAGGAAGCCGCAAGAGGAGACGCCGCACCAGAGGACGCCGCACCGGAGGACGCAAGAAUAAUUGAUGAAGACAUUUAGUCGACCGCCAUGUUAUUAAUUUUUUUCAUCGAUCAGUUAGGCCGUUAUUUUCGAUUAGUCGUGAGAUUUUUGUAAUCCCAGAUUGAACCUUGUUUGAGAUGAAUGAAUAAAUGAUUGGUGUGAUUAUGAUUGUGCAUUCAUAUGGGUAGUGCUAUUUUCUCAUUAGACCCUUGUUCUAUUCUAUUUCUCAUCCACUCCAAAACACCAGAUGCCUCCGAGACGUGACCCCGGUUUCAACUUUCCGCCGGAGCUCACCCAGCUGAUCCAGCAGCAGAAUGCCCUGAUGCAGAUGCUCAUCCAGAACCAGAACAACAACAACAACAACAAUCCACUGCCACCACCCCCUGUUGACAACUUGACCCGCUUCCUAAGGCUGAAUCCGCCAGUGUUCUCUAGCAGCACUGAGCUGAUUGUGGCCGAUGAUUGGCUCCGCAAGGUCGGAAGGGAGUUAGCCACUGCUGGAUGCACAGAUGCAGAGAAGGUGCGCUUUGCCGCACAUCAGCUUGAUGGACCUGCAGCUUCUUGGUGGGAGAACUACACCGCCACUUAUCCGGCCGCCACCGUGACAUGGGCUGAGUUCCAGCAGGCCUUCCGCACCGCUCAUGUCUCAGCUGGAGCCAUGAGUCUGAAGAAGCGUGAGUUCCACAACUUACGCCAGGGGAACCGUACUGUGGGGCAGUACGUGGAUGAGUUCAGCAAAUUAUCUCGCUAUGCCCCAGAUGAUAUGGCCACAGAUGCCGCAAAGCAAGAGAAGUUUCUCGAGGGACUCAAUGAUGAGCUAGGAAUGCAGCUAAUGGUGGCUACCUUCAACAACUACCAGGAGCUGGUAGACAAGGCCACCAUACUUGAAGGCAAGCAACAGCAGAUUGAUAGCCGCAAGCGGAAAUAUGGCCAGGGAAAGUACAACUCCGGAGCUCAGCAGAAGCCCCGCUAUACCCCAUACUCAGGAGGACAUACCCAUCACACCCAUGGAGGACAUAAUCAUGGAGGACAUGACCAUGGAGGGAAUGGGAACAAUCGCAACCACGACAACAACUCCAAGUCAGGCAAUGGCAACCAGCACUGUCCUGCUCCGGCUCAGAAGGAUCUGAGUCAUAUCACCUGUUUCAAGUGCCAGAAGACAGGACACUAAGCCACCGAUUGUCCGGAGGCCAAGCAGAGGAAUGGAAACGACAUCGGCAAUGGAAGCUCAGCAAAGAAGCCCAACCCUUUUUCUCGUGCUCAGGUGAAUCACCUUGACGUGGAGGACGUCUAUGAUCAGCCAGACACUGUGGUUGGUAAGUUUUUAUUAAGUUCACAUCCAGUAUUGGUACUCUUUGAUUCCAGUGCAACGCAUUCAUUCAUAUCAAGGGUAGUUGUGGAAAAGUACGGGUUGCCCACUAGAACCCUUAGAACCCCGCUUCAGGUCACUUCCCCAGGAGGAGAGAUGACGGCAGGCUUAGGCUGUCAUUCGACCCUCAGCAUUGGAAACCAUGAUUUUCCCGCAGACCUCAUAGUAUUGGAAUCCCAGAGUUUGGAUGUAAUUCUAGGCAUGGAUUGGUUGACCAAGUUUGAAGGAAACAUCGACUGUGCUCGCAAGACGAUUUUGCUCACCACCCCGGAGCAGAAAAGGAUCAAGUAUGUAUCUAGACGCACACCGAUGAAGAAUCGGGUGAAUUCCCUCACGGGUAUUGUUCAGGAGGAAGUGCCCGUAGUGCAAGAUUUUCCCGAUGUGUUUCCAGAGGAAUUACCAGGAAUGCCACCGGACAGAGACAUUGAGUUUUUGAUUGAGUUAUUGCCCGGCACAGCCCCAAUAUCCAAGAGACCCUAUCGGAUGCCCCCGAAUGAUUUGGAAGAGAUCAAGAAGCAAAUUAAGGAGCUAUUGGAGAAAGGAUAUAUUCGCCCAAGCUCGUAACCUUGGGGAGCCCCAGUUCUUUUGGUAGAGAAGAAGGAUGGAACCCUGAGAAUGGUUGUGGAUUAUCGUUCACUGAACGAUGUGACCAUCAAGAACAAGUACCCUCUGCCGAUGAUUAAUGAUUUAUUUGAUCAACUAGUUGGAGCCAAGGUAUUCUCCAAGAUCGAUCUUCGAUCAGGGUAUCAUCAGUUGAAGAUUCAUGAACAGGAUAUACCCAAAACAGCUUUCACCACCAGGUAUGGUCUAUAUGAGUAUACCGUCAUGUCAUUCGGAUUAACUAAUGCCCCUGCAUAUUUCAUGAGCAUGAUGAACAAGGUAUUUAUGGAAUAUCUGGACAAGUUUGUCGUGGUGUUCAUCGAUGACAUAUUGGUUUUCUCCAAGAGCGAGAAAGAGCAUAAGGAACAUCUGCGUCUAGUUCUGGAGAAACUCCGGGAACAUCAGUUAUAUGCCAAGUUCAGCAAAUGUGAAUUUUGGCUGAAGGAAGUUGGAUUCCUCGGACAUGUUAUUUCAGGAGAAGGAAUAGCAGUCGACCCCACCAAGGUCGAAUCGGUCACCAACUGGCAGUCCCCCACCUCAGUCAAGGAGAUCCGCAGUUUUCCCGGACUCACAGGAUAUUAUCGGAGGUUUAUUGAGAAUUUCUCCAAGAUUGCCAAGCCCAUGACUGAGCUGUUGAAGAAGGAAGCCAAGUACAUUUGGACCGAGGAUUGUGAAGCCAGUUUUCAGGAGCUGAAGAAACGUUUGGUUACCGCCCCGGUGCUAAUUUUGCCAGACAUACACAAGGAUUACCAGGUAUAUUGUGACGCUUCUCGUCAAGGACUCGGAGGAGUGCUCAUGCAGGAAGGAAAAGUUGUAGCUUAUACCUCCAGACAGCUACGACCUCCCGAGAUGAAUUAUGCCACACACGAUUUGGAGUUAGCAGCCGUAGUGCACGCACUCAAGACCUGGAGACAUUUCCUCGUCGGAAACAGUUGUGAUGUUUACACGGAUCAUAAGAGCCUGAAGUAUAUUUUCACGCAGAAGGAAUUGAACCUCAGGCGGAGGAGAUGGCUUGAAUUGAUCAAGGACUAUGACAUGAGAUUGCAUUAUCACCCAGGGAAGGCAAAUGUUGUAGCAGAUGCCUUGAGCCGUAAAAGUUAUGUGAACACCCUCAUAGCUGGAGGAUUACCUCAGGAAUUAGCUGACGAUCUUAGAGAGCUCCGACUGGAGAUAGUACCGAGAGGAUUUGUCGCCACCUUGGAUAUACAGUCCACUCUGACCGAAAGAAUCCGUGAAGCCCAGAAGACAGACAAGGAAAUUGCAGAGAUAAAGGAAAAGAUGUGUAACGGAAAGGCGAAAGGUUUUCGUGAAGAUGAGCACGGAACUUUAUGGUUUGAGGAUCGCAUCUAUGUGCCUAAUGACCCAGAGGUCAGGAAGUUAAUUCUUCAGGAGGCCCAUGAUUCACCAUACUCGAUUCACCCAGGCAACACCAAGAUGUAUCUGGAUUUGAAGGAAAGUUUCUGGUGGACAGGUAUGAAGAAGGAUAUUGCCGAGUACGUAGCAGUAUGCGAUGUUUGUCAGCGAGUAAAGGUGGAACAUCAGAAGCCGGCAAGGUUACUUCAACCUUUGCCGAUACCCGAGUGGAAAUGGGAAAAACUUGGAAUGGAUUUUAUCACAGGAUUACCGAGGACCCGUUCAGGUUAUGAUUCUAUCUGGGUAGUGGUUGACCGCUUGACCAAGGUAGCUCAUUUCAUUCCCGUGAAGACCACAUCUACCAGCGCUAAGUUAGCCAAGAUAUACAUGACCAGGAUCGUAUGUCUGCAUGGAGUUCCGAGGAGUAUCGUGUCAGAUAGAGGGACACAAUUUACCUCAAAGUUUUGGAAUCAGUUGCAUGAAUCUUUGGGUACGAGGCUGGAGUUCAGUACAACUUUUCAUCCGCAGACAGAUGGACAGACCGAGAGAGUCAACCAGAUUUUGGAGGACAUGUUGAGAGCCUGUGCGCUAGACUAUGGGUCUAGCUGGGAUGAAAACUUGCCAUAUGCAGAGUUCUCGUACAACAACAGCUAUCAGACCAGUCUGAAGAUGGCCCCUUUCGAAGCUCUAUACGGAAGGAGGUGUAGAACACCAUUGCUGUGGGAUGGUGUUGGAGACCGAAAACUUUUUGGUCCCGAUCUUAUCAGAGACUCCGAAGAGAAGGUCAAGCUGAUUCGAGAUAGACUCAAGAUAGCACAGUCGAGACAGAAGAGUUAUGCCGACAGUAAACGCAAGGAGAUAACGUAUGAAGUUGGAGACCGAGCAUAUCUCCGUGUGUCCCCACUUCGUGGAAUCACGAGGUUUGGUGUUAAAGGGAAGUUGGCACCCAGGUUCAUUGGCCCCUACAAAAUCCUCGAACGUCGUGGAGAAGUCGCUUACAAGCUGGAAUUGCCGGAAGGAUUGUCCGGAGUUCACGAUGUCUUCCAUGUUUCUCAACUGAAGAAAUGCCAUGCUGAGAUGGCCGAAAUUCCGCUGAGAGACACAGUGCCCCUAGAGGCCAUACAGCUUGACAGUGAUCUGACUUAUAAGGAGAAACCCGUCUGAAUUCUUGAGACUGCAAACAGAGUCACCCGCAGCAAGAUCAUCAAGUUUUGCAAGGUUCUGUGGAGUCAUCAUUCCGAGGAGGAAGCCACCUGGGAGCGAGAAGAAGACCUUCGCCGAGACCACGCGCACCUAUUUGCUAGCCAACCCGAAUCUCGAGGGCGAGAUUCAUCUUAAGGUGGGUAGGUUUGUAACAUCCCAAAUUUUCAAUUUGGAAUGUUUUACAAUUAUUAGCUAAGCAUCUAUGCAUUUUGAUUGAAAUUGAGUGGCAUUUGAAAAUUUCAGAGGCAGUUGAGUUUGUGUUGUGAAUUUGAACUUGAUUUGGCAUUGAAAUUUAUUUCAAAUAUCCCUGACAAAUACUUGAUCAAAAGUAUGAGAGGAGCUAACAUGACACUCCAAAAAUGUCAGAAGAAUUGUAUUGCCAAAAAGUUUGAAUUCAAAUUUGAAUUUUAUUUGGGAUUUCGAGAAAUUGUUUUUUUUAGUUUGAGAUUUACCUCUGUAAAAAUGUCCACGUUGUAGGAUUAAUUCCCUUGAGAAUUAUGAUAUAUAUAUGUCCUAUAUAAAAAUAAUAUAUAUGUCUUUUUUUCUUUUUUCCUUCCCUCUAUUUCAAAAAAAGAAAAGAAGAGAAAGCCUCAGGCGCCAGCCAGGCCAACCGGCCAAGCCAGCGCCGAGCGCAGCCCACCAGCGGGCCAGGCGCAGCCCACCGACGCCGAGCCGGCCUGCCCCAGCGCACCCGCACGCCCGAACCCUCUCCCGAUCGGUCGCCCGAUCCCCUCGCCCUCUCUCUCUCACUGACGCGCUGGCCCCACCUCUUUCUUUCCCCUCGCGCACGGCACGCCGCACCGGAGCACGCGCAGAGCGUGCCCGACACCGCGAUCUUCUCGGGAUCGCGAUCCCGCGUCACCCCCUCGUCCAAGUCCAUGUCCUAUAAGUUCCCCUCGCUCUCCUCUCCCGAACCCCCCAAAAACCCUAGCCCGAAACGCACCACAGCUCACGCCCUCCUCCUUUGGAUCUCGCCGCCGCCGCCUCGGUUCGCCGCCGCUGCUGCCACCGGUGAGCAUCCCCCCUUGCUUCCAAGCUACACCACCCGAACCCCCUGUUCGUUCCUCAUCUCCCUGACAUCCUCUCUUCUCCCAGGGAGCCCCGAAGCCGUCGUCCCCGAGCUCGACCGCCGCCCGCCGGAACUGCAGCUCACCAGGGAGCCAUCGCCGUCGCCCCGAUCGCCACCGUCGUCCCCGAGCUCCACCAACUCCACCCCCGCCUCCGCAACUCCUCGCCGCACCUCUCCGACACCUUCGCCGACCUCCCCGACUACCGGAGCCGCCGCACCGCCAACGCCCGAGCCGCCGCCGUCGUCUCCGUUCGUCGCCGCCGACGCUGUAAGCCCGAGCUCCCCUCCACCAUUGGAUCUCGCAUGAAUGGCCUAGAUUAGAAGCAACGAAGGGGUACGGUUUUAUUUAAUAGAUCGGUUUUACUUACGGUUGUUUUUUUGUUAGAUCGAACCGGUCGACUUUUCUGUUUAGCCGCGGGCGCUUUUUAUUUAGAUUUUGCUUGAGCGGCAUAUAGGCCCAAUAGCGCGGUUUUCUUUUUAGUUUUAUUUCUUCGUUUCUGUUUUAGCAGAAUAGUUCUGUUUUUGUUUUUGCUAUUUCUUUUAGUUGGUUCAAUAUUUUUAGUUGAGUCUUUUUUUUGUGAGUUUGCAAAUUUGUUGUAGUUUCUGUAGAAAAUAUGUUUAGCCAUGUUUAAAUUAUUACAAAUAGUUUUAUAUUAGAUUUAGACAGAUUAGUUUUUCUGCCACAAAUUGAGCUAGGAUUAUUAUUUUUAGUGAUUCUUUUUGCUACUGCUUAGUUUUGACCGUGCCUAGCAGUAGGAACUUGUUUGGGUAUUUUAGAUUUAAUAAAAAAUUAGUUUUAUGUCGAAAUCAAGUUUUUCUUGUUUAUUUAGCUAACUGCUGUUUUCCUACUGUUCUAGUUAGCAAAUUAUUUUAUUUUUAUUAUUUUAUAUUUUAUUUUAGAUUAGUUUCUGUAGCUACAGAGGAUGAACUUUUAUUUACAGUAGAAUAAAACUUUUAUUUUAUUUUCUUUGCUAGGAUUGUUUUAGGCAUAAUAGGAGUUCUGUAAUAGCUUUUGAUGUGAUUCUUUUUGCUCCUAGUUUGUAUGAUGUUUUCCCUUCUGUUAGUUAGCAAAACCAAUGAUUAGGUUCUGUUAAGAAAAGUUUUAGUUGUGUAAAACUAUUUCUUAGUUGUUGCUUGAUAUGAUGAAAACCUUGAUUUGCUUUCUCCGAGUUUUUCUUUGGUUUUGGUUUGAGUAUGUGGGUGUUUUACUUCAACUUGCUGUUAUGUUAUAUUGUGCUAUACUUAUUUGUGCUAUUUUUUGACUCGGUAGAAUUUCCGGAGUGCGAAGCCUGCUAUUACGAGUCGCUAGCUUUCGAAGACCGUCAGCCAGGCAAGUCAUUUGAUCAUGUUUUUACAAUACCUAUGAUUUUAUUGCAUUAGAGUUAUACCUCCCCACCAUGCAUGCAGUAGGAGAAUUUUGUUAAGUUAUGUUCUUGAGUAGUAUCAUGAGGUAGGAUGAAUCCUUCUCCCUUGUUACCAAUGCCCGGGACGAUGUAGUUUAUUUUGCUAUGCUCGUAGACGGGGUUGGUUGAGUGAUUCAUAAGGGAGAUGCGAGAGUCAAGAUGAUGAAAACCCCAUGACAUCAAGCUCAAGAUGGACUUCAAAAUUCACUACUGGGUGGAGGACGGUUGACGGGCACCCUGGAGAAACCAGCGGAUGGCCGGGAUGCAUGGAGAAGCGCCAUGACGUCUUGCGGAAAGCUUCACCCAGCCACGAAGAGACGGAUGGAUACCCCAUUGACGGGAAGCUUACCUGUGCAGCCGCAAGCCAUUAUGGGCUCUGGCUGGGUUGACCCUAGGCGUGACUCUGGCCGGACGGUGCUACGAGAUGUAGAAGAACGGUAGGAUUGGAUGGGCACCGGCAGUGGCCCAGAGGAACUCUUCGGAAGACCCUAUUUCGUUCGUCCCGUCUUCAAACACCAGGCAGUGCGAAGACUUAAAGGAGGGAACGAUUCUUGCGGGUAAAGUGCACAAACCUCUGCAGAGUAACAACCUAAUCGAUUAGCCGUGUCCCCGGUUACGGACAAAUGAGCCUCUGGAAUUGGAGUAUUUCGGAUAUCUCAACACUGAACUUAAUAAAUUAAUUGAGGGGGUUAUUUAAUAGUUGGGAACGAGACAUUGGUUGGCGGAACCAUCUCAAUAACUACCAACAAUUUUGUAGUAAUUGCAAACAAGUCCUUGUUGUAGGGAAAAACCGGCUUUUUCGCAAAACAAUGAAACUUAGAGCCCCACAGCCAAAUUGCAUAUAGUAUUAGAAACUUUAUUGUUGUUCUCUCUUCAUGACUUGCCGGCAUAUUCAAAAUGCUGACCUACACGGCUGCAACAUCUUAUGUUGCAGAGGAAUUUUCCGAUCAGGAGUGAGGCUACGAUCCACGCUUGGCGAUUGCCCUAUGGAGUCGGAUGGACUAGCUAUUCGUCUACGCUUCCGCAGCUUUAUUUAGUUUAUUUCUCAUGAGUUGGCCUUCGGCCGAAUUUAUUAUGAUGUAAUAAAGACUCGAUAUGAGAAUCGUUUAAUAAAUUCAGGUGUGAUUGAACUUUGAAUCUUUGCAUCAAUGUACUAUGUGUGCCAGCAUGAUCUUGGGAUGGUACAGCUACACAGAGACUUGACCGAUUUCGGGUCGGGUCGUUACACGUCCCCUAUGCUUUAGACGUAGGCUCUACAGUAUGCUAUGCUGUGUACCGCACCUGAAGUGUGCCUUGCCAUGAGUUAGUCAAGAGGUACAAUAGUGAUCCGGGAAUGGAUCAACUUAUCCUUAGUAUCUAGUGGACUAAGGAAUUUUCUCGAUUAUGGAGGUGGUAAAAUAGUUCGUCAUAAAGGGUUACAUCGAUGCAAACUUUGACACUAAUCCGGAUGACUCUGAGUAGUAAACCGGAUUCGUAUAGUAGAGCAGUUAUUUGGAAUAGCUCCAAGUAGCGCGUGGUAGCUACAUCUACAAGAUGACAUAGAGAUUUGUAAAGCACACACGGAUCUGAAUGUUGCAGACCCGUUGACUAAAACCUCUCUCGUAAGCAUAACAUGAUCAAACCCUAGAACUCAUUGAGUGCUAAUCACAUGGUGAUGUGGACUAGAUUAUUGACUCUAGUCAACUUUGAGUGUUAAUCACAUGGUGAUGUCAACUAGAUUAUUGACUCUAGUGCAAGUGGGAGACUGUUGGAAAUAUGCCCUAGAGGCAAUAAUAAAAUGGUUAUUAUUGUAUUUCCUUGUUCAUGAUAAUUGUCUGUUGUUCAUGCUAUAAUUGUAUUAACUGGAAACCGUAAUACAUGUGUGAAUACAUAGACCACAACAUGUCCCUAGUAAGCCUCUAGUUGACUAGCUCGUUGAUCAAUAGAUGGUUAUGGUUUCCUGACCAUGGACAUUGGAUGUCAUUGAUAACGGGAUCACAUCAUUAGGAGAAUGAUGUGAUGUUCAAGACCCAAUCCUAAGCAUAGCACAAGAUCGUGUAGUUCGUUUGCUAGAGCUUUUCUAAUGUCAAGUAUCAUUUCCUUAGACCAUGAGAUUGUGCAACUCCCGGAUACCGUAGGAAUGCUUUGGGUGUACCAAACGUGACAACGUAACUGGGUGGCUAUAAAGGUGCACUACAGGUAUCUCCGAAAGUGUCUGUUGGGUUGGCACGAAUCGAGACUGGGAUUUGUCACUCCAUAUGACGGAGAGGUAUCUCUGGGCCCACUCGGUAAUGCAUCAUCAUAAUGAGCUCAAUGUGACCAAGUGUUUGGUCACGGGAUCAUGCAUUACGGUACGAGUAAAGUGACUUGCCGGUAGCGAGAUUGAACAAGGUAUUGGGAUACCGACUAUCGAAUCUCGGUCAAGUAACGUACCGAUUGACAAAGGGAAUUGUAUACGGGACUGAUUGAAUCCUCGACAUCAUGGUUCAUCCGAUGAGAUCAUCGUGGAACAUGUGGGAGCCAACAUGGGUAUCCAGAUCCCGCUGUUGGUUAUUGACCGGAGAGUCGUCUCGGUCAUGUCUGCAUGUCUCCCGAACCCGUAGGGUCUACACACUUAAGGUUCGGUGACGCUAGGGUUGUAGAGAUAUUAGUAUGCGGAAAUCCGAAAGUCGUUCGGAGUCCCGGAUGAGAUCCCGGACGGCACGAGGAGUUCCGGAAUGGUCCGGAGGUAAAGAUUUAUAUAUAGGAAGUCCUAUUUUGGCCACCGGAAAAUGUUCUAGAAGAUUCCGAAGUGGGGCCCAACUGCAUGGGGGGACCCACAUGAACGUGGGUAGUGGGGGAAAGGCCCCACACCCCUGGUCAAGGCACACCAAGAUCCCACCUUAGAAGGAAUAAGAUCAUAUCCCGAAGGGAUAAGAUCAAGAUCUCUAAAAAAGGGGGAUAACAAUCGGUGGGGAAGGGAAAUGAUGGGAUUUCUUUCCCCCACCUUUGCCAACGCCCCAAUGGAGUUGGAGGGCAAGAAACCAGCCCCCUCCACCCCUAUAUAUAGUGGGGAGGCGCAUGGGAGCAACACCCAAGCCCUGGCGCCUCCCUCCCUCCCGUGACACCUCUUCCUCCCCGCUUGCGCUUGGCGAAGCCCUGCCGGGAUCCCGCUACUUCCACCACCACGCCGUCGUGCUGCUGGUGUCGGGACCCCAAUUCUAAGUCACACCGAUCUAGCCUGUAACACCUCAUAUCACUUUGCGGCCUCACGCACGGUAUUCCCACGGGUGUCGCCUUACCAUGGCCCGGGACCGUUUGCGCCUUUUGGCUCACGUAUAUGAUAAUGUCGCUAGCAUCCAUAUGACAGAGAACCCGGGCCGACAUGGCUAGUCGUGAACCCAAAGUGGCACUAACGUAUGGGGACAGGCAUACAUGAAUCAACAUCGAACGUGUCGGUCAGCAGCGUGCGAAUCCGGGCUGUAGCACUGGGCUAACAGGACUCCGGGAACCCGGGCUGUAGCAGGCUAGGCAGGACUCCGGAUGUCACCGCGUGACAUUUCCCCUAAGGGACAGACACAGGAAUGAUAUGAAACACAUGCCGGCCUGUCAAGUGUCCAGAGCAGUAGUGCUGGGCUAGCAGGACUCCGGCGAACCGGGCUGUAGCGGACUACUAUGGCUCAAGGAGGCACUAGACUACAUUUCCCCAUAAGAGAGGCUGCUAAGGAUAGACAACUAGAUUGUCGGAUCCCACACAUACCAAGCAUUUCAAGCAUACACACAAUAUGCUCGAUAUGUGCAGAUACAACAUGGCAUCACAACAAGACUCUACGACUCAGAGUAUUUAUUCAUUAGGCCCCGAAGAGCCAGAUAUUACAAACAUGGGUCUCAUGACCCAACAUUCAGAGCAUACAAGUCAAAGCACAUGCGGAAGCUCAACAUGUCUGAGUACAGACAUCUACAAAUGAAAAAGGCCGAGAAGCCUGACUAUUUACUAGAUCCUGCCGAGGGCACAAGAUCGUAGCUGAGGUAUCAAGCUAAACGUCGAAGUCCACACGGAACUACUAGCGAGACUGACGUCUCUCUGCAAAACAUAAAAUAGGCAAACGUGAGUACAAAUGUACCCAGCAAGACUUACAUCAGAACUAUCUACAUAUGCAUCAGUAUCAACAAAAGGGGUGGUGUAGUUUAACUGCAGCAAGCCAGCUUUGACUCGGUGGCUAUCCUAAACUACGACUGCAAGUAACUCUUUUGAGGUGGCGCACACGAGUCCACAUAUUCAUCAUAUCAAUACUCCACUAUGGAUCCGCUCCCGUCUCCCUACGAGAACGCCAUCCAUAGCACUCACGCUUAUCUUGCGCAUUUUAGAGUAUCCACUUUCACUUGUCUAUGAACUGUUAUAGGCAACCCAGAAGUCCAUUUCCGCGGACACGGCUAUUCGAAUAGAUGAUGUUAACCCUGCAGGGGUGUACUUCGUGACACACGCUCUCGCCACCUACCACCAUGUACACGUCGUGUACCUCGGCAACCUUCAAGCGGAAGCCUGGCGAGGGAGUCGGCCACCUACCUAAACACUCAAGUCUCUAGUCCAGGUUUAUCGCCUAUUCAGGUUCCAUCCGCAGGGAGUCCGGCCGAGGUUUCCACAUACGGCCCCGAACGAUGUGUGCAGGGUUCCGAGACACCAAACGGGCGCCCGGCAUGCCCGGCCACGUGCCUACCGCAUCACAGCCCACCCCUCCGGUCAGCGCUGCCCACGGCCUCCAGCAUACUACAAACACCAGAAACUACUUGCAACUCCUGGACAGAGGACAAGGGUGAUUAAGAAGCCAAGAGGGUCCAUUGGUUUCGGGCCCAAUGCAUGGUAGUAACUGUAUCAUGGAUCACAAACACAGAACUUAGUUCCUGAGGACGGCUGCAAUGAGACAACCCACCAUGUACUCCUACAUGACCUCUCACCGCUACCUUUACCAAAACGUGUUCACACACUUAGCUCGCACACAGUAGGACAUGUUCAUCACCAUUCCAACUCAUCCCCGAUGAAUCAGACCCGACUCAACUCUAAGCAGUAGCAGGCAUGACAACAAGCAUGAAUGAGUAGGCACAUCAGGGCUCAAACAACUCCUACUCAUGCUAGUGGGUUUCAUCUAUUUACUGUGGCAAUGACAGGUCAUGCAGAGAAUAGGGGGUUCAACUACCGCAACAAGUAACAGUUGAAUCGUUGUUGUCCUAAUGCAGUAAAGAGAGCAGGAGCGAGAGAGUGGGAUUGUAUCGGAAUGAACAAGGGGGUUAUGCUUGCCUGGCACUUCUGAAGAUAGCAUUGAGUCUUCAUUAGUGUCAACGAUCACAACGCCGGAACAACGUCUACCGAGAGGGGACAACACCGGCAACAGAGAGGAAACACAAUCAAUGCAAUGCAACAAUAUGAUGCAUGAAUGUGACAUGGCAAUAUGCUGUGAAUUGAGCUAAUGUAGCUAGCAACAAGUGCAAGGGAGCCCAUUUGAACCGAAGGUUCAAAUGCAAACUCUAGUUUGAGCAUUUAAAAUGCCAUUUGAAUGUUUUCACUUAUACAACAGGUAUAAGUUGGUUUUUCAUGCAUGAAAGUAGCAUAAAUGGAUAGAUUGGAUUUUUCUGAUAAUUUUUCAUAUAUAAAAUAUUUCAUUAUGAGCUACGGUUGAUUUUCUAUGAAUUUUAGAAGUUUAUACUAUUUUCUGGAAUUCCUGAAUUAUUUUAAAUACAGAAACUAUUUACUGCGUCAGCAAUGAGUAAGCAUGACGUCAGCAGGUCAAAGGGCUGGCCAAGUCAAACCUGACAGUGGGGUCCACACGUCAGUGACAAGGUUAACUAGCAGAGUUAAUUAGAAUUAAAAUAAACCUAAUCUAGAUUAGUUAAGGCCUGGGCCCACAUGUCAGUGACCUAGGGGAAGUCAAACCACUGGUCAAAAGGUCAAACGCGCCGGCGGCUUGACGCCGGCGGCGACAGACGCGGCGGAGGGGCUCGGGAAACGCCCUCCGGCGACCAUUGGGCUCGGGGUUUGGCCCUACGGGCUGCUGGACGUGCACCGCAUCCAACGGAGGAGGCGGCUGGGCGAGGGGAGGUCGGGAACUACGGUGGCGACCACUUGGGCGGCGGCCGGAGCUCGGGCAACGGCGGAGAUGGCGCUACGGGGCACGGCAGAGCGAACCCGUGGGUGCUUCAGGUUCACAGGAGCGCGGCGAGCACGCUGGUGAUGAUCGGGCGAGCGGCCGAGCUCAGGAGCACGGAGCUCAUUGGCAAUGGCGGGGCGAGCUUCGGUGCUCGUGGGGAAUGGUGCUACGGCAACCAAACGGGGACAGGGUUAGGGGGGAAUGACCGGGGGCUCACCGCGGUCACGAAGAGGUUCUCAGCGAGCUCGGGGAGGCACGGACGGCGUUGGAAUUUGGCGGCGGCGAUGCACGGCCGUGCGCGGAGACGAUGGGUCGAUGGUGAGGCGACAGGGCGUCCGGCGAUGCUUGCGUUGAGGGGGAGCUUCAAGGCGUCGAGGCAGAGCUCGUGGACUCAUCGGCGGGGCGAGGGGUGGCCGGUGGCCAUGGCUACGGCGAGCGCCGUCGACGAGCUCCGCUCGGGUGUGCUCGGGAGAGGGAGCAGAGGGCGAGGGAGAGAGCAGAGAGUGAGGGAGAGGAGCGAGGAGCUUCGGGGCGUCGUCGUGGCAUCGCCAGGAGGGGCCGGGGAAGCAGGAGGUGGCGCGGGCGCGUGCUCGGCGGCGGUGCGCUGUCCCCCUCCUCUGCCUACUGGCAAAGGUAGGUGGUGACUGGCAUGGGCCAGGUGGGCCGGCCCAGUCCAGGUAAGCGCCAGGUAAUACUCCUUUCUCUCUCUUUUCUUUAAUUGUUUCUGUUUUCUAUUUGUUUUGAUCUGUUUUGAAUUAGUAAAAAUACUAACUCAUUUUGUAAAAUCCUGAUAAAAAUUGUGGGCACUUUUGAAAAUAUUUCCAACAGCCCUCAACUAGUUUCAGAAUUAUUAGAGCAUUUAAAAUAUUUAUAGGAUUUAAAUGCCCCAAUUCAAAUACAAUAUGAGUUAAUUCAAAAAUCCAAAAAUGACCUAGAAAUAUGUUUAUCAUUUUUGGCAGAGGUUUUUACCUUUAUCAAAAAUCAUGAACUUUUCUAAAGGGCAUUUGGGUUCAUUGAAAAUGUUUUUAAGUUGAACCUAGUUGAGUUCUUUUGGGUGCUAGGGAUUGAUCACCCCUAUUUCAAGUUUAAGCAAAAUUUAAACAUGAUGCAUGAGGAACAAGCAAAGUCAGACAAGGGCUGAUCUGGGGCUGUGACAGCUCACCCCCACUAAACAAGAAUCUCGUCCCGAGAUUCAAGACGUGAGGUAAGAAGACAGAGGGUACACAAAGCUAACACGAUCUUCAUGAUCCAAUUGCUCUUCGCGAAGAUGUUGAUCCGUUGCUUCAAUUAACGUUGACGUCUUGGCUUUCGAGAUCUUCAUCCGACACGAUGACGACAAGGGAAAACUCUAUAGAAAUCGAUCUCCUUAAAGAUCGAGCAACUCACGGAAUGAGAUGUUGAAACAUCUCGAGUUGAGGCACAAUACAUACAUCGAGAGAGGGAUGAAGUGAAACGGAGAACGAAGAUUCAAGUUGAUAAGCACAAUUCCACGCUGAAUAAGAUGGUGCAUGGUUUCAAAGUAGCGAGGAGAUAAUUCCCACGAUUCCAUAACGAGGCACCUUGGGGAAGGUGACUCGUAGAACUAUUCCUUAAGUGGCAAAAAGAAUUACUUUUGAUCCUAAGAUCAUUGAAACUCUUUAUGCCAGCCUAAGGCAAUCACAACGAUCGUUCGAGGGAGUUCGGGAGAACGACACACUCGGGCUAGGAUGGACGAUGUGGACUACCUUGUUGAAGACAACACAAGGGGUGAUUUUCUUAUCACCGGAAAUGGUCGGAACCCCUGGUGGGACCACUUUUGAAGAUGGUCCUUAUUAGUAAUUACUGGGAAGGGUAAUCCAAGGUAGGACGGCACAAUGGCGGUGCAAACUAGAAACAUAAUGCAAAUGCUGGAAUGAUUUUAAUAACAGGGGAGAAGCUCAACAGUAGAGAGUGAAUCCACUGUUUGAAGGGUUUAGCAUAACCGAAGGAAACUGGGAGCAAUUCCAGUUAGUGCCGAUGAUAACACCUAGUGCUUGUGCGUGCUCUCAGGAACUUGAGAAUUUCCAUAUUCAUCAAGGUUUUACCAACAUCCGUGUCGAGGAUCCUGGUAACACAUCAUACUACCAUGAUGAAUGGUGAUGGAGGAUGCAGGUGCAAAGGAGGACAACACUUUCUCAGAUUUCACCUUAGUGAAGCCAAGGGAGCAAAAUCUGGAUGACCGACCGAGAGACAUUUAGCACUCCGCUUCUAAUGUUCUCCUUGAUGUGCUAGCGUAACCCAUUUAUUGAUAUGGUUUGGUAUCUAGAACAUCAAGUAAAAGGUCGGACUUCAGGAGCACGAGAAUCCAUAAGGAAUAACUGCGGAAGUAAAUCCUACGAAAUCCUUAUGGGGAGGUGGCCAACUUCCUCAAUCAAGAUACUACAAUAAUAGGCCUUCCGGCUGGAUGUGUUGGCCACGACAUCCACUUUACCGGUUAUCGAGAGGGCAAUAUUAUAAUUCUUGGGAGAUGUUCCAACCAUCAUAUCUGCCUGAGAUUCAGAUCUGGUUGGUGUCAGAAUAUUCCAGACUCGUCAAGUCUAGGAAGAAAAAUGAAGGUUUGCAACACAAAUCGACGAGAUGACGUUGCGAGAUUCUCAGGGGAUGAACUACGAUAGCAAGCUCCAAAACACGAGCUGGUUCUGCUACAAACCUGUGAACACACUCUCCAAGACAAGCAUGACCACAUAGUAGUCUUACAACAAAACGCUACCGAGUUCAGGUGGGGAACCAUCAUUAAUGACAUCGAAGUCUCCACGCGUGGAAGUCCAAAGAAUUCACCUUAGAACAGACUCCUUUAUCUUGAACAAAUCAAUCAGUGGCUUGGGGUGCUAGGGAUGCAUAUGGAAUGAAGAUGAUCAGUCUAUCAUACCACAUGAUACUUUGCACGUGCAUGAUUGACUUGGGAUGAUUCCAGAGGAAACAACAUUGACUUUCUGGAAUUCACGGCGGCAACUUACACCAAGUGCACAUGAAUUAGAGGAAGUCACUCCUUUCAUCCAAACAUAGGCUUCAUGAACUAGCACAAAGAAAAAUGCUUUCAAAAGUUUCCAACACUAACUUAGAUGUUCAACAUGAAUCAUGGACAAGAUGAAAACGUUGUCAAUGGGCUUAACAACAAUUCAUCCAGGUUUCCAUAUAAAUGUAUUUCCAUAGCUAUGUGAACAUGGUGAUAGCACUGGUCAUACCAAAGGAUGUAAUGGUGUAUGCUCGAGGGAUCAACCACGAGUAAGACAACAUUAUGCAUAUCGUUGGUUCUGACUUGAUUUGAUGAUAGCCCAUACGCAAAUCAAAGAUUUGGGUAAGACAAUAGAUCGAACAAUUGAUCACGAGGAUCAAUCAAUGAAGAUAUCAUCUUUCUUCAACACACAUAGACACAAGAUAUCCCUUUGGAAAUGAACUAAGUUAGACAACCUUUUAUCUUCCAACUCUCCAAGUUGUUGUUUAGCUUGACCAACUAGCUCAGGGGUAUCCAACACAGAUUCUUGGAGAAGGGGUGGUUUAUUGGAAAACCAACUUGUUCACAAACUCAACAUAUCGGUCAGGGGACAACCUGGUGGUACUUCCAAGAAGAUAUUUGGAAAAUCACGAUCCACCGACAUGUUAGUAAGAUCGAGAUCAAUCUUGCUUUUCAGGGCAAGACGAUAUGACCGAAUAAGCAAGGGCUGACACUAUCCCAACUCAUUGAUCGAAAAGUACACCGGGAAUAUGGACUAGGUAGCACGAUCAACCUCAUGAUGGUGAUUCAAUAACCAACACGCUAAGGAUGAAAUUAUUGUCCUUUAACUACCAAGCAACGGAGUUGCUAGGAGUAUAGAUUUCACACACCACGAUUCACUUGUCAGUAUUCCGGUACAAUAACACGGAGACCGAGGAAUGAAUAAUGAUGGACAGAACUAUCACUGCAACAAGAAUUCAUAAGGGUUGGUGCAAUCCUCGUGGGAUUCCUGACAUAAAGAGGGUAAUACUCGUAGGUAGAACAGAACAAAAGCUGGUUAGGCAUUUUGAUCUGCGGAAUACAACUACUUUGACCAAUCCAAGAAAUGGAUAAGGUACUGGAGUUUGUUUCUCCUAGUCAUUCUGGAAUAGAAUGGCUUGACGGACCACAAGAAUAAUAGGCAUUGAUAACUCAAAUGCACAAUUACUCCUGACUAUCAAUUGAUAGACGAGGGCCAGAAAACAACUAAAGAGGGACAACUCAAGGAAACAUAUGUUUUUCUGAGUUGUGGAUGCAUAGAUUAGUAUAUCGAACCAAGUCCAACAAGUUUCUUCUAGAUAACCCAUGCAGAGAGGUAGGACUGGCAGAGUCACAAUGUAGAAUGGAGAACUCAUUAAGAGCACUCUGGUCGUGACCUUUUGGUUUCAAAAGAACUCCUGCCAGGAAUGGUUCAUGGUAUUUGGAAGAACGAUAUACCACGGACCUCGUGGACUAAUGCAAAGGUUACUAAUAACCUAAAGGAACGAACAAACACUAGCUACACGAGUUAAGUAGAGUGAAUCUUGGGUUCAAGAACCCAGAAAUAGAAUGCCUACUAAUUAAAUGGCAUCACGGGAUGCUUUCAAGAAUAAUGGCCAGAAUCAUCACACUGGGGAUGCAAGCAUUGCUAGAUUACUAAGUGGUCCUCUAAGACACCUAGGGUCAUAAUAAUAACUCCAACAUAUAUGUCAAGGCAACAGAGUACCUCAACUCAACGAUUAGUGUGGUUAAUCUGGCCCAAAGGAACAUCGAGAACAGAAAGAAGGGAUUUGCAAAUGCAUCAGAUUAUUUAGAAACCUGGGAUGACUCGGACAGCAUAACGGCUGUAAAUGCUCAAAGGAUUUGAGACAUCCUGCAAAAAAUGGUGGCAUAACCACUUAGAAGCACAAUAUCAAGGUUCCAAGUCCAACUAACAACACACUGUAGUGGUAGAAACUGAACUGAGGCUUAAGACCAACAAUCCUACGAGUCUACGGUUUAGUAACACGUGAUCCUGAUAGAAAGAUGAGAAGCCUAGUUCUUAAUCCCCGUAGAAGAGAAGAGGGUGACUCAGAUCAGAAGGGCAUAAGGUAUAAGAAGUAAAAAAGCCUUACGUUCCCUUCCACAAUCAAUUCCCUUACAUAACUAAAGCAUUUCUAGACUCAACUUCGACCAGUUGGCUUGGUAAUCCUACAGGCAGUCAGGCUCUGAUACCAACCCUGUCGGGACCCCAAUUCUAAGUCACACCGAUCUAGCCUGUAACACCUCAUAUCACUUUGCGGCCUCACGCACGGUAUUCCCACGGGUGUCGCCUUACCAUGGCCCAGGACCGUUUGCGCCUUUUGGCUCACGUAUAUGAUAGUGUCGCUAGCAUCCAUAUCAUAGAGAACCCGGGCCGACAUGGCUAGUCGUGAACCCAAAGCGGCACUAACGUAUGGGGACAGGCAUACAUGAAUCAACAUCGAACGUGUCGAUCAGCAGCGUGCGAAUCCGGGCUAUAGCACUGGGCUAACAGGACUCCGGGAACCCGGGCUGUAGCAGGCUAGGCAGGACUCCGGAUGUCACCGCGUGACAUUUCCCCUAAGGGACAGACACAGGAACGAUAUGAAACACAUGCCGGCCAGUCAAGUGUCCAGAGCAGUAGUGCUGGGCUAGCAGGACUCCGGUGAACCGGGCUGUAGCGGACUACUAUGGCUCAAGGAGGCACUAGACUACAUUUCCCCAUAAGAGAGGCUGCUAAGGAUAGACAACUAGAUUGUCGGAUCCCACACAUACCAAGCAUUUCAAUCAUACACACAAUAUGCUCGAUAUGUGCAGAUACAACAUGGCAUCACAACAAGACUCUAUGACUCAGAGUAUUUAUUCAUUAGGCCCCGAAGAGCCAGAUAUUACAAACAUGGGUCUCAUGACCCAACAUUCAGAGCAUACAAGUCAAAGCACAUGCGGAAGCUCAACAUGUCUGAGUACAGACAUCUACAAAUGAAAAAGGCCGAGAAGCCUGACUAUUUACUAGAUCCUGCCGAGGGCACAAGAUCGUAGCUGAGGUAUCAAGCUAAACGUCGAAGUCCACACGGAACUACUAGCGAGACUGACGUCUCUCUGCAAAACAUAAAAUAGGCAAACGUGAGUACAAAUGUACCCAGCAAGACUUACAUCAGAACUAUCUACAUAUGCAUCAGUAUCAACAAAAGGGGUGGUGUAGUUUAACUGCAGCAAGCCAGCUUUGACUCGGUGGCUAUCCUAAACUACGACUGCAAGUAACUCUUUUGAGGUGGCGCACACGAGUCCACAUAUUCAUCAUAUCAAUACUCCACUAUGGAUCCGCUCCCGUCUCCCUACGAGAACGCCAUCCAUAGCACUCACGCUUAUCUUGCGCAUUUUAGAGUAUCCACUUUCACUUGUCUAUGAACUGUUAUAGGCAACCCAGAAGUCCAUUUCCGCGGACACGGCUAUUCGAAUAGAUGAUGUUAACCCUGCAGGGGUGUACUUCGUCACACACGCUCUCGCCACCUACCACCAUGUACACGUCGUGUACCUCGGCAACCUUCAAGCGGAAGCCUGGCGAGGGAGUCGGCCACCUACCUAAACACUCAAGUCUCUAGUCCAGGUUUAUCGCCUAUUCAGGUUCCAUCCGCAGGGAGUCUGGCCGAGGUUUCCACAUACGGCCCCGAACGAUGUGUGCAGGGUUCCGAGACACCAAACGGGCGCCCGGCAUGCCCGGCCACGUGCCUACCGCAUCACAGCCCACCCCUCCGGUCAGCGCUGCCCACGGCCUCCAGCAUACUACAAACACCAGAAACUACUUGCAACUCCUGGACAGAGGACAAGGGUGAUUAAGAAGCCAAGAGGGUCCAUUGGUUUCGGGCCCAAUGCGUGGUAGUAACUGUAUCAUGGAUCACAAACACAGAACUCAGUUCCUGAGGACGGCUGCAAUGAGACAACCCACCAUGUACUCCUACAUGGCCUCUCACCGCUACCUUUACCAAAACGUGUUCACACACUUAGCUCGCACACAGUAGGACAUGUUCAUCACCAUUCCAACUCAUCCCCGAUGAAUCAGACCCGACUCAACUCUAAGCAGUAGCAGGCAUGACAACAAGCAUGAAUGAGUAGGCACAUCAGGGCUCAAACAACUCCUACUCAUGCUAGUGGGUUUCAUCUAUUUACUGUGGCAAUGACAGGUCAUGCAGAGAAUAGGGGGUUCAACUACCGCAACAAGUAACAGUUGAAUCGUUGUUGUCGUAAUGCAGUAAAGAGAGCAGGAGCGAGAGAGUGGGAUUGUAUCGGAAUGAACAAGGGGGUUAUGCUUGCCUGGCACUUCUGAAGAUAGCAUUGAGUCUUCAUUAGUGUCAACGAUCACAACGCCGGAACAACGUCUACCGAGAGGGGACAACACCGGCAACAGAGAGGAAACGCAAUCAAUGCAAUGCAACAACAUGAUGCAUGAGUGUGACAUGGCAAUAUGCUGUGAAUUGAGCUAAUGUAGCUAGCAACAAGUGCAAGGGAGCCCAUUUGAACCGAAGGUUCAAAUGCAAACUCUAGUUUGAGCAUUUAAAAUGCCAUUUGAAUGUUUUCACUUAUACAGCAGGUAUAAGUUGGUUUUUCAUGCAUGAAAGUAGCAUAAAUGGAUAGAUUGGAUUUUUCUGAUAAUUUUUCAUAUCUAAAAUAUUUCAUUAUGAGCUACGGUUGAUUUUCUAUGAAUUUUAGAAGUUUAUACUAUUUUCUGGAAUUCCUGAAUUAUUUUAAAUACAGAAACUAUUUACUGCGUCAGCAAUGUGUAAGCAUGACGUCAGCAGGUCAAAGGGCUGGCCAAGUCAAACCUGACAGUGGGGUCCACACGUCAGUGACAAGGUUAACUAGCAGAGUUAAUUAGAAUUAUACUAAACCUAAUCUAGAUUAGUUAAGGCCUGGGCCCACAUGUCAGUGACCUAGGGGAAGUCAAACCCCUGGUCAAACGCGCCGGCGGCUUGACGCCGGCGGCGACAGACGCGGCGGAGGGGCUCGGGAAACGCCCUCCGGCGACCAUUGGGCUCGGGGUUUGGCCCUACGGGCUGCUGGACGUGCACCGCAUCCAACGGAGCAGGCGGCUGGGCGAGGGGAGGUCGGGAACUACGGUGGCGACCACUUGGGCGGCGGCCGGAGCUCGGGCAACGGCGGAGAUGGCGCUACGGGGCACGGCAGAGCGAACCCGUGGGUGCUUCAGGUUCACAGGAGCGCGGCAAGCACGCUGGUGAUGCUCGGGCGAGCGGCCGAGCUCAGGAGCACGGAGCUCGUUGGCAAUGGCGGCGGCGAGCUUCGGUGCUCGUGGGGAAUGGUGCUACGGCAACCAAACGGGGACAUGGUUAGGGUGAAAUGACCGGGGGCUCACCGCGGUCACGAAGAGGUUCCCGGCGAGCUCGGGGAGGCACGGACGGCGUCGGAAUUUGGCGGCGGCGAUGCACGGCCGUGCGCGGAGACGAUGGGUCGAUGGCGAGGCGACAGGGCGUCCGGCGAUGCUUGCGUUGAGGGGGAGCUUCAAGGCGUCGAGGCAGAGCUCGUGGACUCAUCGGCGGGGCGAGGGGUGGCCGGUGGCCAUGGCUACGGCGAGCGGCGUCGACGAGCUCCGCUCGGGUGUGCUCGGGAGAGGGAGCAGAGGGCGAGGGAGAGAGCAGAGAGUGAGGGAGAGGAGCGAGGAGCUUCGGGGCGUCGUCGUGGCAUCGCCAGGAGGGGCCGGGGAAGCAGGAGGUGGCGCGGGCGCGUGCUCGGCGGCGGUGCGCUGUCCCCCUCCUCUGCCUACUGGCAAAGGUAGGUGGUGACUGGCAUGGGCUAGGUGGGCCGGCCCAGUCCAGGUAAGCGCCAGGUAAUACUCCUUUCUCUCUCUUUUCUUUAAUUGUUUCUGUUUUCUAUUUAUUUUGAUCUGUUUUGAAUUAGUAAAAAUACUAACUCAUUUUGUAAAAUCCUGAUAAAAAUUGUGGGCACUUUUGAAAAUAUUUCCAACAGCCCUCAACUAGUUUCAGAAUUAUUAGAGCAUUUAAAAUAUUUAUAGGAUUUAAAUGCCCCAAUUCAAAUACAAUAUGAGUUAAUUCAAAAAUCCAAAAAUGACCUAGAAAUAUGUUUAUCAUUUUUGGCAGAGGUUUUUACCUUUAUCAAAAAUCAUGAACUUUUCUAAAGGGCAUUUGGGUUCAUUGAAAAUGUUUUUAAGUUGAACCUAGUUGAGUUCUUUUGGGUGCUAGGGAUUGAUCUCCCCUAUUUCAAGUUUAAGCAAAAUUUAAACAUGAUGCAUGAGGAACAAGCAAAGUCAGACAAGGGCUGAUCUGGGGCUGUGACAGCUGGAUCUCCAUCAACUUCUCCUCCCCCUUGCUGGAUCAAGAAGGAGGAGACGUCCCCGGUCCGUACGUGUGUUGAACGCGGAGGUGCCGUCCGUUCGGCGCUAGGAUCAUCGGUGAUUUGGAUCACGACGAGUACGACUCCAUCAACCCCGUUCUCUUGAACGCUUCCGCUCGCGAUCUACAAGGGUAUGUAGAUGCACUCCUCCCCUCUCGUUGCUAGCAUCUCCUAGAUUGAUCUUGGUGACACGUAGGAAAAUUUUGAAUUUCUGCUACGUUCCCCAACAACACCAUCGUCAACCCUACCGGAGUAGCUUCGCCUAUACCAUUCUCAACCCUACCGGGGCCACUUUGCCAAAUCACAAGUCCACAGCCUCAGAUCCGCUUCCUCGCACCCUCAUCCAACCUACCGGAGCAGCUUCUGACGCCCCGUCCACGGUCGCAGAUCCGCNNNNNNNNNNNNNNNNNNNNNNNNNNNNNNNNNNNNNNNNNNNNNNNNNNNNNNNNNNNNNNNNNNNNNNNNNNNNNNNNNNNNNNNNNNNNNNNNNNNNNNNNNNNNNNNNNNNNNNNNNNNNNNNNNNNNNNNNNNNNNNNNNNNNNNNNNNNNNNNNNNNNNNNNNNNNNNNNNNNNNNNNNNNNNNNNNNNNNNNNNNNNNNNNNNNNNNNNNNNNNNNNNNNNNNNNNNNNNNNNNNNNNNNNNNNNNNNNNNNNNNNNNNNNNNNNNNNNNNNNNNNNNNNNNNNNNNNNNNNNNNNNNNNNNNNNNNNNNNNNNNNNNNNNNNNNNNNNNNNGUCCACGGCCGCAGAUCCGCGUCGUCGACACCAUCCUUAACCCAACCACCGGAGCAGCUUCACCUACGCCCUCGUCCACGGCCACAGAUCCGCUUCGCCCACACCGUAGUCCACCCUGCCGGAGCCGAUCCACAAACACCCUACUCGACGGUUCUAGAUCUCCUUAUCGGACCCCGACAGCCAGCGCAGCGUCAUCACCCUCAACGUUUCUAACCUGAUUCCCACCGUCUGGAGAGAUGCCAAGCACCCGCCAUGGCCUAGGUACUUGUCACCUUUAAACCCGUCCAGCAUCACCUUCCCGAUGUACUUCAAAUAUACUAACCGGUCGCUGUUACCUAUUAUGCAGCUGGCAAAAACUACAAGGACGAUGUUUCUUCUGGAUCUAACAGCUUGGCCAACCAAGAUCCUGGACUGAGGCAUUGCUAUGAUCUUGUAAGCGCGUCUCUCUCUCUUGUAUUGUUCUGUGCCUGCCAGCGUGCUUUGCUAGGAUUUUCGACCAGUAAUCCCUUUGUGCAGACAAUGAUUUCUACUACUGGCUGCUAAAUUAGAUAUGUAGAUGUCAUACAUGAUACUACCUCGUACCUCCGUUCCUAAAUAUAAGUCUUUCUAGAGAUUCCACUAUAGGCUACAUACGGAGCAAAAGGAGUGAAUCUACACUCGAAAAUGCAUCUAUAUACAUCUGUAUGUGGUCCAUACUGGAAUCUCUACAAAGACAUAUAUUUAGGAACAGGGGCAGUACAUUACACAAAAUCGUAGGUGGCAUGUAGGAAUUCCAGUGCACUACAUUAGGCUCCCUUAGAGUGCCUACUAGUCCAGCAUACAGAGUCAUGGCUAGUUUAUGGUACGCACACAAUCGUUAAUUGGUGGUUUAAAUAUGCGCAAGGGAUAUGCAAUGUAGUAUCAUGUAGAGAUGUCUGAAAUUAGCCGUGUCAACUUGCAGAUAGGGUUACACAAUGAAUAAGUACAAGAUGUAUGUGGCAAUUUCAUGGAACAUCGCAAAAAAAAGGAGAGGCAGCGGUGAGCCUAUACAGUGUGCUAUGGUAUUCACUCCUCCAUUCAAUCAUCGUGACAUGUUAUUUGUAUGCCAGUUCUAUUAGCCAAGUUUCUUAGGGACAGUUAUUACGAGUUAUCCUAAGAAAAUAAGCACCUGUGAAUAUAAGCUCCAUGUAAUAAGCCAACCAGUUCUUUUCAUUGCGUUUUCAGCUUAUCUUUGGUAUGAUCAGUGGAAAGUCUAGAUUGCAUUAUAUUUUUUUCAUUUUGCUGCCCAUAUGGAAAUUAAUUUGACUUGCAAACAUCACAAAUUGAACCCAGUGCAGUAAUUAAUAUGAUAGGAAAACAUACCAUCACUAUUUGCUCAAAAUGCAAAUACAAAGAUACCAUCUACUUGGCACCAUCUACUUUGGUCAAUGUUUUCCAUAGAGAUCCCAUUGCCUAAUUUAAACGAAGAACGCAUGACCCACAUUUAAAUGAAGAACAAUUAUUUAUUGAAAUUCGAUGGUCCAAGUGGCUGGUUAUUAUCGUAUAGCAGCACCACCUGAAAGCAUCAUAUAGCAGCAGCAGCUCAUAGCAACUCAUCAUACAGCAGCAGCAGUCUGCAAUUCAUCAUAUACCAGCACCAGCUCAUAGCAAUUCAUCAUAUAGCAGCAGCAGGAGCAGCUCAUAGCAAUUCAUCAUAUAGCAGCAGCAGGAGCAGCUCAUAGCAAUUCAUCAUAUAGAAGCAGGAGGAGCAGCUUGUAGCAACUCAUCAUAUAGCAGCAGCAGCAGCAGCUCAUAGCAAUUCAUCAUAUAGCAGCAGCAGCUCAUAGCAACUCAUCAUACAACAGCAGCAGCUCAUAGCAAUUCAUCAUAUAGCAGCAGCAGGAGCAGCUCAUAGCAAUGCAUCAUAUAGCAGCAGCAGAAGCAUCUCAUAGCAAUUCAUCGUAUAGUGGAUCAGAAUGAAAAUUUGGCAAAAAAUCAGAGGAGAUCCUCACCUUGUUGGAUGAGCUCAUCCUUCAACAGCACCUCAAGGCCAUGGCCUGGGAGGAGGGGAGGGGGAAUAAGGUGCCUUCUGCCGCAGUGUGGCAUCAGCCGUAGUUGUGCAGCGCCCGCCGGAGUAGUGCGUUGGACGAACCACAGUGGAGCAGCUGCUGGAGACCAUGAGAAUGAGGGGCGGCGCCAGAGGGAGGAGCAGUCAGGGAGAUUUUCCCCUACCCGCCGUCCAUGUAGCCUAGAUGGACAUAGCAUCGUCGAGGACCAGGCCAGAUGGGACCAGUGGCGACGGCUCGCUGGAGGAACCCUAGUGCUGCAGGCAGGGGAUCGAGGUAGAGGGAAAGGAGAGAGGAGAUGCAAGCGGGCAGGGCAAUGAAUGCUUGCGUGUUUGUUUUUACUUGAGGGUCAGGUGUGACACGGGCGUCAGCAGUUGCAUUUUGAGUGUAAUAUAGGCAGACAACAGAGUCAUUUCACUAUUCCCCUUCCCUUCAAUUUUUAGUGAGGUUCUACCCGAAACACCCCCCUCCAAAGCGAAAUUAGUUAAGCCCAAGCCCAUAACUCAAAAAUGACUUCUUUACACCUUUAAUGGCUUAUUUUGACAAUAUGCCCUGAAAAGGCGGAAUCGAACUGGCCCUUAACCUGCAAUUCAAUUGUGCGUGCAAUGAUGAAUCACUCCUGCCUGCUAUCUGUACAUUUAGGCAUCAUCAUACAUGACAUAACCUAAUACAUGUGCAUUCCAUUGUAGAAUCUGGAAUAUGCAAUGUUUAUGUUAGUUCAUACGUUGCACAUGAUGUUUAAAUGCCCCUUAAAUCUGGUCAGUCAAGUGAUGGUCUUUAAGCCUCCUUCUUUGCUUCUUUUCUUGAUAUGUAAGAUGUGCUCACACAUCUGUUCAAUUGCUUGUUUGCAUCAGCCAGCCAUACUAGGACUGUUUGCUUUGAUUACUUGUUGUUCUUGACCUAACACUCUAACAGAGCUUGUCAACGAUUUAAACACUAAGGGCUGCUGUAGUGGGGCCUUGUCUAACUCAUAGGUGACAUAAAGGUUUGGCUGUACACUACAGUAGGCUCUCCAAGAGUACCUGGAGAUCCAGUUCGAAGGUAUGCCUAGUUUUUACAUAGUGCAAACAUAGUAAAUACUCAUUUCAUUGUGUGCAAGUGCAAGGGAUACGACAUGUUUCAUUAUGUGGUCUUGUUUUGUUAUAAUCUCAUCCUUUUGUGUUCACAGACUGGAAAGUAUGCAUAUUUAUCUUCCAAGGAGACGGGUAGCUAGUUUGUGUCACCUUGCAGAGGGGGUGCAAUGAAGAUAAGAUUGAGGAUUUCCAAGUACAAGAUGUUAGGAAGGAGCCUUGCAAGAGAAGUAGGAGCUGCGCUGAGCCUCUUCAACCUGCUAAGGUAAGUCACUGUAUGCAACUCAACAGUUCAAUUCCUUGUUUGUUUCAGGCAUAGUUAAUUUUAUCUUUUCAAUUGCUUUAUUUGUCCUCAGUUAAUGAGAUGCCCAAAUAAUCAUGCCUGAUGUUCGGUACUUGUAUCACUAUUAGUUGACAUAAUUAAAGGCCUUACCAUUUAAUUACUCUGCCAAAGUGUGCCUGAAGCUUUGAAGUCUAUUAACCAACUAUUAUUGCAUGAGGCUCACAAUCUAGUUUAUACUACGCUAAUGAUUGCAUAAUUUUGCCUGCUGUAGUAUGUUUGUAUGAAACCCUCUGCUGUUCAUUUUCUCCCUAAGACUUUAAUUGAGGCACAGAAUGGCCAACUGCUUGCUUACUUAUACGCAACGUGCUGUCUAAAUUUGUAUCUUGUCUGUGUUUUCGAUUGGGCCCCAACAUCAUGCUCCUUUGGUGAGCUAAGAGGGAUUUCUGUAUGCAGGCUGCACAAACUAUCUUUUUUAUAAUUUUUAAAAUAUCACCUGCUUAUGCUUCAUGACGUGUAACAUUUUUUUUAAGUGACGUGUAACAUUAUUGUUAGUCCUGUUUUGCCAUGUAGUACAAAAUAGUGUCUUGUUCGCUUCACUGUUGUAACUAUAUUUUUUCCCUAGUCAUGUGUACUUACAAAAACAUUUCAGGAUGAAGUGACAUCAACACAAAGAUCUGCGAGCAGUGCGGCAUGGCCGUUACCGAAUGAUUAUGGAUUGGAAUUGGAAUGUGCUGAUGUUCUCGAGCAUCAACUAGAGGUGGCAAGACAACGUGUACAUGAUUUUCAACGUAUAAUCAACAAGUUGAGACUGGACAUGCAGGUAUUAGUUGCAGGAGUCAAAAAAAUGAAACAAGACACUGAGGUAACCAUGAAGGAAUUAGAGAUUUUGCAGACUGAAAUUUGUGCUAUCUGAAUCCGGCCAAUCCUAUUUUCUGAAGAGAUUAUAGUUCAAAUGGAGUUAAGUUGAUGCGCGUCCAUGAUGUAUGAGCUGUAUUUGCCCAGUGUAUGUAAUUUGUUGUUUGUGUAUGCUUUAUUAUCACCUGUGCCGAACCAUAGUGCUCAGUGGGUAUAAUCGGUUGUAAUUUCUUUAUUGUAUAGUGUAGGAUUAUUCUACCUUUCUAUGCCUUGAUCUCUUUGUUGUAUAGUAUUGAGUAGGAUAAUUCUUUGAAUAUGCUAUAUCGUUCAAACGGGGGCCAACUCGCCCGACCAUGGCCCUUCACGGGCCGUCGGAUCCAUGGGCCUUCUACGUCUCGUAGGAUCCAUGGGCCUUCUAUGUCUCGUAGGAUCCAUGGGCCUUCUACAUCUCGUAGGAUCCAUGGGCCUUCUACGUCUCAUAGGAUCCAUGGGCCUUCUACGUCUCGUAGGAUCCACGGGCCGCCGACUCAUUUAUUGGUCUUGUACGGGCCUUUGAUGGGCCGUAGAUGGGCCUUUAAUGGAAAUCGUACGUUUUAUGGGCUGACCAUAACGGGCCGUUAAUAGGCCGUAUUUGGUGACGCUAUGAAAAUGGCCCAACAGACUAACGGUCCACAAACGGGCCGACUGUAACGAUGGGCUGAAUUUGGCCCACAAGCAGAAAAUGACAGUAAUGGGCCGUAAGUAACCGAAUGCUGCAACUGAGCCCAAGAAUAAAUGGGCCCUCAGAAGGCCGAAAGUUAACUUGGGCUGGAAACGGCCCAACGGAAUAACGGGCCGUUAAUGGGUAUAAAGUGAUACACUGUUCAUUACAGGCCAGUUUCACCACGGGCCGUUAAUGGGUGUAAAGUAAUACACUGUUCAUUACGGGCCAGUUUCAGCACGGGCCGCUAAUGGGCCAAGUUACAAAGGGCCUCAUAUGGGCCGAAAGACGUCAUGGGCUAUACAUGGGCCAGAAGUGAAAAUGGGCUGGAAUCAUAUUGGAUUGCCCAGAUGACGCUACUGGGCCUAAUUUGGAUAGGUCGUAACGGGCCUUGGGUUAGCGGGAUGUAAAUGGGCUAUAUGCGAACAGGCCAUUAACAGGCUUUCCAUGGGCCGGCCCGCCAGCUUUUAACCAAGUCAAACGGGCCGGCCUUUUCACAGGAAUGGGCCACUGUUGGGCCGUGCCAUGUGUCGAUGUAUCAUAGGCGCCUUCUGUCCAGUGAGUGGCUGACAUCUGUCCCAACGAUGAGCCGACAUGUGUUUCCUCUAGCCAAUGAUGAUUUUACACGUGGAAAUCCCCAUUGGUCGGGGCUGUUAACGGGUUAUCAGAUCCAAAACCCGACCCGAUAGCUUAACGGCGUUCGGUACGGUGGAUGCCAUGUGUCGGUCACCCUUGACGAAAGCACUUCUGUGACGCGCGAUUUAUCGUCAUGGAAGUGGACACUUCCGUGAUGAUAAUUUUGGUAAUGUCAUGGAACACUUCUACGACAGCACAUGUAUGACUAUCUUGAUUUUGUCAUAAAUUUGUCAUGGAUGUACAUGCAUCACAAAAAACGCGACCUACUGUGACAAACACGUAUCAUCAUGGAAGUGUAUUUUUUUUGUAGUGCUAGUUGCAACUCUAACAACAAAGUCAUGCAUAUUAUGAUUCAUUUCAUCAAGUAAUUCUCUUUGUGAUUUAGCAACUUGUUCUAGUUGGGUUUGAACCAUAGAAGCAUGUUUUCCAACACCUCUAACAUCAUUUGAGAUUCUAAAUAACAAGUUGAUGGGGAUCGUAGCAAAAAUUUAAAAUUUUCUACGCAUCACCAAGAUCAAUCUAUGGAGUUUACUAGCAACGAGAGGGAAGGAGUGCAUCUACAUACCCUUGUAGAUCGCGAGCGGAAGCGUUCAAGAGAACGGGGUUGAUGGAGUUGUACUCGUCGUGAUCCAAAUCACUGAUGAUCCUAGCGCCGAACGGACGACACCUCCACGUUCAACACACGUACGGUUGGGAGAGACGUCUCCUCCUUAUUGAUCCAGCAAGGGGGAAGGAGAGGUUGAUGGAGAUCCAGCAGCACGACGGCGUGGUGGUGGAAGCAGCGGGGAUCUCGGCAGGGCUUCGCCAAGCUCAGCGAGAGGGAGGCCCCAGGGGCUUGGGUGCGCAGCCCUCCCUCCCCCCUUUAUAUAGGGGCCCUGGGGGGGCACCGGCCCCUGGAGAUCCCAUCUCAAGGGGGGCGGCCAAGGGGGGGAACUUGCCCCCCAAGUCAGGUGGGGCGCCCCCCACCCCCAGGGUUUCCAACCCUAGGCGCAGGGGGAGGCCCAUGGGGGGUGCACCAGCCCACCAGGGGCUGGUUCCCUUCCCACUUCAGCCCAUGGGGCCCUCCGGGAUAGGUGGUCCCACCCGAUGGACCCCCGGGACCCUUCCGGUGGUCCCGGUACAAUACAGGUGACCCCUGAAACUUUCCGGUGGCCGAAACUGGACUUCCUAUAUAUAAAUCUUUACCUCCGGACCAUUCCGGAACUCCUUGUGAUAUCUCAUCCGGGACUCCGAACAACUUUCGGGUUACCGCAUACUAAUAUCUCUACAACACUAGCAUCACCGAACCUUAAGUGUGUAGACCCUACGGGUUCGGGAGACACGCAGACAUGACCGAGACGACUCUCCGGUCAAUAACCAACAGCGGGAUCUGGAUACCCAUGUUGGCCCCCACAUGCUCCUCGAUGAUCUCAUCGGAUGAACCACGAUGUCGAGGAUUCAAGUAAUCCCGUAUACAAUUCCCUUUGUCAAUCGGUACGUUACUUGCCCGAGAUUCUAUCGUCGGUAUCCCAAUACCUCGUUCAAUCUCGUUAUCGACAAGUCACUUUACUCGUACCGUAAUGCAUGAUCCCGUGACCAAUCACUUGGUCACAUUGAGCUCAUUAUGAUGAUGCAUUACCGAGUGGGCCCAGAGAUACCUCUCCGUCAUACGGAGUGACAAAUCCCAGUCUCGAUCUGUGCCAACCCAACAGACACUUUCGGAGAUACCUGUAGUGCACCUUUAUGGCCACCCAGUUACGUUGUGAUGUUUGGUACACCCAAAGCAUUCCUACGGUAUCCGGGAGUUGCAUGAUCUCAUGGUCUAAGGAAAUGAUACUUGACAUUAGAAAAGCAUCAGCAAGCGAACUACACGAUCUAGUGCUAUGCCUAGGAUUGGGUCUUGUCCAUCACAUCAUUCUCCUAAUGAUGUGAUCCCGUUAUCAAUGACAUCCAAUGUCCAUGGUCAGGAAACCGUAACCAUCUAUUGAUCAACGAGCUAGUCAACUAGAGGCUCACUAGGGACAUGUUAUGGUCUAUGUGUCCACACAUGUAUUACGAUUUCCGGAUAACACAAUUAUAGCUUGAACAAAAGACAAUUAUCAUGAACAAGGAAAUAUAAUAAUAACCAUUUUAUUAUUGCCUCUAGGGCAUAUUUCCAACAGUCUCCCACUUGCACUAGAGUCAAUAAUCUAGUUACAUUGUGAUGAAUCAUACACCCAUAGAGUUCUGGUGUUGAUCAUGUUUUGCCCGUGGAAGAGGUUUAGUCAAUGGAUUUGUGACAUUCAAAUCCGUAUGCACUUUACAAAUAUCUAUGUCUCCAUUUUGAACAUUUUCACGAAUGGAGUUAAAGCGACGCUUGAUGUGCCUGGUCUUCUUGUGAAACCUGGGCUCCUUGGCAAGGGCAAUAGCUCCAGUGUUGUCACAAAAGAGAGUCAUCGGCCCCGAUGCAUUGGGAAUGACUCCUAGGUCGGCAAUGAACUCCUUCAUCCCGAUUGCUUCAUGUGCUGCCUCCGAGGCUGCCAUGUACUCCGCUUCACAUGUAGAUCCCGCCACGACGCUCUGCUUGCAACUGCACCAGCUGACUGCCCCACCAUUCAAAAUAUACACGUAUCCGGUUUGUGACUUAGAGUCAUCCAGAUCUCUGUCGAAGCUAGCAUCGACGUAACCCUUUACGACGAGCUCUUCGUCACCUCCAUAAACGAGAAACAUAUCCUUAGUCCUUUUCAGGUACUUCGGGAUGUUCUUGACCGUUGUCCAGUGUUCCAUGCCGGGAUUACUUUGGUACCUUCCUACCAAACUCACGGCAAGGUUUACAUCAGGUCUGAUACACAGCAUGGCAUACAUAAUAGACCCUAUGGACGAGGCAUAGGGGACGACACUCAUCUUUUCUCUAUCUUCUGCCGUGGUCGGGCAUUGAGCCGUGCUCAAUCUCACACCUUGCAAUACAUGCAAGAACCCCUUCUUGGACUGAUCCAUAUUGAACUUCUUCAAUAUCUUGUCAAGGUAUGUGCUUUGUGAAAGACCUAUGAGGCGUCUCGAUCUAUCUCUAUAGAUCUUGAUGCCUAAUAUGUAAGCAGCUUCUCCAAGGUCCUUCAUUGAAAAACACUUAUUCAAGUAGGCCUUUAUACUUUCCAAGAAUUCUAUAUCAUUUCCCAUCAAUAGUAUGUCAUCCACAUAUAAUAUGAGAAAUGCUACAGAGCUCCCACUCACUUUCUUGUAAACACAGGCUUCUCCAUAAGUCUGUGUAAACCCAAACGCUUUGAUCAUCUCAUCAAAGCGAAUGUUCCAACUCCGAGAUGCCUGCACCAGCCCAUAGAUUGAGCGCUGGAGCUUGCAUACUUUGUUAGCAUUCUUAGGAUCGACAAAACCUUCGGGCCGCAUCAUAUACAAUUCUUCCUUAAGGAAUGCCGUUUUGACGUCCAUUUGCCAUAUUUCAUAAUCGUAGAAUGCGGCAAUUGCUAACAUGAUUCGGACGGACUUCAGCUUCGCUACGGGUGAGAAGGUCUCAUCGUAGUCAACACCUUGAACUUGACGAUAACCAUUAGCAACAAGUCGAGCUUUAUAGAUGGUAACAUUUCCAUCCGCGUCCGUCUUCUUCUUAAAGACCCAUUUAUUUUCUAUCGCUCGCCGAUCAUCGGGCAAGUCUGUCAAAGUCCAUACUUUGUUUUCAUACAUGGAUCCUAUCUCGGACUGCAUGGCUUCAAGCCAUUUGUUGGAAUCUGGACCCGCCAUUGCUUUUUCAUAGUUCGAAGGUUCACCGUUGUCCAACAACAUGAUUUCGAAGACAGGGUUGCCGUACCACUCUGGUGCGGAACGUGUCCUUGUGGACCUACGAAGUUCAGUGGUAACUUGAUCAUGAUCGUCAUCAUUAACUUCCUCUCUAGUCGGUGCAGGCACCACAGAAACAUUUUCUUGUGCUGCGCUACUUUCCGGUUCGAGAGGGGUCAUCUCAUCAAGUUCCACUUUCCUCCCACUUACUUCUUUCGAGAGAAACUCUUUCUCCAGAAAGGACCCGUUCUUGGCAAAGAAGAUCUUGCCUUCGGAUCUGAGGUAGAAGGUAUACCCAAUGGUUUCCUUAGGGUAUCCUAUGAAGACACAUUUUUCCGACUUGGGUUCGAGCUUUUCAGAUUGAAGUUUCUUGACAUAAGCAUCGCAUCCCCAAACUUUAAGAAACGACAGCUUAGGUUUCUUUCCAAACCAUAAUUCAUACGGUGUCGUCUCAACGGUUUUCGACGGAGCCCUAUUUAAAGUGAAUGCGGCAGUCUCUAAAGCAUAACCCCAGAAUGAUAGCGGUAGAUCGGUAAGAGACAUCAUAGAUCGCACCAUAUCCAAUAGAGUGCGAUUACGACGUUCGGACACACCAUUACGCUGAGGUGUUCCAGGCGGCGUGAGUUGUGAAACAAUUCCACAUUUCCUUAAGUGUGUGCCAAAUUCGUGACUCAAAUAUUCCCCUCCACGAUCUGAUCGUAAGAACUUUAUUUUCCUGUCACGUUGAUUCUCAACCUCACUCUGAAAUUCCUUGAACUUUUCAAAGGUCUCAGACUUGUGUUUCAUUAAGUAGACAUACCCAUAUCUACUCAAGUCAUCAGUGAGGGUGAGAACAUAACGAUAGCCACCGCGAGCCUCAACACUCAUUGGACCGCACACAUCAGUAUGUAUGAUUUCCAAUAAGUUGGUUGCUCGCUCCAUUGUUCCGGGGAACGGAGUCUUGGUCAUUUUGCCCAUGAGGCAUGGUUCGCACGUGUCAAAUGAUUCAUAAUCAAGAGACUCCAAAAGUCCAUCUGCAUGGAGUUUCUUCAUGCGUUUGACACCAAUGUGACCAAGGCGGCAGUGCCACAAGUAUGUGGGCUAUCAUUAUCAACCUUACAUUUCUUGGCAUUCACACUAUGAAUAUGUGUAACAUCACGUUCGAGAUUCAUUAAGAAUAAACCAUUGACCAGCGGGGCAUGACCAUAAAACAUAUCUCUCAUAUAAAUAGAACAACCAUUAUUCUCGGAUUUAAAUGAGUAGCCAUCUCGCAUUAAACGAGAUCCAGAUACAAUGUUCAUGCUCAAAGCUGGCACUAAAUAACAAUUAUUGAGGUUUAAAACUAAUCCCAUAGGUAAAUGUAGAGGUAGCGUGCCGACGGCGAUCACAUCGACCUUGAAACCAUUCUCGACGCGCAUCGUCACCUCAUCUUUCGCCAGUCUCCGCUUAUUCCGCAGCUCCUGCUUUGAGUUACAAAUAUGAGCAACCGCACCGGUAUCAAAUACCCAGGAGCUACUACGAGCGCUGGUUAGGUACACAUCAAUAACAUGUAUAUCACACAUACCUUUGGUAUUGCCGGCCUUCUUAUCCGCUAAGUAUUUGGGGCAGUUCCGCUUCCAGUGACCGUUUCCCUUGCAAUAAAAGCACUCAGUCUCAGGCUUAGGUCCAUUCUUUGUCUUCUUCCCGGCAGUUUGCUUACCGGGCGCGACAACUCCCUUGCCGUCUUUCUUGAAGUUCCUCUUACCCUUGCCUUUCUUAGUGGUUUUAUUCACCAUCAACACUUGAUGUUCCUUUUUGAUCUCCACCUCCACUGAUUUCAGCAUUGAAUAUACCUCAGGAAUGGUCUUUUCCAUCCCCUGCAUAUUGAAGUUCAUCACAAAGCUCUUGUAGCUAGGUGGGAGCGACUGAAGGAUUCUGUCAACGACCGCGUCAUCCGGGAGAUUAGCUCCCAGCCGACACAAGCAGUUGUGCAACCCAGACAUUUUGAGUAUGUGUUCGCUGACGGAACUAUUCUCCUCCAUCUUACAACUGUAGAACUUGUCGGAGACUUCAUAUCUCUCGACCCGGGCAUGAGCUUGGAAAACCAUUUUCAGCUCUUGGAACAUUUCAUAUGCUCCGUGCUGCUCGAAACGCUUUUGGAGCCCCGGUUCUAAGCUGUAAAGCAUGCCGCACUGAACCAGGGAGUAAUCAUCACUACGCGACUGCCAGGCGUUCAGAACGUCUUGAGUUGCUGGGAAAACAGGUGGAUCACCCAGCGGUGCUUCAAGGACAUAUGCUUUCUUGGCAGCUAUGAGGAUAAUCCUCAGGUUACGGACCUAGUCCGUGUAGUUGCUACCAUCGUCUUUCAGCUUGGUUUUCUCUAGGAACGCGUUGAAGUUGAGGGCAACAUUAGCGUGGGCCAUUUGAUCUACAAGACGUAUUGUAAAGAUUUUUAGACUAAUUUCAUGAUAAUAAAGUUCAUCUAAUCAAAUUAUUAACGAACUCCCACUCAGACAGACAUCCCUCUAGUCAUCUAAGUGUUACAUGAUCCGAGUCAAGUAGGCCGUGUCCGAUCAUCACGUGAGACGGACUAGUCAUCAUCGGUGAACAUCUUCAUGUUGAUCGUAUCUGCUAUACGACUCAUGUUCGACCUUUCGGUCUCUUGUGUUCCGAGGCCAUGUCUGUACAUGCUAGGCUCGUCAAGUCAACCUAAGUGUAUUGCAUGUGUAAAUCUGGCUUACACCUGUUGUAUGCGAACGUUAGAACCUAUCACACCCGAUCAUCACGUGGUGCUUCGGAACAACGAACCUUCGCAACGGUGCACAGUUAGGGGGAACACUUUCUUGAAAUUUUAGCGAGGGAUCAUCUUAUUUAUGCUACCGUCGUUCUAAGCAAAUAAGAUGUAAAACAUGAUAAACAUCACAUGCAAUCAAAUAGUGACAUGAUAUGGCCAAUAUCAUUUUGCUCCUUUUGAUCUCCAUCUUCGGGGCGCCAUGUUCAUCAUCGUCACCGGCAUGAGACCAUGAUCUCCAUCAUCAUGAUCUCCAUCAUCAUGUCUUCAUGAAGUUGUCUCGCCAAUUAUUACUUCUACUACUAUGGCUAACGGUUAGCAAUAAAGUAAAGUAAUUACAUGGCGUUUCAGUUGACACGCAGGUCAUAAAUAAAUUAAGACAACUCCUAGGCUCCUGCCGGUUGUCAUACUCAUCGACAUGCAAGUCGUGAUUCCUAUUACAAGAACAUGAUCAAUCUCAUACAUCACAUAUAUCAUUCGUCACAUCCUUCUAGCCAUAUCACAUCACAUGACACUUGCUGCAAAAACAAGUUAGACGUCCUCUAAUUGUUGUUGCAAACUUUUACGUGGAUGCUAUAGGUUUCUAGCAAGAACGAUUCUUACCUACGCCAAAACCACAACGUGAUAUGCCAAUUUCUAUUUACCCUUCAUAAGGACCCUUUUCAUCGAAUCCGAUCCGACUAAAGUGGGAGAGACAGACACCCGCUAGCCACCUUAUGCAACUAGUGCAUGUCAGUCGGUGGAACCUGUCUCACGUAAGCGUACGUGUAAGGUCGAUCUGGGCCGCUUCAUCCCACGAUGCCGCCGAAUCAAGAUAAGACUAGUAACGGCAAGUAAAUUGACAAAAUCAACGCCCACAACAACUUGUGUUCUACUCGUGCAUAGAAACUACGCAUAGACCUGGCUCAUGAUGCCACUGAUGGGGAUCGUAGUAGAAAUUUAAAAUUUUCUACGCAUCACCAAGAUCAAUCUAUGGAGUUUACUAGCAAUGAGAGGGAAGGAGUGCAUCUACAUACCCUUGUAGAUCGCGAGCGGAAGCGUUCAAGAGAACGGGGUUGAUGGAGUCGUACUCGUCGUGAUCCAAAUCACCGAUGAUCCUAGCGCCGAACGGACGGCACCUCCGCGUUCAACACACGUACGGUUGGGAGAGACGUCUCCUCCUUCUUGAUCCAGCAAGGGGGAAGGAGAGGUUGCUGGAGAUCCAGCAGCACGACAGUGUGGUGGUGGAAGAAGUGGGGAUCUCGGCAGGGCUUCGCCAAGCUCAGCGGGAGGGAGAGGUGUUACGGGGGGAGAGGGAGGCGCCAGGGGCUUGGGUGCGCAGCCCUCCCUCCCCCCUUUAUAUAGGGGCCCUGGGGGGGCGCCGGCCCCUGGAGAUCCCAUCUCAAGGGGGGGCGGCGGCCAAGGGGGGGGGGACUUUCCCCCCAAGUCAGGUGGGGCGCCCCCCACCCGCAGGGUUUCCAACCCUAGGCGCAGGGGGAGGCCCAUGGGGGGCGCACCAGCUGUCGGAGUAAAUGGCCACGGGUAGCCUAACCGACUACCCCCGGUUCUUCUGAAAAAUUAUCAGGCCUUUGGGCCUCCAAGCACUCCAAGCAUUGGACCACCUCCCCUGGCCGGCUAGCCCCGAAGCCGACUCACGGGAGGCGGCCCAGCCUCAGCAACCUCCCCCCAGGAUAUCCGCGGGGUGGCCGACUCCAGGAAGCCGGCCUCGAAGAACGCCGACUCCAAGAAGCCGGCCGAGACCACAACCACCAAAGCUACACCCACAUAACGGUGACAAGACGGGGUGUGGCCACAGUGCGGCCCACUACCCCCGAAGCCCGAGGCGGGCAUGGCUACAGGUGGCCGUACUGGACGACCGUCUCCCGUUCGGCUCGGCACUGCAGCCAUGCUAGCCUCAAUGUCAUCCACGACAGACUCUCGUACGGCCCACGGGCGGCGGGCCCCUUCAGCCAGAGAGAGGCGUGAAGGUGGCCGGCCUCCCCCAGUCGGCCAAGGGCGUAGCCGGCCCCCAGAAGCCGGCUACCCCCUCCCUCGAAGCAUGUGCCACAUUAAGAAGACAAGACGAGGUAAGGCUACAGUGAGAGCCCCCGAGGCGGCCCACAGUAGCCACGCUUACCUCAAUGAAGCCCUCAUCAUCAAGGGCGAGGCUACAGUAAGCAGCCGCCGACAAGAUCCUAGGCGGUGGGGCCAGCCUGUCGACCAAGAGACCGGCAGCCGGCGGGACCCACCAGUCGGCGGGUCCCAACAGCCGGCGGAGAAGCCGGCGAACGUAGACACUAACGGCUGGGACCAGAGCCCAGCCGGAUUACUAUUGUACCCCCGGGGGGUAGGCCUAUAUAAACCCCCGGAGCACCCAUGCAAAGGGUUGGCUUCUGAGCAUAGCACACACACCAUAGAGAGAGAGAAGUGAGAGCUAGCCUUGUUCUUCUUCUCCCUUGAACCCAACAGCUCUAGGAGCGAUUGUAGCUACUUUUACUGAUCUAGUGAUCAUGCGGAGACCCCGCAGAGCAGGACUAGGGGUGUUAUCUCCUCGGAGAGCCCCGAACCUGGGUAAGAUCCGCCGGCGUGCAUGUCUUCGCCUCAUCCCGUUUCCAGGCACCGACGACGUCUUAUUGGCACCCACAAUGAUAAGCCACCCGUUGGCAUAUGUCGCACCAACCACCCGACAUUUGGCGCCCACCAUGGGGCCAGGUGCACCGUCGUCCGGAGACCUAUUCUGGAGCGGAACCCUCUUCCUCCCCCGCGAGUGCAGCCAUCCUGCUGCGCCCGAUGGCGUUUGCCUCGACGCGCUGCAAGGCGUCGACGACGCCUGCGCAGCGAGCUGCCUCGCCGAUCUGCUCGGCGAGACUCGCAUCUCCGACGAGCCUUCGUCCGACGCAGGCACGGACUACCCCAAGAGCCGCCUCGUCAGCCUCCUCGACCAGCUUCACGUCUCCAGCGAGCCUGCUGCAGAUGUGGAGUCGGUCGGCUCCACCGACCCGAUGCUUGUCGACUCCGACACGGCAUCGCUCGACGCUUACCCCUCCGACGUGGUGGUCUUCGACGAUCCCCUCCCUCGAGCUGACAGCGGCAGCAGCGCUGUCACCGAAGUGCUGGUCAUCAGCCAUGUCACCGACUCGGGCGAGAACGCCCACGACGCCCUGCAAGCGGCGAUGCACGACCUCUCCGUCCCCAUCCCGGCCGAUGCCGAUGCCGAGACCCUGGAGGCACGCCGCCUCGCCCUCAUCGCGGAGGGCCAGAAGAUAGCCUCCAUGAGACGCCUCACCGAGGCCCACCAGCGCGAAGUCGACCGCGCCGCCUUCGGUACGCCGCCGCCUAGUGGCCCGAGCCGGGCCGGCUUUGUCCAGAAGCGCGGCGCGGCCGUCGCCAGUAUGCUGGGGGCAGAUCGCCCCGUCUACGCCACCCCGCUCGAGAAUCUGCGAGCCGCUCAGGCGGCUGCAGAAGAGCUCAAUGGGCUGGGAGCCGAUGAGCUCCCUUACAUGACAAGACGGAUCCAGCGGCUGAUCGACGCGGCUGCAGAACGACACGAAGCCGGCGCCCGUGCUGAUAACCAUCCCCCGCGCCGGGAGCACGCCGCGACGUCCCGCUCGCUGACUGCGAGCGGCGCAUGCCAGAAGAAAGACAAGGAGCCGGCUGCCAGCCGCAGCCGGACUCGCGUCACCAUCGAGCGCGACGCGGAGGGCCGCCCUCGAGCAGUGGAGCACCAAGGAAAUCUGCCUCCUCCUCCGCCUCAAAGAGAGCGAUGUCUCACCCCGCCGCCUAUCACGCACCCGACUCUUGGCGACCGACUCGGCCGCCGAGAAGGAGUCGGCGAGAACGACGCCCGCCACCGGAUCGACCGCCUUGCUCGAUCCCUGGCGUUAGAAGAAGAAGACGAUGUUGGCCCGCCAUGCUUUGGCCCCCGCAUCCGCGACGAGCCCUUCCCCAAAGGGUUCUCGCUCCCUAGAGACACGCCCAAGUACAACGGCUCAGUGAAGCCGGAAGAUUGGCUCAUCGACUACUCCACGGCCGUCAGCAUAGCCAACGGCAAUCGGCGCGUCGCCAUGAAGUACGUCCCCCUCAUGCUGCAAGGCACGGCGUGCACAUGGCUCAAUAGCCUCAAGCCCUACAGCAUCAAUAGUUGGCUGGACUUCACAGAAGUCUUCGUCCGCAACUUCACCAGCACCUACAAGCGGCCUCCCAAGCCUCGCCAGCUCUCCCUCUGCGUCCAAGGGCCCAACGAGUCGACCCGCGACUACCUCACGCGGUGGGCCGAGCUCCGCAACUCCUGCGAGGGGGUGCAUGAGGUCCAGGCCAUCGAGUACUUCCCCGCCGGGUGCCGAGAGGGCACCCUCCUCAAGCACCGACUCCUCUGUGAUGAGCCGGCUACCCUCGACGAGUUGCUGGUCAUCGCGGACAAGUAUGCCACAGCCGACUCCUCAAUGAAGACCGAGCUCCGAGUAGACGCCUCAGGGAAGAUGAUUGCUCCGGCUCCUAAGACGCCGGCUGGCGACCCUAAUCGGCGCCCCUACCAGAACGACCACAAGCGCAAGGCCCCCAUGCCGACUUCCUCCAGUCGGCAGGUGGCCACCGUUGAAGAUGAGUAGCCCGAAGAACGGCCCGCUCCCAAGAAGAAGGGUGGCAGGCCGGCUUGGCAGCCGGCUUUCUCCUACGAACAGGCUCUUGAUGCCCCCUGCAAAUUCCACAGCGGCGCGAAGCCGUCCAACCACACAACCCGGAAAUGCCAUUGGCUCACCCGUAUCACCAAGGGCGAGGGGAUGUUGCCGCCUCCACCUCCCGGUCCGCCGCCUCCAGCCCCCCAACAGCCGGCGGCUCGGCCGGCAGUCGGCGCCAUCCAAGACGAAUUCCCCGAAGAGCACACCGCCUACGUCGUCUUCACCAGUCAAGCCGACGACAAGCGCAGUCGACGCCGACAGCAUCAAGAAGUGAAUGCAGUCGCCUCUAGCACCCCCGAGUUCAUGCGCUGGUCAGAGAAGCCAAUCAGCUGGAGCCAGGCCGACCACCCAGAGGUAAUGCCCUCUCCUGGCUCCUAUGCAAUGGUCUUGGAUGUCACCCUCGCGACGGAGAGGCGAGCUGCCCGAUUCUCCCGCGUCCUAAUAGAUGGCGAAAGCAGUAUCAACAUACUGUACCGCGAUACCAUGGAGAAGCUGAACAUCAAAGCAAAUCAGCUCAUGCCGAGCCGCACCGUCUUCCAUGGUAUCGUCCCCGGCUUGUCUUGCUCCCCAAUCGGCAAGAUUAAAAUGGAUGUUCUCUUCGGAGACAAAGAUCAUUUCCGCCGAGAAGCAAUCUGGUUCGAGGUAGUGGAUUUGGAGAGCCCCUAUUAUGCUCUGCUUGGCCGACCUGCUCUGGCCAAGUUCAUGGCUGUGCCCCACUACGCCUACCUGAAGAUGAAGAUGCCGAGCUCGAAGGGGAUCAUCAUGGUAGCCGGCGAUUACAAGAAGUCCAUCGAGUGUGCCAUGGCCAGCAGCCGGCUGGCCGAGUCCCUCGUGGUGGCAGAAGAAAAGAAGAUGCUAGAGCGGGUUGUGGCCAUGGCCGGCAAGCAGCCGGCCCUGUCCCCCAACCCCAAAGAUUGUGAUGUGCAGGGCUCCUUCCAGCCUGCCAAAGAGACGAAGAAGAUACCUCUGGACCCGGAGAACCCGAAGAGGUUCGCUGUCAUUGGGGCGAACUUGGACAGUAAAUAGGAAGGCGAGCUCGUCGACUUCCUCCGUGAGAAUCGAGACAUUUUCGCAUGGUCCCCAAAGGACAUGCCGGGUAUCCCGAAGGAUUUCGCCGAGCACAAAUUACAUGUCCGCGGUGACGCGAAGCCGGUCAAGCAACCCCUCCGCCGACUGUCAGAAGAGAAGCGAAGAAUUGUGGGAGAAGAGAUAGCCCGGCUCCUUGCCGCUGGCUUUAUCAUGGAAGUGUUAUUUCCAGAAUGGCUUGCCAACCCAGUUCUGGUUCUGAAGAAGAAUAACAAGUGGCGUAUGUGUAUAGACUACACCAGCCUGAACAAGGCCUGCCCAAAGGAUCCGUUUGCUCUGCCACGGAUCGACCAAGUGAUAGACUCCACAGCCGGAUGCGAGCUGUUAAGUUUUUUGGAUGCGUACUCAGGGUACCAUCAGAUCAAGUUGGACCCAGCUGACCGCUUGAAGACUGCCUUCAUCACACCCUUUGGAGCUUUCUGCUACCUGACUAUGACAUUCGGCUUGAGGAAUGCCGGUGCCACUUUUCAGCGUUGCAUGCAGAAAUGCCUCUUGAAACAACUCGGAAGAAAUGCCCACGUCUAUGUAGACGACAUUGUGGUGAGGACAGAGAAGCGCGGUACCUUGCUGGAAGACCUGAAAGAAACAUUCGCCAACUAGCGCCGAUUCCAAAUCAAGCUCAACCCCGAGAAGUGCGUGUUCGGAGUGCCAGCCAGCCAGCUGCUAGGCUUCCUGGUCUCCGAACGCGGCAUCGAAUGCAACCCUGUCAAGAUGAAGGCCAUCGAGAGGAUGGAGAUUCCCACCAAGCUACGAGAUGUGCAGAAGUUCACUGGCGUUUAGCCUCCCUGAAACAUUUUAUCAGCCGCCUAGGAGAGAAGGCUCUCCCCCUGUACCGACUCAUGAAGAAGUCCACUCACUUCGAGUGGAACGACCAAGCCGACCAAGCCUUCCAUGAGUUGAAGAAAAUGCUGACCACUCCGCCUGUCCUGGCGGCGCCGACUGAGAAGGAGCCCAUGCUCCUCUACAUCGCUGCGACUAGCCGAGUCGUCAGCACUGUUGUUGUGGUCCAGCGGCCGGAGGAAGGCCGAGCCCAGCUAGUCCAGAGGCCGGUGUACUAUCUCAGCGAAGUGCUAUCCAGCUCAAAGCAAAACUACCCGCACUACCAGAAGAUGUGCUAUGGGGUGUACUUCGCUGCCAAGAGACUGAAGCCCUACUUCCAAGAGCACCCCAUCACGGUCGUGUGCACCGCCCCGCUUGCCGAGAUCAUAGGCAGCCGGGAUGCAUCCGGCCGGGUGGCUAAAUGGGCCAUUGCAUUGGCGCCCUACACAAUCUUCUACCAACCCCGCAUCGCCAUCAAGUCGCAAGCACUGGCUGACUUCCUCGUCGACUGGGCCGAGACCCAGUACCUACCGCCGGCUCCCGACUCUACCCAUUGGCGGAUGCACUUUGACGGGUCCAAGAUGCGCACCGGCUUGGGAGCCGGCAUCGUCCUCACCUCUCCCAAAGGCGACAAGCUCAAGUACACACUACAGAUCCACUUCGCUGCCUCCAACAACGUGGCCGAGUACGAGGCACACGUACAUGGGCUCCGGCUAGCCAAAGAGCUUGGCAUACGCCGGAUCCUGUGUUACGGCGACUCAGACUUGGUGGUCCAGCAGUCGUCUGGCGACUGGGACGCCAAGGACGCGAACAUGGCGACCUAUCGAUUCCUCGUCCAGCAGAUCAGCGGAUACUUCGAAGGGUGCGAGUUCCUCCACGUGCCAAGGGCCGACAACGACCAAGCAGAUGCCCUAGCACGGAUUGGCUCCACCCGUCAAGCCAUACCGACUGGCGUCUCCCUCCAGCGCCUCCUCAAGCCGUCCAUGAAGCCGUCUCCAGAGUCGGACUCCAUCUUCGUACCGCCUGCGCCAGAUACAGCCGGAUCCGACUGGAGAAAACCCGUAGGCGGCACGGGGACUUCGACAACUGGCCCGGGGACUGCCGUAGUCGCACCCGGCCCGGAGACUUCAGAACCCGGCCCGGGGACUGCAGCAGUCGGCCCGGGGACUGCAACGACACAAGAAGCGGUGGCCUACUCCAAUUCCACGCCACCCAACCCACCCACCCGAGUCAUGGUGGCUACAUUAACAGAAGAAGAAGUCACAGCUCCGUCAUGGGCCCAGCACAUCCUCAAGUUCCUAGUCAGCAGAGAGCUGCCGGCUGACGAGGUCUCAGCAAGACUAGUGCAACGACAAGCCGUAGCAUACGCAAUAAUCAACAGAGAGCUUGUGAAGCGCAGCGUCACUGGAGUCUUCCAGCGUUGUGUCGAGCCAGAAAAAGGAGUGGCAAUACUCAAGGACAUCCACCAAGGCGAAUGCGGCCACCACGUAGCCUCAAGAUCACUUGUGCCCAAGGCUUUCCGCCAUGGUUUCUUCUGGCCGACUGCCUUGGAGGAUGCUAAAGAAAUAGUCAAGAGCUGCAGAGGAUGCCAAGUUUUUAGUUCCAAGCAACACCUGCCGGUUUCUGCACUCAAGACCAUUCCCCUCACCUGGCCUUUUUCCGUCUGGGGACUGGACAUGGUGGGCCCUUUCAAGACAGCCCGCGGCGGCUUGACACAUCUACUGGUCGCUGUGGACAAGUUCACAAAGUGGAUCGAAGCAAAGCCGAUUAAGAAGCUGAACGGGCCGACUGCCGUGACAUUCAUCACUGACAUCACUACUCGGUACGGCGUGCCGCACAGCAUCACCGACAACGGCACGAACUUCGCCAAAGGAGCACUGGCACGUUUCUGCGCGACACAGGGCAUCCGACUGGACUUAGCGUCCGUUGCCCACCCGCAGUCAAAUGGUCAGGUCGAGCGAGCAAAUGGACUCAUCCUCUCCGGCAUCAAGCCCCGACUGGUUGUACCACUGGAGCGAUCGGCUGGCUGCUGGCUCAAUGAGCUGCCGGCUGUCCUCUGGAGCCUGCGCACUACACCCAACAAGUCAACUGGCUUCACUCCAUUCUUCCUCGUGUACGGUGCCGAGGCUAUCAUCCCAACAGACAUUGAGUUCGACUCACCUCGGAUCACCAUGUACACGGAGGAGGAGGCCAAGGAAGCAAGAGAAGACGGCGUCGACCUACUGGAAGAAGCCCGGCUGUUAGCACUCAGCCGGUCCGCCAUCUACCAGCAAGGGCUGCGCCGCUACUACAACCGCAAUGUCAAGGCAAGAUCCUUCCAAGAGGGCGACCUUGUGCUCCGGCUGAUCCAGCGAACAGCCGGCCAGCACAAGCUCUCGGCCCCUUGGGAAGGCCCCUUCGUCAUCAGCAAGGCACUAGGCAACGACUCCAACUACCUGAUCGAUGCGCAAAAACCAAGAGCACGCAAGAGAGACGACUCCGGCAAGGAGUCGGAGCGACCAUGGAACGCAAACCUCCUGAGACGAUUUUACAGUUGAAGCAGUAUGUAUCAUGCUACCCUUUUGUAUUAAGUACAAACCAACAGGCCCCCCGAACAGUACUCGGGGACUGCCUUUGUUUAUCUAUGAAUGACAAGUGUCAUAUCCAUGAAUGUAUUAUUACAUUUGAUUUCUUGUCUGGCACCGGGUUCGACUAGUCGGCUCGGGGACUGGCCGCCUUGAGCUAUAUUAAAAGUUCUACCUGAAGUCAGAAAAGUAGUGUGCCGGCUCCUGAGUCCUCUCUUGUUGAAAGUCGCAGCUCGAAGAACCGACUGUCCGACUAGCAAGAGGCAAGGCAGAAAGGAUGCCCACACGAAAAAUGGCUAAGGAACAACGAACCUAUAUAGCAAAAAGACGGCCUCCAAACAUGCCUGUCGGCUGUCAAAACAGCCGGCUGGCCGGCUUCCUCAACACUUAGCUUUAAGUCCAGCAAAGCUAGAGUACUUCCCCCCCCCCAAUUGGCCAAGCACUCCUCCAGCUACAGAUUGCAGAGCAACUGUCUGACUAGGGAGGCGGCAACCAAGGGAGGGCGGCAAAGGAAACAGCAGAAGGAUAAAAAGCAAAGUACGAGGAAAAGCCAAAUGCAUGCAUAAGUUAUAUAUACAUAUAAAGCCCCCAACAGGCCGGCAAUCAACAUGGUUCGAAUACACCCCCAGUGGGUGGAAUUGUGCAGACUUAACAAAGUAUUGUUCCAAAAGUAACAGGACAGAAAAAUAAAAGACGGCAGACUAGACUAAGGCGCGGUGUCGGGACCGGGCUAGUCGGUGAAGGCGGCCUCGCCGGCUGAAGGAGUGGCCGCCUAGCGGGUCUCGGCUUGAUCACCACCAACGGUAGGCGACGCACUCGCGCACGACGUGGUGCUGGAGGUGCGAUCAGGCUGAGGCUGGCCGGCUGCUCCACCAGCCGGCUCGGCGUCUUCACCCUCCUCCUCCUCCUCUUCUUCACCCUGGUCGCUGGAGUCGAUCUCCUCCGCCGAGUCUUCACCGUCCGCCGGGUUCAGCCCGAACCACUCCUCCGGCUGGGCGACACCGUUGUCGUCCACCUCGGGGGCGAAGACGCUGGUGUCGGUGUAGUCGGCGAUCGCCGAAGCCCGCCGGAUGAUAGCCGGCCACGCCGGCUCCAGCUCCGUGUCGGCUUGCUGCCGCCAGGUAGCCAGCUGACCCAGGCUCAGGCCGGGAUACCAAGCCUUGACGAACUCCAGCGCCCGCCUGGCACCGGAGCGAGCCGCCGAGGCCUUCCAGGCUUCGAAGCGGCCGACUGCCACCUCCAGCCAGUCGGCAGUCCGACUAGGGGAACCACUUGGCCGGGCCAGAGGGCGGCCAAGACUUGCGCCCCGGCACGCUGAAGCCGGCGGAGCAGUCGGUGAGCCGGCUGGAUGCGGGCCUGGAUCGCCAAGAGCUGCCCCUCCAGCGAACGGCCGACGGUUGGCGAAAUCUCGAAGCCAGCCUGCCUUCGCGCCUGGUGGCGGGCCUCGAUGGUCUGGUUGGCGGCGGUAGAAUAGCCAGGGAAAUAUUCUGCGCAAGAAAGAAGAAGAAAAGAGCACCAAGUCAGAAAAUGAGCCAAAAGUGGCAGAUGGCAAGAAAGGACGAAGAGGUAGGCGGCUUACCGUCAACCAGAUCUUUGAUCUGACCAUAGCCAGAGAUCAGAGUUUGCCUGGCCUCAGCCCAGCCAGCCGCCUCCAUCUCGUACUCAGCCUGGAGGGCGGCUUCGCGGUCCUGCACCGCCUUCAGAGCCGCCUUGUGGCCUUCCUCCUGGUCGGCCAACUUCUUGGCCAGGCGGUCGCGUUCCUGCACCAAGGCGGCGAGCUCGACAUCCUUGGCACGAAGGGCAGUCUGGGACUCCCCCAGCUGUGCCCUCAGACUGGCGUUGGCCGCUGCGGAGACGGCAGAAAAAGAAAGAAUAGUAAGAGGAAGUCGUCAAGGAAGAUCCGACCCGAUUGCUCAGCAGUCGGCCCGAAUCUCGGGGACUACACCCAGUGGGUGCGCUGACGCGCCCCCACAUGAGAUAAAGAACAAAGCACGUACCUCGGCUCUCAGUAAGGUCGGCGGUCUUCUGGGUCUGCUCCCGAGCCUGGGAGUUGAAGGCGGCCGCACAAAGAUUGUGGUAGUCCUGCAAGAUAGACAGAAGAUCAAAGUAAGAACAAGAUUAGCAAAGACAAAUCCACUAAGAAGUUCCAAGCCGCCUGCUCAGCAGCCGACUCGGAACUCGGGGACUACACCCAGUGGGUGCGCUUACGCGCCCCCACGGAAGAAAUCAAGAUCAAGAAGAAGCAAGAUAAGGAGACUAACCGGAUGGCCGCCCGUGUCGCGAGGAACUCAUCGGUGAACUGCCUCAGCGCCGUAGCCUGAGCUUGGAGCCGGGUCCGGACGUCCUGCGUGGCCACGUUCAUCACGGCCGUCCCCCCACCCGGCGUCCACCCCGAGGUAGCGCUGGCCACCUCCACGUCCGGGGCCGACGAGCUGGAGCCCACGGCCGGCUGCAGCUCCGACGCGGCCUUCUGAGGCUCCGACGCAGCUUUCCCCGCACGACGACUCGGGGGCAUCCGGACCGCCAUCUCAGCCCUCGCGACCGGCUCGCCCCCCGCCGACUGCGCAGGCGGCAGAUCAGGCCGGCCGCCUUGAGCCGCCCCAGUUGACGGGGUCGGCACCGGCGCCCUCUCCAGGAUGAUGACGUCGUCGUCUCUCCCCAGCCCUGCCUGGUCGCCGCUGGCUCCCUCUGGCGAGGGCUCCAUGUCCCCAGGCGCCGUGACGCGCAGCGGGGUGACCAUCAAAACCUCCUCCGCCGCCGCCGCGGCCGCAGCCUCCGCUUAGGCCCUGGCAGCGGCGUCAGCGAGCGCCUUCGCCGCCUCCUCCUCCUGCGCCGCCUGAGCGGCGGCUGCCUUCCAUGCCUCCGCCUCUCGCGCCUCCCGUUCCACCCGCGCCUCCCGCGUGUUCUGUUCUAUCGCUUCCUGAAGGUCGGCAGGGGGGUCCACGCGGCGGGUGGUGCUCCCAGACCCCCUCAGCGACUCGACGACGGAGGCGGCAGCCGCCCGCUCAAGCGACAACGGAGCUAUGAUCGUUUGGAGUAAAAGACAAGGGUUCAGGAACCACCAGAGAAAAGAAAGAAAAAGAGUAUACAAAAAAAAUUCGAACUUACGCCGACACGGUCUGCGGUUGCUUCACCAUCUUGCGGAAGCGAGCCGCCUUCGCGGCCGCCUCCUCCCGCCUGGUUGCUGCCGCCCCGCCCUGGGUUUCUUCGUCCGACUGCCGAACAAACCCUGGGCGGCGCGACGCUUUUGCCCUCCGCCCCGAGCAAGCGGUGCAGCUGAGGAACCCGCGCCGCGUCCAGAUGACGGUUGGCGGCGCGGGGCGACUUCGGCCUCAUCAUCGCCCGCCCCAGUCGUCGAAGGUGACUCCGAGCCCGGAGCCGCCUGCUUCGCCGCCGGCUUGGCCACCACCCUGCUCGAUGUUGUCGUCCAUACCGGCCGCCCCCAAGUCGGGGUCCUCCAGAUCGUGUUCCGUCCGGUCGGGGACGAAUCGACGUUCCGUGUCAGACCCGCCGGCCGGCCGAAGGAGAGGGCUCUGUCGAAAAACAAGCCGACUAAGUUAGAGUCGGCCAAGAGGAACUCGGCAACAGAGUUAAGAGAAAAAGAAGAAACAAGGAGAGCAUACCGUGGGCGGUGGAUUGGCUCGGCUGUAUGGCUCCUUGCCGAACUGCCACUCUUCGGAGAGUUUGCAGUUCGCGAGGUAGUUCACCAUAUAAGCGACCUCCUCGUGCGGCAUGUCCUUGGUGCACAUCCGGCUCGGAUCGAGCUGGCCGCUCAUCUGACAGAUCAGAUGAGGACGGCUCUGGAGCGGAAGAACCCGGCGCGUGACGAAGGCGGCCAGAAGGUCGGGCCCCGUCAGGCCCUCCGACUGGGUCAUCACUCGCACUCGGGCGACGGCUGCGGACCCGGCCGGCAUCAGAGUCACGGCCCAGAAGGACCACUGGGCCGCCUGCCCGCCGGUGGGCCGGCUACGUAAGCCGGCAGGUUGAUGUAGUCGCCCCGUGGGGCGAUGUUCCGCACGUAGAAGUACGACUUUUGCCACUUCUUCACCGAUUGGAUCAGCGUGAUGACGGGGAAGGGGUUGUCGGCGACCGAUCUCCGCGACGCGAUGAAGGCGCCAGUCUGAGCCGGCAUGCCCUGCAUGUGCGUGCCCAGUUUGGACUGGAAGAACUCCCCCCAGAGCUCGAGGGUAGGGAGGACGCCGAGGUAGCCCUCGCACAGGGUGACGAAGGCUGACAGCAGCACCACCGCGUUUGGGGUGAGGUGGUGCGGCUGGAGCUGGUAGAAUCGAGCCAGGAGCGGAAGAAGGCGCUCACUGGCAGGCCGAUGCCGCGCAAGAAAUGCGAGCGGAAGACCACCCGCUCGCCCUCCCGCGGCUCCGGCGUAAUUUCCUUCGCCGGCGCAAGACGGACCUCCACCUUGUCCGCGCCGGGCAGCCGCCGCGUAUUGCGGAGGAACUCGACGUGAUCCUCGUGGAUGUUGGAGCCGUCCCAAUCCCCGCCAUACUGCUCCAUGGCGGGAGGCAUGGCGAAAACGAGCGCGGCGGCGGAGGAACAUGUGGUGGAAGAGCGCGGCGGCGAGGCGCUGUUGCAAGAAAACGGCGAGCGAAAGAAGAUGGUGGAAGAAGGAGGAGCGUGUGAGAGCCUGCCGCCCUCCAUCUCCCCAUAUUUAUAGCUUCGCGAGGCGAGGCCGGGGAGGCCGGACGUGGGGGGAGACGUGGGAUUAACUGCACCCAUUCCCCCCACUCCUCGCGAUUAUUACACCCUAAAGGCGAGCCGAAACUUCCGCAAGGAGACGUGCGGGCGGUUUCGGGAUGCAGAGAAUCCGCGCCUGGGCCGGGGCGUGGACGUGGCGGGCCCCCGCCCUGCGGCGACGUCCCGUCGCGCGCGUGGGCUGGCAGGCUUUCCGGCCAAAAGGGGCCACGUGGUUCGCAGACGGCAAAUGGCCAGCCCGCGGCCCGGUGCACGCAUUGGCGAGCUCCCGCCCUCCGACUCCGGAGUUUUCGACCAAGGCGGCACGCCUAACCAAAGCCGGCUCCCAGCUGCCGACUUGUCAAGAUAGGAAGCUGAUCGAGCUUCUCAACUCCUACCCAACCUCGAAGCCCAAUCAGCUUCGGGGACUACUGUCGGAGUAAAUGGCCACGGGUAGCCUAACCGACUACCCCCGGUUCUUCUGAAAAAUUAUCAGGCCUUUGGGCCUCCAAGCACUCCAAGCAUUGGACCACCUCCCCUGGCCGGCUAGCCCCGAAGCCGACUCACGAGAGGCAGCCCAGCUUCAGCAACCUCCCCCCCCAGGAUAUCCGCGGGGUGGCCGACUCUAGGAAGCCGGCCUCGAAGAACGCCGACUCCAAGAAGCCGGCCGAGACCACAACCACCAAAGCUACACCCACAUAACGGUGACAAGACGGGGUGUGGCCACAGUGCGGCCCACUACCCCCGAAGCCCGAGGCGGGCAUGGCUACAGGAAGCCGUACUAGACGGCCGUCUCCCGUUCGGCUCGGCACUGUAGCCAUGCUAGCCUCAACGUCAUCCACGACAGACUCCCGUACGGCCCACGGGUGGCGGGCCCCUUCAGCCAGAGAGAGGCAUGAAGGCGGCCCGGCCUCCCCCAGUCGGCCAAGGGCGUAGCCGGCCCCCAGAAGCCGGCUACCCCCUCCCUUGAAGCAUGUGCCACAUUAAGGAGACAAGACGAGGUAAGGCUACAGUGAGAGCCCCCGAGCCGGCCCACUGUAGCCACGCUUACCUCAACGAAGCCCUCAUCAUCAAGGGCGAGGCUACAGUAAGCAACCGUCGACAAGAUCCUAGGCGGUGGGGCCAGCCUGUCGACCAAGAGGCCGGCAACCGGUGGGACCCACCAGUCGGCGGGUCCCAACAGCCGGCGGAGAAGCCGGCGAACUUAGACACUGACGGCUGGGACCAGAGCCCAGCCGGAUUACUAUUGUACCCCCGGGGUGUAGGCCUAUAUAAACCUCCCGGAGCACCCAUGCAAAGGGUUGGCUUCUGAGCAUAGCACACACACCAUAGAGAGAGAGAAGUGAGAGCUAGCCUUGUUCUUCUUCUCCCUUGAACCCAACAGCUCUAGGAGCGAUUGUAGCUACUUUUACUGAUCUAGUGAUCAUGCGGAGACCCCGCAGAGCAGGACUAGGGGUGUUAUCUCCUCGGAGAGCCCCGAACCUGGGUAAGAUCCGCCGGCGUGCAUGUCUUCGCCUCAUCCCGUUUCCAGGCACCGGCGACGUCUUAUUGGCACCCACAAUGAUAAGCCACCCGUUGGCAUAUGUCGCACCAACCACCCGACACCAGCCCACCAGGGGCUGGUUCCCUUCCCACUUCAGCCCAUGGGGCCCUCCGGGAUAGGUGGCCCCACCUGGUGGACCCCCGGGACCCUUUCGGUGGUCCCGGUACUAUACCGGUGACCCCCGAAACUUUCCCGGUGGCCGAAACUGGACUUCCUAUAUAUAAAUCUUUACCUCCGGAACUCCUCGUGAUGUUCGGGAUCUCAUCCGGGACUCUGAACAACUUUCUGGUUACCGCAUACUAAUAUCUCUACAACCCUAGCGUCACCGAACCUUAAGUGUGUAGACCCUACGGGUUCGGGAGACAAGCAGACAUGACCGAGACGACUCUCCGGUCAAUAACCAACAGCGGGAUCUGGAUACCCAUGUUGGCUCCCACAUGCUCCACGAUGAUCUCAUCGGAUGAACCACGAUGUUGAGGAUUCAAGUAAUCCCGUAUACAAUUCCCUUUGUCAAUCGGUACGUUACUUGCCCGAGAUUCGAUCGUCGGUAUCCCAAUACCUCGUUCAAUCUCGUUACCGACAAGUCACUUUACUCGUACCGUAAUGCAUGAUCCCGUGACCAAUCACUUGUUCACAUUGAGCUCAUUAUGAUGAUGCAUUACCGAGUGGGCCCAGAGAUACCUCUCCGUCAUACGGAGUGACAAAUCCCAGUCUCGAUCUGUGCCAACCCAACAGACACUUUCGGAGAUACCUGUAGUGCACCUUUAUGGCCACCCAGUUACGUUGUGACGUUUGGUACACCCAAAUCAUUCCUACGGUAUCCGGGAGUUGCACGAUCUCAUGGUCUAAGGAAAUGAUACUUGACAUUAGAAAAGCUUCAGCAAACGAACUACACGAUCUAGUGCUAUGCUUAGGAUUGGGUCUUGUCCAUCACAUCAUUCUCCUAAUGAUGUGAUCCCGUUAUCAAUGACAUCCAAUGUCCAUGGUCAGGAAACCGUAACCAUCUAUUGAUCAGCGAGCUAGUCAACUAGAGGCUCACUAGGGACAUGUUAUGGUCUAUGUGUUCACACAUGUAUUACGAUUUCCGGAUAACACAAUUAUAGCAUGAACAAAAGACAAUUAUCAUGAACAAGGAAAUAUAAUAAUAACCAUUUUAUUAUUGCCUCUAGGGCAUAUUUCCAACACAAGUCACUCAAGCGAGCAAUCAUAUCAGAAUUAUAUUUCAAUUGUUUCAUAACAUUUGCAUUGAAGUGAUCUUGUUUUCUAAUGUAGUUUUCAAACUCAUAAAGGCAUUGACUAGGAUGCAUAUUGUGAGGAUUAUCAUUUUCAUUGAACUCCAUAAGAGAAUUUACCUCUACCACCUUAGGCAUUGGUGGUGUAUUAAGCCCAUGUAUUUCUUCAAUAGGAGGUAAAUUUUUAACAUCCUCAGCUUUAAUACCUUUUUCCGUCAUAGAUUUAUUUGCCUCUUGCAUAUCUUCAGAACUGAGAUAUAAUAUACCCCUCUUCUUUGGAGUGGGUUUAGGCGGUAGUUCAGGAAUAGUCCAAUCAUCAUAAUUUUUCAAUAUAUUAUUCAAUAAUUCUUCAGCUUGAGCAAUAGUUCGUUCCCUGAAAACACAACCAGCACAACUAUCUAGGAAGUCCCUAGAAGCAUCGGUUAGUCCAUUAUAGAAGAUAUUAAGUAUUUCAUUUUUCUUAAGAGGAUGAUCAGGCAAAGCAUUAAGUAACUGGAGAAGCCUCCCCCAAGCUUGUGGGAGACUCUCUUCUUUAAUUUGCACAAAGUUAAAUAUUUCCUGUAAGGCAGCGUGUUUCAUAUGAGCUGAAAAAUAUUUUUCAAAGAAGUAAUAAAUCAUAUCCUGGGGACUACGCACACAACCAAGAGUAAGAGUAUUGUACCAAGCUUUAGCAUCACCCUUUAAUGAGAAAGGAAAUUUGAGAAUAAAGUAAUAGCGAGUCUUCACAUCAUGAGUAAAAAGGGUGGCUAUAUCAUUCAACUUAGUAAGAUGUGCCACAACAGUUUCAGUUUCAUAACCAUGGAAAGGAUCAGAUUCAACCAAAGUAAUUAACUCUGGGUCGACGGAGAAUUCAUAAUCCUUAUCAGCAAUACAGAUAGGUGAAGUAGCAAACUUAGGAUCACAUUUUAUUCUAGCAUUCAGAUAUUUUCUUUGUACUUGCAUAGUAAUUUCUCUAGAUCAUCUCUAUCAUUGCAAGCACGAAUAUCUCUAGUUGCUUCUUCACUCAUAACAUAACCUUCCGGUACCUUAGGCAUUUCAUAUCUAGGAAGGCUAGUUCUAGCAGGUGUUUCAGGAGUUUCAGUUUUAAGCUCAUCAUCAGAUUCAACAACAUCAUGUUGUAUUACUCUAGCAAUUUGUUUAUCAAGAAAAUUACUAAGUGGCACAUCAUCAUUAUCAAGCAAGGUACUAGCAUCAUCAUAAGCAUCAUUCAUAGUAGAAGUAGCAUCAUCAAUAACUUGCGACAUAUCAUAAUUGAUAGCAUGUGUUGGUGUUGCAAGUUUACUCAUAACAGAAGGUGAAUCUAAAGCAGAACUGGAUGAUAGUUUCUUACCUCCCCUCGUACUUGGGGGAAAUAUCUUCGGUUUCGGAUCCUUCAGAUUCUUCAUAGUGAUAAUAUGAUAAUAAUCCCAAGUGACUCAACAAAUAUAGCUAUGCUCCCCGGUAAUGGCGCUAGAAAAAGGUCUUGAUAACCCACAAGUAUAGGGGAUCGCAACAGUUUCCGAGGGUAAGUAUUUAACCCAAAUUAAUUUAUAGAUACAACACAAGGGGAGCCAAAGAAUAUUUGAAGGUAUUAGCAGCUGAGUUGUCAAUUCAACCACACCUGGAGAUUAAUUAUCUACAACAAUGUGAUCAGUAGCAAAGUAGUUUGAUAGUUUUGAUAGUAGUGACAGCAGCAACGGUAACAGUAACAGUGAUAGCAGUAAUUUGUAGCAAGUGUAACAGUGAUGAUAGCAAUAGUAACGCAGCAAGAUCAAUAAGGAUAAACUCAUAGGCAUUGGAUCGGUGACUUGUUGGAUGAUAUUCAAUAUUCAUCAUGUGAUAGUUAUAACCUAGGGCGAUACGGCACUAGCUCCAGUUCAUCGAUAUAAUGUAGGCAUGUAUUCUGUAAAUAGUCAUACGUGCUUUAUUAAAAGAACUUGCAUGACAUCUUUUGUCCUACCCUCCCGUGGCAGUGGGGUCCAUAUUGGAAACUAAGGGAUAUUAAGGACUCCUUUUAAUAGAGAACCGGAACAAAGCAUUAACACAUAGUGAAUACAUGAAGUCCUCAAACUACGGUCAUCACCGAGAGUGGGCCCGGUUGUUGUCACUCCGGGGUUGUCGGAUCAUUACCGUAAUAGGUGACUAUAACUUGCAAGAUCGGAUCUAAAAUAUGGAUAUAAUGAUGAAUUCAUAAACGGUUCAGAUCUGAGUUCAUGGCACCCAGGCCCAAAGUGACAAGUAUUAAGCAUAGCAAAGUCAUAGCAACAUCAAUCUAAGAACAAAGUGGAUACUAGGGAUCGGGCCUUAACAAAACUAACUCGAUUAGAUGAUGAAUCUCAUCCAACUCCUCAUCGACCAGCAAGCUUAUGAAGGAAUUACUCACUCCCGGUGGGGAGCAUCAUGGAACUGGCGAUGGAGAAGGGUUGGUGAUGACGAAGAACGAAGAUCCCCUCUCCGGAGCCCCAAACGGACUCCAGAUCUGCCCUCCCGAGGAAGAACAGGGCUUGGCGACGGCUCCGUCUCGUGGAUCGCGAUAAUUUUUUCUCCCUGAUAUUUUUUGGAAUAAUGUGAUUUUAUAGUAUCAGGGGGGUCAUCAGCGGGGCCACUAGGUGGGUACAACCCACCUGGGCGCGCCAAGAGAGGGGGCGCGCCCUGGUGGGUUGUGCCCACCCAGGGGCCCCUCUCUGGUGGGUCUUGGCUCCAAAAAUUCUUAUUAUUGCUAUAAAAAAUCCUUGCAAAGUUUCGUUCCAUUAUGAGAACUUUCAUUUCUGCACAAAAAUAACACCAUGGUAGUUCUGCUGAAAACAGCGUAAUUCCGGGGUUAGUUUCAUCCAAAUCAUGCAAAUUAGAGUCCAAAACAAGAGUAAAAGCAUGAGAAAAAGUAGAUAUGUUGGAGACGUAUCAGCCAUCUAGCAGACAUCUGGUACAAAUGCUUCGACUCCCACUGCUAAAAAAACUUGCGCUUGUGGUGGUUGAUUUGUCGGAGGCCGCACUGCACAGCAUCAUCCACUCCAGCUGCCCUACCCUAGAGCGCUUGCUACUUGUUUUUGGAAUGGAAAUUCGUAUCCGUUGUCUCAAAAUAAAGUCGCCCCACCUGGUAAGCAUGGGAAUUUGUUUUUUUGGACAUGAUCUCAUCAUCGAAGAUGCCCCUUCACUUCAAAGGUUGCUCCUUGAUUCUGGUAUAGUACCUUCACAAAUAACUAUAGUCUCUGCGCCUAAACUGGAGACCCUGGGUGCAAUUCGUGAUCCCUUUAGAUGGUUCAAUAAGGUGAUUGGCUCCACACCUAUUGAGGUACUGUAUAUUAUUCACGGAAACUUUUGUUAUUUGUUUUUUUCAUUUGUGCGCAUAAGUAUCAUCUUGGAGUACACUUUUGGUACUAAUAUUAUGUUCUAUGAUUAGCGAAGAGCUUGUCCAUCCUAUCAGUGGUGGUGGAUUCUGUCAAGACCUUACAUAUCAGUAUGUGGUGUUUUGAUCUCAACACGAUUAUUGGCUUGCUGCAAUGCUUUCCAUGUCUGGAGAAUUUGUAUAUAAUGGUGAUAAUUUCACACAUUGAGAGCCCGUAUAUAUUAUACUAUAAUUAAUCGUUCAGCUAUAACUCUUUCAAUAUAAUCUUUUUUAGACAUUAAGUGUUCUCAAUCUUCAUCUCUGUUUAGGCGCUAACACAUGGAGAAAAAAGUAUAACCAAUCGAUGGUUCAGGAAGCACCGCGAUUUUCUCAGAUCACAUGACAUUCGUUUGAAGACAGUAACACCGGAAGGAUAUGCAUCCAACAAUGCAAACACUAGCUUUGUCACAUUCUUCAUGUUGAAUGCGAGGGCACUAUUGUCCGUGAGGAUUAAGUUUUUUGACAAGAAAUUUCUUACGGUUGCAAGAAGUUUCAGGUGGACAAAAGGGCUUCAGAACGUGCUCGGCUUCUAUUUACAACAACUUGUUAUCAUGUACCAGUAGAAUUUCUGGUCCAAGAUCUUGAUUUUAUGGAUCAGACCGAUCCAUUUGAUUGUGACUGCCGGAAACUUUGGUUGAGUUAGUUGUUAUUGUCCUGUUCAAUCUAGAUUUUGUGUAAACCUGAUGAGCAAUUAAUCAUCAUGCUUUUAUACCUUCUGUAAGCUGGGGUUAGAUAUUGCUGCCCUUUUCAACUCGGCUUUGACCCAUAUUUUCUUUCAUAUUGGGCCAAUGGCUUGCCAUUUCUUUAAUUAAGACAUAAAUAUUAUAAGCAUUCACAACAUAGGGAAAGAACCUCACUCUUGCGGGAUCCUUGAGAUCUUUGUUCAUUACAGAACCGCAAGUUCUUAGCGCCCACCAGCACCCACAAACUUAUUUUCAGCUAGCACACCAAAUGGGUUGUAAUUCUUAAUAAGAAAAGCUGCAUGGUAGUGACAGAUUUGGAUUUGUCAUUUGGGACCCACGAGGAAAAAGCCUAUCUAUGGCGGUGCCGACUCGAAAGUAAACAUUGAGAAACCUGGUUUUAAAAUUACUGUAAAUCAAAAACUCGCCUCAAAAUCAUGAAACUUGGCAUGGUGUUAUAACAUAGCACCAACAUGCUGUGGUAAAAUUAGUCCAAUUUGGGAAAAGUUUUGGUACAAACUUCUUACAAACAUGAGCUUCUCUCAAAAAGGCUCAUGGUUCCGAGAGGGACCUUCUCACCUAUGUGUGCGAAACGACAUACACUGUCUCUUCCCGCCUUGAUUUAUUUUAUAGAGGCAACAUGCAACUAUAGUAGCGUCGUCCUAAAAAUAUGAAAUUAUUCACGGUUCGUUUUGCCUUUUUAUACAUUAUUUGAGUUUUCUAGGCAUUUUGGAACAUACUUUGGUGUGUGCAAAGGUCAUGCGUGUACUAGCCACAUAUGUAAUUGGAUGUUCAAUCUGUUUAUGGAAUCAAGUCCUUAUAUGUUAUAAGUACAUAUGUUGUUGUUCUGCGUGCAAUGACAUCUCACACAGACCAUACUGGGGAACCCGUCGGUGAUGAUUUCAUCAAUCGCUGACCAUUGUAUACCACCAAGCGUUUGCCCACAAUACACAUGGCUUAUUAGCAAAAAUUGUCUGUAUUAUUAUCGGUUUUCGCAUACAUUUCCGAUUACAGACCUAUUUGACGCGUAUCACACACAUCCUGUUAAAUUGAACUGUUUAUGUUCUCUUGGCUCAAAGAAAACAGUUCAUCCAAGUGAACCGUAUGCCGUAUAUCGCACACACCUUGAUCUGGCUGACCGUUUCUUUUGUGUUGCCUAAUCACAAACAGUUCAUCCGAGUGAACCGUAUGCUGUAUAUCGCACACACAUUCAUCUGGCUGCCCAUUUCUUUUGUUUUGCCUCAUCGCAAACAGUUCAUUCAACUGAACCGUAUGCCCCUCAUCGCACACGCAACUAAAAUAUGAACCGUGUUUGAUGUAUCCUUCAUCGCAAACAUUUUGCAUCUUUUCUGACGGUUAUUUUACAUCACCGUUUGCGAUUAAUGCAUCACACACAGUUUCAUUGAAGGGUCUCUGAUUGUAAUGUCGCAUUAGUAGCAUCCUGCAGUAGUGAAUGGUAACGCAAUACACAAACAUAUGUAAUAUCAUGAAGGAAAACAAUAGUAUAACUGCGAAGGGAAUGGUUACAACUUGAAGAUAAUAGUGACACCGAACAAUAACACAUAGUGGAUUUUAAACUCAAAUCUCUCGGAGAGGGGAUGCUCUUUACAAAUCAAUCUUCUCAUAAAUCUUAAGCGGAGCAGCCAACGAACAACACUGGAGCGGGGUGGCCAUUUAUAGCCAUAGCCUUCCCUGCUGGGAAAUGACCAAAUUGGACAUGUGGAUCAGCCAAGGACCGAACGACACAUUUCCAACGGUAGGAAUUUGAGCACAAUGGUAACACUCCUUGCGGAGCAAGAAAUGCUAAACUGUUAGUCCGAAAGAUACUCCUGCAACACCGAAGAACAACGUCUUCCACUGACAGGUAAUCAUUUGGAGCAUAAAGAGAUUUCUCUUAGUCUUGCAUAGGUUUCGGCUAAGCAUCACAACAAACCUAAGCAUCGGGAACCUAUCCCCCUCUUAAUAGUAAGGAGGUCCUAUGACUCAAAGAGAGAGAAGAAAAACAAAAUAAAUGCUACGUCUUCACUUCGUCUUGAACCCCUCAACUGAAGUCAAUUUCUUCGGACCACGUCGAACAUGUAUUGCUUCAUAUCAUCAAUAGUUUUAAGGGGUCAAUCUUCUUCAACACACUCUUAUCGCAUACAUGUCUUCAACAAAUGUAGCUCAUCCUUCUCUGCAGCAUAGAUGUUCUUCGGUGAAGUUCCUCGAACUUGUCAUCGAAUAUAGCAUACUCUUCGGGUAUGCAUGGACUAUUUCUCUCUGUGUGCACUAGCAAAAAAUCAGUGCAUGCUUGUUUCUGUCAACAAUCUCCAAACACACAAGGGGGCAAAAUAUUUCAGUAACAGGCUCCAUCUAUUAUGAAUAUUAUGUUUGCGGAUGACUCAUUGAUCCUUAUGAAAGCCGACAAGCACAAUGUCGAGGCUUUAAAAGCCAUCUUAGAUUCGUAUUGGUCCACCUCUAGGAAAAUUGUGAGUGGUGAUAAAUUGAGCAUCUUUUUCAGCACCAAUACGAGAGUGGAUACGAGGGAGCUACUUUGCACCACUCUCAAUAUUAUGACUAAAGCUCUGAAUAAUAAAUAUUUGGGGCUACUGACUAAUGUGGGUAUUGGCAAGUAUGACUGUUUUCAAUAUUUGAUUGAUCAUAUAAUCAUGAAGAUAAGUCAAAGGAAAGAAAAACUAUUAUGCGCGGGAGGGAACGAAAUCCUUCUGAAAUAUGUUGUACAAGAGAUGCCCACCUAUGUGAUGUCCUUCUUUAAAAUUUCAAAAGAUAUCGGAAGGGAGUCACUAAUGUGAUGUCACAUUUUUGUUCGGGAGACGAGGACACUCAGAAGCGGAUGCAUUGGAUGGCUUGGUGGAAAAUGUGUGUACCCAACAAGGGGGGUCCAUGAUAUUCAUUGUUUCAACAUGGCAGUGUUGGCAAAACAAGCUUGUCAUCUUCUUGAGAAUCCAGAGUCCUUGUGUGCUACCAUGUUGAGAGCUAAAUAUUUUACUAAUGGUGAUUAUUGAAUACAAAGUUAAAGAAGGGUUCCUCUUUUAUUUGGCAAAGUAUUAUGGCGGGGGUUAAUUGUCUAAAUCAUGCUUAUAUAUGGCGUUUUGGAAUGGUCACAAUAUAGAUAUUUGGGAAGAUGCUUGGAUCCUAAAUUCUGCAAAUAGAAAAGCUAUCAUCCCUAGAGGGAGUAAUUUGAUCUCUGAUUGAAUUCAUCUCAUUACUAAUAAUUGGGAUGAUAAUCUGGUUACACAAACGUCGUGGCCAGAUGACACGGAACGGGUCCUUGCAGUUCCUCUUCAUCAACAUGACAUGUUGGAUUUUGUCUCUUGGAGCUAUUCAAAAAAUGGAAUGUUUUCUGUUCGACCAGCCUAUGUUGUGGAAUGGGAACACCAACACGGGAGGAAACUUAGAAGAACUAAUGAUACGAGACAUAUAGAUUCUAUUUGGAGUGCGAUCUGGAAGUUAUCUUGCCCGACGAAGGUAAAAAUCUUCAUAUGGCUCACUUGCAUGGCACUCUUCUGUGUCGAGUUACUUUGGCGAAUGGACACAUAAAAAUUUCUCCCAAUUGUUCUUGUUGUCCCUUUGCAUCAGAAGACACGAAGCAUAUGUUAUUUUAGUGCCACAAAGCAAAGGAGGUUUAAAGCUUGUUGGGGCUAGAUGAGGUUAUUAAAAUAGCCUGCGAAGAUGAUUAUGCAGUUGAGGUUGUUUCUUGAGUUUUUUUACUUAUAUACCUGAACUUGAGUUGGCUAUAUUGGGUAUUCAGAAUGUUCGUGAGAUGAUUUCAAUUGCAACUUCAUAUUUGUGGUUGGAAAGGCGGAAAUUGGCCCGUAAGGAGAAAACCCAAUAUGCUCACCAGAUUUCAUUGGGGAUGCGUGCUAUUUGUUGGGAAUGAGGGGGAGAGUGUGUCUACGUACUCUCGUAGAACGUAAGCGGAAGCGUUAAACAAUGCAGUUGAUCUAGUCGAACUUCUUCGCGCUCCAACCGAUCAAGUACCGAACGCACGGCACCUCCGCGUUCUACACACGUUCAGCUCGGUGACGUCCGCCUCCUUCUUGAUCCCGCAAAAUGGUGAGGUAGUAGAUGAGUUCUGACAGCACGACGGUGUGGUGAUGGUGAUGGUGAAGUGAUCUCCGCAGGGCUUCGCCUAAGCACUACGAAAAUAUGACCGGGGGUGUAAACGGUGGAGGGGGGGCGCCGCACACGGCUAAGGAUUGAUGUGCUUGUGCUAGGCCCCCUCCCACAUAUAUAUUGGUGGGGGAGGAGGGAGCAGCCAGGAGGGGAGCCCAAGUAGGCCGAAUCCUACAUGGGGUCCUCAAGUGGCACCCCUUCUUUAUUUGCCGCAGAAGAAAGGAAAGGGGGGAAGAGAGAAGGAAGGGGAGGCCGAAUCCUCCCCCUUUCCUUCCCCACUUGGCCGGCUGCCAUGGGGGGUGCACCAGCCCCUUAUGGGCUAGUGUGCUCCCCUCUUGUGGCCCAAUAGGCCCAAUACUCUCCGGGGGUUGACCAGUACCCCCUCCGGUACUCCGCUGACUAUCCGGUUUUCUCCGAAACACUUCCGGUGUCCGAAUACCAUCGUCCUAUAUAUCAAUCUUUACCUCUAUACCAUUUCGAGACUCCUCGUCAUGUCUGUGAUCUCAUCCGGGACUCUGAAUAACAUUCGGAUAAAAAAUCACAUAACUCAUAUAAUACUAUAUCGUCAACGAAUGUUAAGCGUGCGGACCCUACGGGUUCGAGAAUUAUGUAGAGAUGACUAAGACACCUCUACGGUCAAUAACCAACAUCGGAACCCGGAUGCCCAUAUUGGCUCCUACAUAUUCUACAAAGAUCUUUAUCGGUCGAACCGUUAUGACAACAUACGUAAUUCCCUUUGUCCAUCGGUAUGUUACUUGCCCGAGAUUCGAUCGUCGGUAUAUCUAUACCUAGUUCAAUCUCGUUACCUGCAAGUCUCUUUACUCAUUCCAUAAUACAUCACCUCGUGACCAACUCCUUAGUCAUUUGCUUGCAAGCUUAUGAUGUAUAUUACCGAGAGGGCCCAGAGAUACCUCUCCGAUACUCUGAGUGACAAAUCCUAAUCUCGAUCUAUGCCAACUCAACAAACACCUUUGGGGAUACCUGUAGAGCAUAUUUAUGAUCACCCGGUUACGUUGUGACGUUUGAUAGAACACAAGGUAUUCCUCCGGUAUAUGGGAGUUGCAUAAUCUCAUAGUCCAAGGAAUAUGUAUUUGACAUGAAGAAAGCAAUAGCAAUAAAACUGAACGAUCAUUAUGCUAAGCUAACGGAUGGGUCUUGUCCAUUACAUCAUUCUCCUAAUGAUGUGAUCCCGUUAUCAAAUGACAACACAUGUCCAUGGUUAAGAAACUUUAACCAUCUUUGAUCAACGAGCUAGUCUAGUAGAGACAUACUAGGGACAUGGUAUUUGUUUAUGUAUUCACACAUGUAUUUAAGUUUCCGAUCAAUACAAUUCUAGCAUGAAUGAUAAACCUUUAUCAUGAAUAAGGAAAUAUAAAAUAACAACUUUAUUAUUGCCUCUAGGGCAUAUUUCCUUCAGUCUUCCACUUGCACUAGAGUCAAUAAUCUAGAUUACAUUGUAAUGAAUCUAACACCCAUGGAGUCUUGGUGCUGAUCAUGUUUUGCUCGAAGAAGAGGCUUAGUCAACGGGUCUGCUACAUUCAGAUCCGUAUGUAUCUUGCAAAUUUCUAUGUCUCCAUCCUUGACUUGUUCACGAAUGGAGUUGAAGCUUCUCUUGAUGUGUUUGGUUCUCUUGUGAAAUCUAGAUUCCUGCGCCAAGGCAAUUGCUCCAAUAUUGUCACAAAAGAUUUUCAUUGGACCAAAUGCACUAGGUAGUACACCUAGAUCGGAUAUGAACUCCUUCAUCCAGACUCCUUCAUUUGCUGCAUCUGAAGCAGCUAUGUAUUCCGCUUCACACGUAGAUCCCGCCACGACGCUCUACUUGGAACUGCACCAACUGAUAGCUCCACCAUUCAAUAUAAACACGUAUCCGGUACACAGCAUAGCAUACAUGAUAGAACCAAUGGCUGAGGCAUCGGGAAUGACUUUCAUUUUCUCUCUAUCUUCUACAGUGCUCGGGCUUUGAGUGUGACUCAACUUCACACCAUGUAACACAGGCAAGAACCCUUUCUUCGACUGAUCCAUUUUGAACUUCUUCAAAACUUUAUCAAGGUAUGUGCUUUGUGAAAGUCCUAUCAAGCGUCUUGAUCUAUCCCUAUAGAUCUUGAUGCCCAAUAUAUAAGCAGCUUCACCGAGGUCUUUCAUUGAAAAAAUCUUAUUCAAGUACCCUUUUAUGCUAUCCAGAAAUUCUAUAUCAUUUCCAAUCAACAACAUGUCAUCCACAUAUAAUAUUAGAAAUGCUACAGAGCUCCCACUCACUUUCUUGUAAAUAUAGGCUUCACCGAAAGUCUGUAUACAAUCAUAUGUUUUGAUCACCUCAUCAAAGCGUAUAUUCCAACUCCGAGAUGCUUGCACCAGUCCAUAGAUUGAUCGCUAGAGCUUUCACACUUUGUUAGCACCUUUAGGAUCGACAAAAACCUUCUGGUUGCAUCAUAUACAACUCUAUUUAAGAAAUCCAUUAAUGAAUGCAGUUUUGACGUCCAUUUGCCAAAAUUUAUAAUUAUAAAAUGCAACAAUUGCUAACAUGAUUCGGACUGACUUAAGCAUCGCUAUGGGUGAGAAGGUCUCAUCGUAGUCAACCCCUUGAACUUGUCGAAAACCUUUCGCGACAAGUCGAGCUUUGUAGAUGGUGACAUUACCAUCAAUGUCUCUCUUCUUCUUGAAAAUCCAUUUAUUCUCAAUGGUUUGCCGAUCAUCGGGUAGGUCCACCAAAGUCCACACUUUGUUCUCAUACAUGGAUCCUAUCUCAGAUUUCAUGGCCUCAAGCCAUUUAUCGGAAUCUGGGAUCAUCAUAGCUUCUUCAUAGUUGGUAGGUUCGACAUGGUCUAGUAACAUGACUUCCAGGUCAGGACACUACUGGAAUCAGAUAAUUUUCCGUUUGUCAGUACUUUGCUGUCAGCUUGCGGACGGCAAAGAAGGUCUUUGCCGUCAGCUCACAAAUAGCAGAAGAGAAAGAACUUGCUGAUGGCAAAGGUGCAAUUUGCCGUCAGUCAGUUCUUUGACGUCUGCUAGCUGACGGCAAAGAUUCUUUGCGGUCCGCUUGCAGACGAUAAAGAGUUUGGGUGGGGUCUAUUUUAGGGCAACACUGUAGCGGCCCACUCCCAACCUCUUUGUCGUCUGCUAGCAGACGACAAAGAGGUUGGCCCAUCCAAAGUAACGGUAACCCCAUCCCUCUCUCUCCCUGGCCCCACCCCUCUGUCUCUCUCUCUCUCUCCCCCCUCUCUCUCCGUCGCGCCCCNNNNNNNNNNNNNNNNNNNNNNNNNNNNNNNNNNNNNNNNNNNNNNNNNNNNNNNNNNNNNNNNNNNNNNNNNNNNNNNNNNNNNNNNNNNNNNNNNNNNNNNNNNNNNNNNNNNNNNNNNNNNNNNNNNNNNNNNNNNNNNNNNNNNNNNNNNNNNNNNNNNNNNNNNNNNNNNNNNNNNNNNNNNNNNNNNNNNNNNNNNNNNNNNNNNNNNNNNNNNNNNNNNNNNNNNNNNNNNNNNNNNNNNNNNNNNNNNNNNNNNNNNNNNNNNNNNNNNNNNNNNNNNNNNNNNNNNNNNNNNNNNNNNNNNNNNNNNNNNNNNNNNNNNNNNNNNNNNNNNNNNNNNNNNNNNNNNNNNNNNNNNNNNNNNNNNNNNNNNNNNNNNNNNNNNNNNNNNNNNNNNNNNNNNNNNNNNNNNNNNNNNNNNNNNNNNNNNNNNNNNNNNNNNNNNNNNNNNNNNNNNNNNNNNNNNNNNNNNNNNNNNNNNNNNNNNNNNNNNNNNNNNNNNNNNNNNNNNNNNNNNNNNNNNNNNNNNNNNNNNNNNNNNNNNNNNNNNNNNNNNNNNNNNNNNNNNNNNNNNNNNNNNCGGCUGCCCCGCCCCCUCCUCCAUCGGCCUCCACCUCCACCACUCCAGUGAGCCCCCUCCCCCUCUCUUUUUUUUCAUUUUUUUCUAUGUUAGUGUAGUUAGUUUAGUUUUAUGUUUAGGUUUAGAUUUAAUUUAUUUUAGGUUCAGUUUAGGUUUUUUUUCCUGUUUUUUUAGGUUCAGGUUUAGAUUUAGUUUAGCUUAGGUUUAGUUUAGGUUAAGAAGAAAGAUGAAAAAAAUAAGAACAAGAAGAGGAAGAAAAGGAAGAAGAAGAGAAGAAGAUGAAAAAAGAAGUAUAAAAAGUAGAAAAAGAAAGAAAAGAAAGAAAAGAAGAUCGAGGGUCGAGGGUCGCUGAGGGGUUGAGGGUCGAGGGUUGCCGAGGGGUCGAGAGUCGAG